AGGUUAUUGGGUACCGAGUCAAUGGUUUCUUCCGCGAGUAUAUCAUCUCGCGGCCGGUGGAAGAGAGAGUUUUCUUUCCAGUGGAAGUCUCUGCACUGGAGAAGGGGCAUGGCCGGCUGACCACAGAAGGCAUAGGACAGCACCUAGCACUUGGGAGAUCCUGGGAGGAUGACCGGUUUGUGUUCGAGGGUUUGGACUUCUCACGGCUACGGUCUUUGACAGUGUUUAGAACAAUGUUUUGGCCAUGGUACGUCUCGGACAGGAUGAGGGUGCUUCGGGUGCUGGAUCUAGAGAAUGCAGCGGGUGUACGGAAUGUUGAUUUGGAGGCGGCAGGGAAGCUGCUGCCUCGUCUGAAGUUCCUCUCGCUAAGAGGACAGAGGAAUGUUUCGCGACUGCCAGAUUCCGUGGGUGAGCUGAUGCAGCUGCAAACUCUGGAUAUCAGAGACACCUCUAUAGUCGCGCUACCACCAUGCAUCACCCGGCUACAGAAGCUGCAGUACAUUCGUGCAGGUAACUACACCAUAGCGUGGACGCAAUAUGACAUCGGACGUGGAACUGAUGGCUCUUUCAGCAAUGGUGUUGAGGUUCCAAGAGGGAUCGAGAGACUGAAAGCCUUGCAGACGCUUGGUGCUAUUGAUGUAAAUACUGCAGGGGAUGCCACUCUUAGUGAGAUCCGUUCCCUCUUUCCCCAGUUGAAAAAACUCGAAUUGUUCAGGAUCAACCGCAAAGUCAGCGAAAGGUUUUUUCAGCUUUUAGAUUUUGAUGCACGUCAUUUGGAAUCAUUGUCUUUGCAGUUUGAGAAGAACGACCAUUUUGUUCAUUCGAACUUCAUCCACUUUCCCGAAGGCCUACGGAGCCUAAAGGUGCACGGCCAUGUAGAGAAGUUCCCAAGGAUCAGGUAUCAAAAUAAUCUCUUGAAGCUGACUUUAGAGAAGACUACACUGUUCACACCAGAUGACAUAGAGGUCAUGGGGAGCUUACCAAGUCUGCGUACUCUGCGCCUCCGUGUCAAUGAAGAUCAAGAUGGCGAGCUCCAAUUUCAGUAUGGCUAUUUCAGCAAACUCGAGGUCCUCGAGAUUGUCUGCAAAUCGAAGUUACGUGUAAGGUUUGGCUUUGAUGCAAUGGAAAAGCUUGAGCAGCUGAAGAUUCACUGCCUUAUGGGGUCGGAUAUGCAGUUCUCUGGGUUAGAGCACCCGGUUUCCCUCAAGCAAGUCUGGCUUAUGGGUGACUUCGUCGACGCACUCAAGGUAGCAUUGGAGCAGCAACUUGUCAAGCAUCUGAAUAAACCUGCUCCGAAACUGGAGGUUUUGUUAUGAGCGGCGUAUGGAAUAUGAAGUAAAGAAUCAAACCGCAAAAGAGACACACGAUUUACGUGGAAAACCCCUUCGAUGUGAAGGGGAAAAAACCACGGGCACCAGCCGUCAACAAUCUCACUAUCUCAAGAGUUUAAGGUUACACGCCUAUGGCGGCUUACAAGAGAAUCUGAUAAUCUCUCUCUCUUCGAAACCCUAGCAAGGGGUAUAAAGUUGUACGGACUCUUGGUCCCGGGCGAGGAUGGAACUCCACCUCGCCUGAUCCUGGGUCCUUCGUCCUGGAGUUGGAUGCGCCCGGAACUCCGCCUCGCCCGACCCCGAGCCAGGGGUCGGAUGCGCCUGACCCCUUGAGGGUGGAUCUCCGCCUCGCCCGACCCCGAGUCCAGGGGUCGGGAGACGCUCCGCCUCGCCCGACCUCGAGUGUAUGGGGUCGGGAAGGUUGGCCUUUAUCCUGGAGUGAAUUUGGAACAACUCCAACAGGUUUGAGCCACGUUCGUCCCAGGAGUCGUCCGAGGAGUCGAACUAAGGUAUGUAGGCAAUUGUUUCUGUUGUAUGCCUGCCAUUCGUACUUCCUUUCUUCUAUUACUCUAUCUAAACCUAGCAUCCGGUUUACCACAGGGAAGUCCGACACUCCAACUUGCAGGUUUGGAAGACGACACGCUAGCUGAUCAUCCUAAGAAAUCAGUUUUGAAGCUGCAGGGAGCCAUGUUUUAUCCUGAUGGCCUGGCGGGUAUUUACUGAAGUUCGAGAUGCUGACUGCCAGCCGUGGCCCAAUCCAGUAUUCUCAGCCGAGAAGGAUUAGCUCCAAGUCUCUUACUGUUAUUAGUAGAAACCAUUACCUGUUUUUUACCUCGAAAGCUUAGUAGAGCUGUGUAUCAUUAUAAUAAAGAAGCAGAAAAUAAUAUUGUAUGCUAAUGAACACACUGAAAUUUUAUAUUGGUCUAUAUGUACCAAUAAGGCUCUUGUGUCUCGUGUACAUCCACGAAAAGGUCUGUAUUGUGAUGGCUGGUGUGUAAACGAAAAUAUGAGAAAUAUUGUGCUGUCAAACAGGUGUUUUUUCUGCCUGGGGGGCUGCUGUUGGCGCCAACAAUCGCGGUAUGAAAUCUUGACCAACAGCAGGCACUAUCUUCAAGCAACCGGAAAUUGAUUCACUAUUGCAAGACACAGACACUUCAAAAGCAUUGGCUGUACUGUAGCAGGCAGUAAAUGACAGCUAGAGCUUUGUCCAUAAGCAAGUAACAAAGACCAAGCAAAGAACCUGCAGUACCACUAAGCAAAGAUUAAAUUGAGCUGCACUAUUGCAUUGCACCCGUUGUCAGUCUCAUGGCCUUGGAGAAAAGAACAGAGCUGCUCACAUUACAGAACUGAAUGAGCAGUCGAGCUGCUAAGCAAAACAGAGAAGUACUGAACCAUUGCUACUGCUGACAGACGUGCAUAGACAAGGAUUAAACAAGUGCUCAUGCAUUCAGACAUGUAUUAGUUCAUCGAUUAACUCAUCAACUACUAAACUGAUCAGGCACACACGGUCAAAAGCAUGCAUGCAAUGAUUAGUUCCUGUAGCUGUGCAAGUGACACGCCUGAAUCAAAACAACUAUCUCUGAAUAAUGGCCAAACCUUGCUUCUGCUGUCAGGGCUGGGCUGGUCGCUGCUGCUGAUCUGCUCGACCGGGCCGGCUUGCUCCGCACCGCGAACUAGGCCUAGCGUGGCCUGCCUGAGCCGCUCUGGGCCGGCGUGCCUGGCUGGGCUGGCGUGCAGCUUGCCUCGCCUGGUCCGUGAGUGCCGGCCUGUGGAGCCCAGCGCAGCAGCGUCGCGCUUGGCGCGCGUGCCGCACGCGUGCCUCUGCCCGAUAGAAGAACAGAGACGAACAGAGCAAGAACACGACGAACAAAGCUCAACUUUGAAUCAAAAGUCCUCUCUCGAAACUCCACGGAUCCAAAUAAAACUUGAUCCAUAGAAGAAACACCUCAAGGUAUAAUAGAUCCAUGAAAAAGAUUUUGGAAAGCUCAAGUAUUCAGAGCGGAUUUAGGAGAAAACCGAAUGCCCUCCACGAAGAAAACGGUUUGGGAAAACUCAAAUUCAAGCUAAAUUCGUGAGUGAUUUGAGGGAGGUCACAUCAAAGUUGCUCAUAAAGAUCCUAGAAACAAAUUCCCCCAACAAAUUUUAUGGGAUUUGGAUUUAAACAUGUUGAACAAAAAUUUCCACAAAAAUGCUAAAAAAAUCUGAAAAAGAUAAAUUUCAGAUUCAAAGAGUAUGAACAAGAUGGCAUGAAAUUGAUCUUUAAAUUAUUCCACCAUGUUCGGUUACAAGUCACUCCUAAGCACAAUCGAAAUUAGGAUGGCAAAAAAAUCAAUAUAAAGAUCCACUCAUCUCUGUCCCUUUCUCACACCCAAAGGCUCCCACAAUCAAAUGAGAAGCUCACCAUCAAAGAGAUGCCCAACAGCCCUCCACACACACAAAUAUAUAUAGACAUAGACAUCCGAAAAAUGAUCAGAAUGUCCUUACAUGAAGCACACAACUCAAAUACCUCCAUAGGUAAAAUCAUUUAACUUUUUCCUCGUACAUCGGAUGAACCCAGCGCCUUUACGACUUAGCUUUGCCUCGACGCAAGCUUCGUGAUAAUACCGCGCGUCCUCUGACUCGACGAUGUCCAGCUGCACCGAACUCAUCCUCUGGUUUUGAGUUCAAACCAGUCAAACCCUCUUGCACACCCCGCAGGUGUGACUCAGACCCGAUUUUGAGGCCAAACUGGUCAAAGCCUCUUGCACGCCGCACCCGACGUGACUCACCGAUGUCGACGUGUCCGGCCUCCGCCAAGCAAGAGUACACGGAUGGGAUGGAGACAGCGUGUACUCUAGCUUAAUCCCUCACUUAGUUGAUGAUGGCCUAUCUAUCCUCCAAUAUGCAAAUGCGUUGACCUGCUAUGACCAGAGUGCACCCCGGCAUGGGUAGGUUUCACAGCUUCGAGGUUCUCAACUGGUGACGGAGUGCCCUGCAGUUGAGAGUGGUUCCAGACUCGAGAAAACAAGUGAGUACUAUCCACUUACUAGGGCUUCGACCGUUAAGGGGGUUUGGACGGAUCGCUACUGUUCAGGCUCCAUCCGUGCAGGUACAGUUGUACAACCUCUGCGGAGUGUGUAAACCUAUAGCUAUAGUUUCGUUGGGGGGAAAUAUAAACAACCUCCAAAUGCCCCUUAAAACAAAUCAUGAAGGCCCAGGCCCACCUGCGGUAAUGACGAUUGCCGCCGGCCCAGCAUGGGCAGGGAACAUCCCGCUCCGUCUCGUCCGACCCAGGACCCUGGGGUCGGACACUCCCGAUCCCUCGAUGGCAAAACUCCGCCUCACCCGACCCACGGUCCCAGGGUCGGAUGCACCCGACCCCUCGCCGCAAAGUUCCGCCUCGCCCAACCCCGAGUGUAAAGGGUCAGACUCAUUCGGGCCCACAAGACAAGGGUCCGCCUCGGGCAUAGACCAGCAAACGAGGACGCGGAUCUCGUGGGCCCCUCACUGAUCUUGUCAUAAAUGCACCGCGGCUCUAUCGCGCAGAAAGGCGCCUGCGCCCUUUGACGUGACCACCACAAGUACCCGGGCAUAGAACGCUGUAGCCACGACCGCACAGGCUACAGUGCCACGGCUCCCCCUGAUUCGCCAUAAGGCACUCAUGGCAUGCGCCAUCCGGCACAGGAGGGAGCUCCGCCCGUUCUCGCGCCCCGCGUAUCCAGCGACAGGGACGCGACGUCCGUGUCCCACGGAUCGUAAGCAGGACAACAGGGGUCAGCCGUAUCCCCCAACGUGCAUAGUUGCCACGACCAAACACCAUCAUCAUGCUUGGCGGCAGCGGUCGCCAGGAAGAUCGUCGACAUGAUCUGAAGACAGCUGCCCUCCUCUGGUGGACGCGCUGACAGGAGCCGAAGGCUGAAGCAGGAGGGGGCGGCCCGGGGACUUGGUCCUUCUCCUUGUACUUUACUUUACUCAGCUUAUCUCUUUCACUUCUCCAGACCCCGGUUCACCUAUAACCCUGAGCCCUCCUUGCGCUAUAAAAGGAGAACCAGGGGCCCCGAUACCGGGAGGACUCUCAGGCCAAUAGAACCCACACACUCACCUCACGAGCAUCGGUGCACACCCAAGAGACUUGGGACCGGCUCCCUCUCUCGCCUAUUUGUAACCCCUACUACAGACCUUGCGUGAGUAACACGAGCAGCUCCUCAUACUGGACGUAGGGCUUUCCUUGCCCGAACCAGUCUAACCCCGUGUCUUCUCACGCCACCAUUAGAAGCCUUACGCGCAUAAAAGAAAUUUACUAGCAGUAGUCUUGACCCGCUAAUCUUGACAACGACAGUUGGCGUGCCAGCUAGGGGACCUUUGCGUGUACAUCACUAGCUUCUGAUGGCCAGCCAUGACGCCAGCUUUGCUGCCGGCUCCCUCGUCCGCUUUGGGAGCUUGGACUUCCUCGCCACGGGGGAGGGAGUCGCACUGAUCCCUCUCCUUGGCCUGCCCGCUCGCCCCGACGUCCCCGGCUGCGCCGCCGGGAUAGCAGUGAGCGACCGGGCGUGCACCACAGGGCCCCCUUCGGAGGAGUGGCCCUUCGGGCUGUGCAAUGCCGCGGCGACCCACGGUCGCCUUCUGGCGCGGUCCAUGACCAUGUCACCUAUGAGCAACGAGCUCGUGGGCGUGGCGAGGACAGCCUCCGACGCCGGUUCCGACAACAGGAGCCACCACCCCUCACACGAGUGCUUCAUGGCCGACGCGCACUCCGAGGGGUCAAACAAUAAUGGCGCCAAGGGGAGGCAGCACACUCCCCCACCGCACGCCGCAGCUACGACAGCCGGACGCGCACGCGGCGCCCCACCAGGUGGUCGAGCGCCCCCGUAACGAAGGUGGGGCACGACAACGGGCGCGCGACAUCCAACGACGCAUUUGCGUGGACGGAGAUCGCCCUCAGCUCUUCGCUCGUGCCAGCCAGAACAUCGCUGCAGCGGCGGCCCUGCUCCGAUGACUCCCCGAGCCGGUGACGCAUAAGGAGCAUCAGGCGCACCAAGAUGUGCGCGACCUGCUCGAGUGCGCCGCCGUCCAGCAGGCGGAGAGCUCCGCGUCCCGGUGACGUGGGCACAACGCUAGCAGGGCAGCACCCACUGCACCUCCUGAGAGGCGGGGGGAGUCUGUCCACCAGCCUCCUCCCAGGGCGAACCAGGCUGCACCCGCUCGACGGACACCGCCACCCGCAGGAGGCGGGGCUCAGUCCGUUCACCAGUGCGUCGACCCCGUCCGCGACGCCCGCGACACUCUGGACGCGAGGAGGCGCUCCCGCGUGGACCGAGAGGACGAAGUGGACCGUGGCUAUCACGUCCACCGUGGCGGCCGCUACGACAGCGAAGAAGAUCGCAGCCCGAGCCCCGACCCAGCGGGGCCCAGGGCCUUCUCCGCGCGCAUCCUGAACGCGCCAUUCCCGACGCGCUUCAGGCAGCCUACGAAUGUGGCCAAGUACUCCGAGGAGACGAACCCCGGGCUGUGGCUCAGCGACUACCGGCUUGCAUGUCGGGCCGAUGGGGCAGAUGAUGACCUGUUCAUCAUCCGCAAUCUCCCGCUCUUUCUGGCCGACUCGGCGCGAGCCUGGCUGGAACACAUCCCUUCGGGUCGGAUCCGCAGCUGGAAUGACCUGAAGGAGAUCUUCAUGGGAAACUUCCAGGGCACAUACAUGCGCCCUGGCAAUUCCUGGGACCUGCGGAGCUGCCGCCAGGGGUCGGACGAGUCCCUUCGUGACUACAUCCGGUGUUUCUCCAGGAAGCGCACCGAGCUCUCCAACGUCGCGGAUGCCAACGUCAUCGGAGCUUUCCUGGCAGGAACUUCCUGCCGGUCCCUUGUCCACGAGCUGGGACGCAGGGGCCCGCGGACCAUGGAGGAGCUCCUCAACAUCGCCACCAGCUUCGCCUCGGGCAAAGAGGCUGUCGGGGCAAUCUUUGACCGUUCCAAGAGCAAGGCAAAGCGGGAGGAGGACGCCGACGAGGGCACCUCCAACCGUCAACAGAAGAAGAAGAAUAAGCAGCGACACGAAACUCCCCUCGUGGCUGUUGCUGAGCGCAAGUGGGGGCUACCGCCCCUAGAGGGCACCCCUGGUUUCUUCAACAAGCUGCUCGAGGGAUCGUGCCCAAACCAUGAGUUCCCUACGAAGCAUGCCUACAAAGAUUGCAACCUCAUGAAGAGGUAUUUUGUAGGCAACCCAGUGAAGAGCGACCGGAGACGGAAGCCCAACGAGGAGAAGAAAGACGGAGAAGAGAAGGAAGAUGGCUUCCUCAAGGUGGACGGCUGCUUCAUGAUCUUCGGCGGGCCGGCAGCUUACGACUCCAAGCGCCGCCAGAAGCUGGAGUGCCACGAGGUCUACGCGGCCGAGCCCGCUACACCGACCUUCCUCAACUGGUCGGGACCCGCCAUUACCUUCGACCGGUCCGACCACCCAGGGCGCAUCCUGCAGCCGAGACGCUACUCGCUCGUCAUCGACCCCAUCGUUGGCACAACGCGCCUCACCAAGGUUCUCAUGGACAAAGGCAGCAGCCUCAACAUCCUUUACGCCGAGACUCUCGACGCCAUGGGGAUCGACUGCUCCCGCCUCCGCCCCAGCGAGGCGCCAUUCCACAGCACCGUGCCGGGGAAAUGGGCGAUGCCUCUCGGGCAGAUCGACCUGCCCGUCACUUUUGGAACUCCUUCCAACUAUAGGAAGGAGACCCUCACCUUCGAAGUGGUAGGUUUUCGUGGAACCUACCACGCCAUCCUGGGGCGGCCGUGUUACGCCAAGUUUAUGGCCAUCCCCAACUACACCUACCUCAAGCUCAAGCUGUCGGGGCCCAACAGGGUCAUCACCGCCGGCCCGUCUUUCCAGAAGGCGUACGAGUGCGACGUAGAGUGCUGCGAGUACGCCGCAGCCAUCACCUACACGGAGGAUCCCGCGGUCCAGCUCGCGGAGAGCACCGAGGACCCGCCCGACCCCAAGCAGUCCGACACCUCCUUCGAAGCCACUGAAGGCAUCAAGGAGGUCCCACUCGACCCCAGCAGUUCCGACAGCAGGACCGUGCGGAUAGGCGCUACCCUAUCUCCCAAAUAGGAAAGCGCGCUCGUCGACUUCCUCCGCGCAAACAACGACGUUUUCGCGUGGAAACCCUCGGACAUGCCCGGCAUCCCGAGGGAAGUCGCCGAACACUCCUUGAACAUCAAGGCCGGCUCCAAACCGGUGAAACAAGGCUUGCGUCGCUUCGAUGAGGAGAGGCGCAAGGCCAUCGGCGAGGAGCUCCAGAAGCUUUUGGCGACGGAUUCAUCAAGAAACUGUACCACCCUGAGUGGCUGGCUAAUCCUAUUAUUGUACGAAAAAAGAAUGGGAAAUGGAGGAUGUGUGUUGAUUAUACCGGUCUCAACAAGGCAUGUCCAAAGGAUCCGUUUCCUUUGCCACGAAUAGAUCAGAUAGUUGACUCAACCGCCGAGUGUGAAACACUUAGCUUCCUUGACACGUAUUCCGGCUACCAUCAAAUCGCGACGAAAGAGUCCAACCAGCUCGCGACCUCUUUCAUCACCCCGUUCGGCCCCUACUGUUAUGUUAAGAUGCCGUUCGGCCUCAAAAACACGGGGGCUACGUUCCAGUGAUGUAUGCUUAAGUGUUUCGGGGACCUCGUCGGGCGGACCGUUGAGGCCUACGUGGAUGACAUCAUAGUCAAGUCCAAGAAGGGCGACAAACUCAUCCCCGACCUCGAAAUAGCCUUCGAAAGGCUGAGAGACAAGCACAUCAAGCUCAACCCUGAAAAGUGUGUUUUCGGGGUUCCAAGGGGCAUGCUGCUGGGUUUCAUCAUCUCCGUACGCCGCAUCGAAGCCAAUCCGGAGAAAAUAAUGGCCAUCAGCGACAUGGGGCCAAUUUGAAACAUAAAGGGAGUUCAGCACGUCGCGGGAUGCCUGGCGGCCCUGAGCCGCUUCAUCUCGCGCCUCGGCGAACGGGGGCUCCCUCUCUACCGACUCCUGAAGAAGACCGACCACUUUGUGUGGACCGCCGAGGCCCAGGAGGUGCUUGACCGGCUCAAGAACCUCCUGACAGAGGCCCUGAUCCUGGUCCCACCUACCGACGGGGAGCCACUUCUGCUCUACAUCACGGCGACCACCCAGGUGGUUAGCGCGGCUCUGGUGGUGGAGCGAGAGGACGAGGGACACGCCCUCAAGGUGCAGCACCCGGUGUACUUCAUCAGUGAGGUCUUGUCCGAGUCCAAGGCGCGCUACCCACAGAUCCAGAAGCUCAUCUACGCCAUCCUCAUCAUGAAGAGGAAGUUGCACCACUACUUCACCUCCCAUCCCGUGACGGUCAUCUCAUCAUUUCCUCUCAACGAAGUGAUCCGGAAUCAAGAUGCCAUGGGACGGAUCGCGAAGUGGGCGCUCGAGCUCAUGGACCAGGGCAUCAGUUAUGCCCCCCGUACAACCAUCAAGUCCCAAGUGCUCGCCGACUUUGUUGUAGAGUGGACGGAGAUCCAGAUGCCACCGGUACCGGAGAAGCAGGAGCACUGGACAAUGUACUUCGACGGGUCGUUGAUGAAGGCUCGCGUCGGAGCGAGUCUGGUGUGGCGGAACCGUCCAACUUAAACUGGUUUAAAUGCGCCUAAUCGCUGCCGAUGCAGCAAUUAUCCGAAACGCACUUAAAACAGUAUAAGUCCGGUCGUCCGUCGAGUGUCCCUAGGACUCCUCGAAAGAUCCACGUCGUGUCUCAUAGCCAUACAUCAGGAUUGUAUCCGCGAUGGGAUAGCAUCAACAAAUAUUACAUUUUUACAUACAUACACGAGGUACGAGUUAAUACAAGACAUAGUUUGAAACAAACUUAACAGUGCAGAUUAGACAGAAGUUCUAGGAUUUUAAACAUAAACGGUUCAGGAGGGAGAUGGGCAUCUAAGAUUUCUUCUAAGGGUAUUGUGAGACUCAUAACAAUACCCUAAUUUUUCGGGGCUUCCUCCUCGGUGGAUUCCUGCGGUGCCUCUGAAAAUAGCCACAAGGGAUAACCCUGAGUACGAGGUACUCAUCAAGGCUUACCCGACUAACCAAUAUAAUAGUUUUUCUUGGAAUUACAUGAUAGCUUUUUCGGUGUACUUGGCUGACCCAUUUUUGCCAAAAAUCUUACUAAGAGUGAGACCUUAGCUUUAUCUUUUGUUUGGAUUAAGUCAUUACCCAACCAUUCUAGGUGAUGAUAAAAGACUAUUUGCAAACAUCCAGGUAUUGAGUCAUACACCAAACAUUAGUAGAAAGAUAUAGCAUUCAUGAAUUUAUGCUAUGAUGCUCAACAGCGAUCAAGUGCAUUCAUAACCGAGAAUUGCGGCGAUCCGAAUCAAAUUACAUCCUGCAGGAGAGUACCCUGAUCACCAGCUAUAUACGACUGUCCAGGUUGUACGUAACGACUUUUCGAUUAGCAAAUCCAAUGAUUGGGAAUAAGACUACCCGAACCCAGGGACGCACCCCCACAUGGGACCCCACGUCUGGCCUGAUCACCAUGUGAGUUUCAGGCUACGCCCCUGCCAAUCUCCAGCACGUCAAGCGCGGGUAUGAAGUAUUCCCGAUCAGAGGGUUUACUAACCUACUGGGCUUUGCUGGUCCCAUACCCAGUAAGUGAUCAGAUGUCUUUCACUUGACCAAAGCUAUAGACAACGAAUCGGGCCUUAACCAAAUUAAUCUAGCAGACAGAACUACAUCCCUAGCUUUUGUCCGCUUCUUAAUUUCCAAGUUAUCUUUCCAUAAUUAACAUGCAUGACUCAAUAUUUACCUUAAGGUUUGGUAAAGUAAGUGUUUGAGUAACUAAGCAAUUCUAGACUUGGGUUAUUUACUAAAGGUUUGAACAAGUGGCAAAGAUGUCCUUAAAACAAGGUAUGAUAAUGCACAAGAAUGGGUUUCAAGCAACAUCUAGACUUAGUGCAUACAUAUAGCAGAUAACUGAUAAUUGGACACAUGAAAUAUCGACUCCAAAAUAAUAGGUAUAAUGCACCGGGGCUUGCCUUGUUCGUAAAAAAGUUAGCACCGUCUGAAGGGUUGGCCUUGUAGGGAACCAACUCAAAGAUCUCUUCAAACUCCGGAGAUCCUUCUGAAUAUUCCGAGAAAUCCCCUUCCGUGCUUCGGUGUCUAUGACAAAGCAUAUGCAGGGGUUAGGAAUGCAACUUUUUUGAAUAUAAGACUAUUGUUGGCGCUAGAAAUCGGUCAACCGAAUCCCCAGCGUCUGACACACGACCCGGGAGAAUGUGCUUAACUCCUGUUCGGGUGAUUGCCCUGGUGCGGUUCGCGCGGUGUGCCAGCCAAUCUGACCUGUUGAUUGGCAAGGAAGAAUACGUGUCAGGUCCAGAAAUCAUGAUCGGCUAAAUUUCCGAUCUCGAGAGAGCUUAUCAGUGAAUCGGCCGAUUUGCCGUAAUAAAGAAAUCGGCUAUGAAGCAGCCGAUCACUGUAGCCGUGUAGACAAGAAAUUACUGGAGUAAUCGACACAAUGCUAUAGUAACAACACUAGGAAUAGAUCUAAUCAGCUAUAUGCGAAAUAAGUGAAUUUAAUAACAGAAAGUAAAGAAAGCCGAAAUCGCCGAUUCCUAGCUGGAUAACUGGUGAUAAAACUACAAAGACAGGUAAAACCUAUGAUUCUAGUAAAUAUCGAUAACUAGUGAAUAAAUCUAAACGAAACGACAGCGAUGCGCCCGAAGUUAAAGCUUAGAAUUUACUCGGUAAACGGAACUUACAAGAUCGGCCGGAGAUCAAGUUGAUGCAGCCCUGCCAACCCGUACGAACUCGUGAAAAAGGAGAAAGUACUUGGCGAAGUCGCCUGCUCGAAAGUAAGUACGAGGAAAUAGUAGUUGGUUGUAUUGAUUUGUUGAUGAUUACAGAUUUACAAAGAUAGCUAUUUAUAGCCCCGUACAGAUGACUCCUUAACUGACUAGAACUCUAUCCCUAAUUCAAAUACAAAACGAAUAUUUACAAGCACGAUUCGUACUAGGUUGGUUAUUAUACACCUCAUGGGCUGAUUUCCUCUUCAUCCUUCUGAUCCUUCCCAAGCCCAUACUGGCCCAAUUAUUCCAGCCCCCUAAUCGGCCGAUUCCUUAUCGGCAAAGGGUAACCGAUUCGGGAACCAGGCGUGUUCGAUCCGAACCCCAAGGGUUAAGCGAGGUAGAAAUCAUCGGCCGAUCCCGUACUGUAGCAUUUGGCCGAUCUUGGACUGUAGUGCCAACCAACCGAUCUCCAACUAUACUUUCCCAUUUCCUCUCCUCCUGACGCCGAUUUCACUAGUGACGAAAUCUGGCGUCAACACAUGCCCCCCAGUUUCGGAGUAAAACAUAGUCUUUUACUUCGAAAUUCUUUUCAACUUCCCCUCCGAAACAGCCGCAAUGAAAAUAUCCUUCCGUUUCGCGGUCUUCAACCUGAUGAUUGCAAUCUUUUCAAAACGGGUGCCCACGACAACCACUACUCCCGAAAAACUCGAAACGCCUGCGCGGUGAAAAUUCCAUUUUUACCCCUCCUUAGGCGCCCUUUAAAUAGCAGUUCACCCCGCACUUUCACCUUCGAGCUCACGUCUUUCUUCCUCAGCGCGCGCGCCUUCUUCUUCCCUCAGCACUUUCCCUUAGCUCUGAAGCUCCUCAGUGCCACCUUCCUAUUGCUUCUUCUUUUCCCCUCCAAUGGCGGCACCUUCAGGCAACUCGCCCGCGCGCAAUGCUCCAGAAAUGGCGCCUCCGGCGGAAGUGACGACAGCGGUUGCUCCGUCGUCAGAAGAAGGAGCUUCAUCGGAGAUCCCAAUGGCGAUCCCCAUCGCGGCCUCAUCCUCCGCAGCUGCACCGGCGGUCACGCCGACUACUAGGAACUUCAUCCCAGAGGUUAUUACCGAAUCCUUCCUCUAUCGGCAAUGCAUUUACUUUAGAUCUAUUUCUUACUUUUGCACCCCCCCUUUCCUUUUUAGGCGGUUAGACAUCGCAUCACCAUCCACCUUACGGGAAAUCCUGGCCUUAUCUGUCUUGGACCCAUGGGGAACCCAGAUCCGAUAGAGCUCAUCAAUUUAGAAACCCACAGAAUCCCCUUCAAACAAUCCACCAUGGACCUGGAUCACUGGUUAGGCACCUUUAGGUCCUGGCCGAAUGAAACCCCAGGUUGGAGGGAGUGGUACCAACGGAUAGCCGAACCGAAGAGGGUCCUAUGGGACGAGCUCAAAAUCGGCCAGUGUAUCAACCUGUCUUUGUCCCAGAUGGAGCGAAAUGAACCGCUGGUGAUAGCGGCCUCUUACUUUUGGUCUGAUGCCCUCAAUGCUUUCUUGUUUGGGCAUGGACCUAUGACUCCCACACUGGCCGAUGUGGUUCUGUUGACCGGCCUUGACAUUUCCUUCCCGGACACACCUUUCCGCCUCUUAGCCGCAACGUCACAUCGGCUGGACACAAGAGGAAUUGGCGGGUGGAAAGGAUUCAUCAGAUGCAACAAAAGAGCUGGGUCUGUUGAGAAUAGGGAGCACACGGACUUUUUAAUGAUGUGGUUAGAAAAACAUUUCUUUUGCGGAAGAGCAGCCGGCCCAUCAACCAACACCCAGGCUUUAGCCGAAGCGCUAUCGGCAGGAACCCCUGUUCCCCUUGGGAAACACUUGCUAGGGGUGGCGUACCACAUGCUCCACCAAAUCGGCAUCAAACUAUCCAAGGGGGAGCCGAUUGGAAAUCCAAGUGGCCCCUGGUGGUUCAUCAAUUUAUGGUUGAACCUUUAUAUAAGCAAGAUCACUCAGCAGAAUGUGGGUCACAUGAUGUUCCCUAACAUUGAAUCGGCAGAAGAUCCUACUGCUCGUCGCCGAUGCACAUCUUUCGGUGAAGCGGCGUCGGCCUUCCCGGGUUGCUUGUACUCUGCUACAAAAGUGGCCGAGUACUUCCGAUGCUUCUACAACGGCUUUAAUGAAGAUGCAACCGUCUGGUUUCCUUAUCAGCGGGAUGACCCAAUCUUUGAACUCCCAACCUGCUUCGACUCAACCACUGGCCGAUUCGACGAAGAACUCACUGAUGAGCUAAUCAAGCCAGGAAUCCUGCCAGCCAACUUCUUUUCGGGGAAAGAUGCCCCCACGUACGAGUUCUACAAUCCCUCUGCUGCAGCACGCCAACUCGGCAUGGGUCAGCUGCUGAUUCAAGUAUAUUUUGCUGGCCGAGUCAAGUUCAGAGAUGGGCUCACAACAGGUCUGGACUACAGUCGGGUACGAGACCGGAUCCCGGACUCCACCACUAUUGACCUGAACAACUGGAUAGUAGCCCCCUUCGCUGUCCAGCCAUUCAAACUUUGGUGGGCCGAAUGGAAACAAUUCCUCUUCUGCAACUCGGCAUCGGCAUACUGCAAUCUCCUGGAUCCAGCCAACAUCGACCCGAACGCCGAGGUAUUUUCCUUAGCCGAUUUUUACUCUUUUUUCAACAUAAUUGAAUACUAAUGCUUCGCUUCAUUUCUUCAGUCUGAGAAUCAUACUCCUCCAACACACAGCUGGAGUGGUCGGCUAAUAGAGGGUCAUCAUCCAUACACCUCCUACCCUCUCAUCGGCUACGACGCUCCGUCCGUGGACGUGAUUGCUGGCCGAUCGAAACAAGCACAGAAGAGAGUUACUAAGAAGACCAGCCGCCGAGUCCGAGCCCGUAUAGAAUCGGCGGAUCCUCCCAUGCUUGUAUCGGCAGAGACUUCGGCCGCGCCACCCCCUCAGGCUUCCAGAGAUAUCGACACUCAAGUCGUCGCACAAGCUGGGGCAGCCGCCGCGUCACUGUUGUUAGAGGCCGUUCAGGUAAACUUAUGUUUUAAUCCUCCCGAUUGUCGUUUCGAUAUUAAUCCUUCUUAUCUUAGACUGCACAGAGUACUCCCAUGGACACACCACAAUCGGCAGCAACCCAAUCGGCCGUCGACACGCCCCCGCUUCCAUCCGUUGAGGUACAACACUAUUUCACCGAUUCCCCUAGUAUUUGAAUAAUAUGCUUACUCAACCUUUUGACACAGGUCAUCGGCACGCCAAGCGCUCCUCACCCAUUGGUCCCCUCUUGGGAAGCUGGUCCAAGCAUCGCACCGAUCAUCGUGGAGUCCUCCUCUUCUGAUGAACCUAUGGUACAGGCCCCUGAGCAGGGAACGACGGCUUCCCGAAUGCAACUUGAAGAGAUUCGCUUCAAAGUGGUAAGACAUCUUUCAGCUUUAUUUAGCCGAUUUGCUAUCACCAUAAGCUGAUUUAUUUUUUCUUCUUCAUUAUUUCCAGGAACAGGACACCCCUGACAAUAGCCUCUUCUCUUUCGCGGUCGCCCUUUCUGACGAUGAAGAAGUCGCUUCUCGCCAGGUCGCCUUGAGCUCCAUCCCUGACGAUGUCCGAGCCAAGCUUACUAGCAUCCGAUCCCUUCUUCAAGGAGACAUCGGCCGAUUAGUAGAAGAUGCCUCACCGAUUCGGCAGCUUUUCGGUGACAUCAGCGGACGAGUGCCAGAAGAAGCGGAGGAAGCCUUGGCGCCGGCUGCAUUCAUCGAGUCCAUGAGGAUCCCGGUCUUCAGAGCCCUUCGUCACAUGGCCGAUCGCGCCAAGUUGGCUAAGACCCGUGAAGAAGAGGACGCGUACAAACGUCAGGCUCAAGAGGUACACCAACGCAUUCACUUUCUAGAGGAUUCCCGCCCAGGGAUCGUCGGUGAGAUAGACCGCCUUAAACGCCGAAGGGCAGAGCUCGCCAAGGAGAUGGAGCAGGUGACCAAGGCAAUCAAUGCCGAAGAGAAAAGGCUCCAAGAACUCCCUUCUGUCCUUGCCGAUUUAAAACAGGAGAGGCAGCAUUUGGCCCAUGAAGCCCUGAAGCUCCACCGUAGCGCGUCAGAAGUCCCCGGAUCGGCGGAUGAAGAUCAACGGAUCUUGGACUCUGCCGAUCAGAUCCGGUGCCGGGCGAUUGCGGCCAUCGAUGCCCUUCUGGGUAAUCUGUAAAGGCACUGACUAUUUUGUACGAACCUUUAAUAACUGCUUUGACCGUCCUUCGCGACGCCUCCUUUAUUUAUUGCCUUUCUUACUUCCGAUGGGACGCACCCUUACCAAAUAUCCACACCUCUUUCUCUUAUAAAUGCCGGCCUAGACUCCCCCUUUCGAGAGUACCAGCUUGGCUUCGGCUUUAUUUUCUCAACCCGUUCUCGUCGGUGCGACCUUCUGUCAUGUCUUCGUCGACUUCCUCUUCCUCUGUCAACCAGGUGAAACCCUGGCCUUGAUUCCCCUCUCUCUUUUUAAUUCUUUGGAAGAUGAUGAUCCUUUUUAAUCUUUCUCUCUUUCAGCCGCGGCAUCUUAGCCCCGAGCUCGAACGCGCCAUCGAGCUCAUACACUCUGAUGACCCGUUGUCGUCAGAGGAUAAGGAUUUAAUCAGGGCUCAUCGUGACGAACUUCAAGAACACGUCUCUGCGGACGCCCGUCGGGUCUUGGACUUUUUGAAUGACAACACCCGCCGGCGACCUGAAGUCGACAGAAGUCAUCCGCUUCCUCCACGGGUCAUCCUUGAAGAUGCGGCGGCAGGAACUUCACGCCCGGCCAUGGAUCGGAGCCACCCUCUCCCCCGUCAAGUCGAAGCGGAGGCUUCGAUGAAAGAGACAGAAGAAGAGUACAUUCGUCGUAUGAUAGAGUUAGGUCGGGCUGAGAGAGAGCGUAAGAAAAAGAAUGGCGAGGCCCUAAUAGAGAUGGACGAGGAGUACAUCCGUCUCAUGAUAGAAUUAGGUCGGGCUGAGAAAGAGCGCAAGAAGAAGAAUGGCUAAUUAUUAUUUUUUGUUCUAAAGGCGACUUGUACCUUGUCGGCCGUGUAAUCCAUCGUCCGUACCGAAUGAAUACAUCGGCCGAUUUGGACGAUUACAUGUUUUUUUAUAGAUGAACCGUCUUGUAUCGGCUGCGCGCCGUUGUAUUACGGUCAAUCUUUUAUGUUCCGACCCAUAUACUAGGGUAGUAUCUUUUCAAGUACCUUCCAUUCAGAGCCCUAGUAAACUCUUCUCCCUCGAUUGUUUCCAGAAUAUAAGCAUUUCCUGGAGCACAUCUGCCGAUUUUAUACGGCCCUUCCCAUGUAGGGGACCACUUUCCGAAUUUAGGAUCUUUCGACCCAAUCGGCAAUACUAACUUCCAAACCAAGUCCCCAGGGGAGAAUUGUUUGACUUUGACCUUCUUAUCGUACCAUCUGGCUACUUUCUUUUUAUUUUCUUCAAUUCUUAUCAAGGCUCUUAACCGCUGGCCGACCAAGUCAUCGAGUUCCCUUUUCAUGAGUGACGAGUAGUCGUCGGCCGUUAACUGGUCCUGGAGCGAAAUGCGUCUCGAUCCCGCCCUUGACUCCCACGGUAGUACUGCAUCGUGACCGUACACCAACUGAUAAGGGGAUAACUUGGUGGCCCCAUGACAAGCCAUCCUGUACGCCCAUAGGGCUUCGGUUAAACAUAGGUGCCAUUUCUUUGGCUGCUCCUCUAUUUUUCUUUUGAUUAACUUGAUUAUCCCUUUGUUGGAAGAUUCGGCCUGGCCGUUGGCCUGGGCGUAGUACGGAGAGGAGUUUAACAAUUUGAUCCCCAUAUCGGCUGUAAAUUCUUCGAAUUCCCCCGAUGUGAACAUUGUUCCCUGAUCGGUUGUAAUAGUAUGGGGAAUGCCGAAUCGGUAGACGAUAUGAUCCCUUACGAAGUCGGCCAUGAUAGCCGAUGUUACGGCUCUUAAUGGGAUUGCUUCCACCCAUUUGGUAAAGUAAUCGGUAGCCACCUGAAUAAAUUUGUGCCCCUUGCUUGAUGGUGGGUAAAUUUGGCCGAUAAGGUCUAUUCCCCAUCCUCUGAACGGCCAUGGUUUGAUAAUGGGAUUCAUGGCCGAUGCGGGUGCACGUUGGACGUUCCCAAAUUUCUGACAAUCCUGGCAUCCCUUAUAAUAUUUGAAACAAUCUUCGAGGAUCGUUGGCCAGUAAUACCAAUUAUUCCUGAUCAUCCAUUUCAUCUUAUGGGCCGAUUGGUGUGCUCCACAUACCCCUUCAUGGAUUUCUCCCAUUAGAGUCUUAGCCUCCUCUGUUCCCAGGCAUUUGAGUAGGACGCCAUCAAUCGUUCGGUAGAACAGGUCGUCUUCGAGCAGUACGUACUUAGUAGCAUGAAAACGCACUCGUCGUUCCACCUUCUUAGACGGAUCUUUCAAGUAGUCGGCAAUUUCUUUCCGCCAGUCAUCGGCCGCGAGUUCCAGAGCCAUAGCGCCUAGAAUUGGCCGAUAUCCAGAUGCGUGCUGGGCGAGCUUGUUGGCAUCCUCGUUGUGGUCCCUUGGGAUGUGCUCGAUUACUGCCGAUUUAAAUUCUUUUAAGAGCUGUAAGCAAUCCUCAUAAUAAAUUCUUAAUACAUCGUCCUUGCAUUCGGACCUCCCGGUUAAUUGAUCCACAAUCAGCAUGGAAUCCCUGAAGACUUCGAUAGAAUCGGCCUUGACUUCUCUUAGUAGUUGUAAGCCCUUCAAUACAGCUCGGUAUUCCGCUUGAUUGUUAGUGGAGGUGGCUUCUAUCGGCAGAGAAAAACCAUAGCUUGCCCCCCGAGGCGAUAUGAGAACGAUGCCGAUUCCUGAUCCGACCCCACAUGACGACCCAUCAAAGUAUAAAGUCCAAGGCACCGGUUGUACGAAGGUAAUCUCUGGAACGCAGUGUUGGGCGACGAAAUCGGCCAUGACCUGACCCUUGACGGCUUUUGCCGAUUCAUACCGCAGGUCGAACUCUGACAAAGCUAAGAUCCAUUUACCGAUCCGUCCUUUCAAGAUCGGCAGUGAUAGCAUGUAUUUUACUACAUCGUCUUUGCAUACGACCACGCAUUCUGCCGACAGUAAAUAGUGCCUGAGUUUGGUGCAUGAGAAGUAAAGACAUAGGCACAAUCGCUCCACCGGAGGAUAUCUUAUUUCAGCGUCCAGAAGUCUUCUACUGACAUAAUAAAUCACUUGUUCCUUUCCUUCGAAUUCCUGGACUAGAGCCGACCCAAUAGCCUUUUCAUCGGCUGAUAAGUAUAAUUUAAAUGGCUUACCAGUCUGAGGAGGAACCAAUACCAGUGGUGAAACCAAGUACUGCUUGAUAUCUUCCAAUGCUUUGCGUUGCUCCUCCCCCCAUAUGAACUCCUGGUCAGGCUUCAACUUCAACAGUGGUGUGAACGCCUGAAUCCGCCCAGACAGAUUAGAUAUGAAUCUUCUGAUGAAAUUCACCUUGCCGAUUAAAGACUGCAAUUCAGUUUUAUUCUGCGGGGCCACGACUUUGUUGAUAGCCGCUAUGGUCUUCCGAUUGAUUUCUAUUCCCCGCUCGUGCACCAUGAAUCCUAAGAACUGUCCGGCGGAUACGCCGAAGGCAUAUUUAUUGGGGUUCAUCUUCAGCCCGUGUUUCUUGGUGCACUCUAGCACUCUUCGUAAAUCGGCCAGAUGCUCUUCGUAUCCUUUAGACUUAACCACGACGUUGUCGAUGUAGAUUUCUACCAGAAUGCCGAUGAGUUUGUGAAAUAUGUAAUUCAUGGCUCUCUGAUACGUGGCGCCGGCGUUCUUCAAGCCAAAAGUCAUCACCACCCACUCGAAUAAACCAAGGUGCCCCAGGCAUCUGAAGACCGUUUUGGGUAUGUCCUCUUCGGCCAUAAGUAUUUGAUUGUACCCAGCGUUUCCGUCCAUGAAGCUAAUAAUCUUGUGUCCCGCGGCAACGUCUAUCAGCACAUCGGCCGUCGGCAUGGGGUAUCCGUCCAUCGGUGUGGCCUGAUUAAGAUUCCUGAAAUCAACGCACACGCGUAACUUUCCGUUCUUGUUGUACACAGGUACAAUGUUGGAGAUCCAUUCGGCAUAACGGCAUUGCCGAAUAAAUUUCGCUUCGAUUAGCCGAGUUAUUUCGGCUUUUAUGUCUGCUAGAAUUUUAGGAUUGCAGUGCCGAGCGGGCUAUUGGUACGGCCGAUACCCUAGUUUUAUGGGUAGCCGAUGUUCAACAAUAGAUCAAUCUAAACCGGGCAUCUCAUGAUACUCCCAAGCAAAACAAUCCUUAAAUUCUCUUAACAAGUUUGUCAAUUUACAUUUGUAUUCUAGGUCUAAAUUUGCACUAAUAUAAGUCGGCCUUGGUUUGGUACCAUCACCUAAGUCUAUCAUCUCUAGUGAAUCGGCCGACGUGAACCCGUGCCCUAGCUUCCCAUCUUCUCGGGCGAACUGAUCCAUUUAUUUUGAGUCUUCGGAACCGACUGCUCGGAUCGGCUGUAGGCCAAAAUCGGCCACCUUCAGGAAAUCGGUCUCCCAUACUCUGCCAGAUAUGCACCUGACGGUUUCGCAGCUCCACUGCUGCGUGUCGGCUGCCGCGAUGUUGUAUGCGGAAUCGACGUUGACUACCUCGAUGUUGUCGCCGACCCAUUGUACAAGACAUUGAUGCAUUGUUGACGGGAUGCAGCAAUUUGCGUGUAUCCAGUCCCGGCCGAGUAGCAUGUUGUAGGAUCCCUUGCCAUUAAUAAUAAAGAAGGUAGUGGGAAGGGUCUUACUGCCGAUGGUGAGGUCGACGCAGAGGGCGCCGCGAGCGGGAGACACGUUGCCUUCGAAGUCUUUGAGCAUCAUGUCUGUCUUGGUCAAGUCAUCAUCACUCUUUCCAAGCUUCCGGAGCACGACAUAUGGCAUGAUAUUGACUGCAGCUCCUCCAUCUACCAUUAAUCUGGUGAGGGGGCGACCGUUGACAUGCCCUUUGAGGAACAAUGCUUUCAGGUGUUGUCGUUUGUCAUCCUCGGGCUUCUCGAACGUGGCUAUCAUUGGUUCCAAAGCCAACUGUGCCAUCUGCUCUUCUAUCGCCGACAGAUCCUGUCGAUCGGCAGGAGUCAUGAAUUCCAUCGGCAGUAUGAAAACCAUGCCGAUAUCGGCUGCCGACUCAUCACCCGCCGAUUCGUCGCCCCCUUUAUCGUUUCUUUUGGGGCGCCAUACCCGAGGCCUGCCUUCCUUCUUGUCCGUCGUGCUCUGUUGUUCCUCUUCCUGCUGUUCCCAUUGGCAGAGACGUUGGAUCCUUCGUUUUUGAGAUUUGGUCAAUCCAUCGGGACACCACCUGGGGUUUAUUGGUUUGGCUCCUGUCUUGGCGCGUUUCAAUUCCGGUUCACGUCCUAAAGGGUUCUCGUCUGUCACCCGAGCGUCGGCCAUCUCUUCAAGCCGACUGUGAACGUUGGCCCUGUUUUCUGGCCAGUCGUGUCGAUCAAACUUGCCCCCCGGUCUGUCACGGCGUCUGUCUUCUGACCGGUCAUAUCGGUCACUUCUGCCCCCCAGCCGAUCACGCACGGGAGGGCGCUGGUCAUCUUGGUCGUGCCAGUUCCUGCUGAUCGGUUCUGGUCUUCCGUCUAUGGAGCGAGACCUGUUAAACGGCCGAUUACCACGAUACAGGCCGUUGCAUUCUGGGCAAUUAUCGGCCGAAGGUAGCCUGAGGUUGCUUUCCCAACAGUGGAUGAAGAAUGGGCACCUCCAGUGAUCUUCGUGCCGCCGCAUCGCUUCUUCCCGGGAUCUUGAGUGUUCAUGUUGACGCUGAUAUUUCUGGAGCAGAAACUGGGAAGUAAUGCGUGGCUCUUCUGAUUCACCGUCGUCGUCCUCCAUCCGCCGCUUUCCCUUGAUGUCCUCAGGCGUUGCUUGAUUUCUGGGGUCUACGGCACCACUCUUUUUAGCCGAUUCAGACGUCAGCACCUUUGUUUGGAGUGAGUUCUUCCCCGUAUCAACCAUGUUAGUGGGGAAGGGGUGCUGGUCGAUCUUCAUCGGCUUGGCCGAUUUUGUUGGCACUUCAAAUUUAAGUCUGCCCUGCUCAAUGGCCGACUGUAUCUGCUGCCUGAAGAUUUUGCACUCAUUAGUAUCAUGGGAUGUGGCGUUGUGCCACUUGCAAUAUUUCAUCUUUUUUAGGUGUUCGGCAGAAGGUAUUGUAUGAUAUGGCGAGAGCUUGAUCUGCCCUUCCUGGAGGAGAAGGUCGAAGAUUUUAUCGGCCUUCGUCGUGUCAAAACCGAACGCCUCUGGCUCCUUUUCGCCGAACGGGCAUGAUAUUGGCUUCUUUCCCUUGACCCACUCCGCAAGUCCGACCUCAACGUCUUCUUCGGGCUCCACCUCUUCUAGGAACGCCACUUUCUUCUGGAAAUUCCUCCGUGGAUCGAAAGAACGUACCUCCUGUCCAGACAAUCGGUGGACGAUUUGGCUUAAACUCUCGAACUCCUAUGAGGCGUAUUUUUCUUUGAUGUGGGGCAGGAGGCCUUGAAAGGCUAUAUCGGCCAGCUGCGCGUCGUUUAGAGCCAGGGAAUAGCACUUGUUCCUGAUUUCCCGAAACCUCUGUACAUAUGAGGAUAUCGGCUCGUCGCUUCUCUGCUUGAGGCCGGUCAAAUCGGACAACUUCAUCUCAUGUACCUCGGCAUAGAAGUAUUUAUGAAACUGUCUUUCCAAAUCGGCCCAUGUAAUAAUCGAAUUCGGCGGUAAAGUCGUGAACCACUAGAAGGCCGAUCCGGACAAGGAUGAUGAGAAUAGCCGUACUCAUAGAGCAUCUUGCGUGGCCGCUUCUCCGCAUUGGAUGAUAAAUCUAUUCACGUGCUCCACGGUUGAAGUGUCAUCCAUCCCCGAGAACUUGGUGAAGUCAGGCACUUUAUACCGAUGGGGAAACGGUAGUAGAUUGUAUGUGGAUGGGUAUGGUGUCCUAUAGGUGUAAGUUUGUACCUUCGGCUUCAAGCCGAAUUGUUCCUGAAUCACUUCUGCAAUACGUGCCGACCAAUCCGGCUGUUGCUGGUGAACCGUCGGCUGAGGUAUUGGCACGUGCUGGUAUACCGGAGGUGGAAUAGCCUGAUGCUGAGUGAAAGAUGGUGGCAUCUGAGUGAAAGCUGACUGUGUAUUUAGGGUCGGCUAUUUGAAUGAGCCACUCGUUUCAUCAUAUAGUACGAGCUCUGCUGUUUUACUCAUCUCUGGUGCAACAGGCUGGUACGGCGGCAUGGUUGGUCGAGUGGCCGCUUGGAAAGAUGCCUAGAAUUGGGGACUUCCCUGACCGGCCGAUUGAUCCUGAAUGGUCGUAGCUGAUGGUGCCCCCCAAGGCGAUGGGCUAACUGGAGGGAACGGCGCAGAGGACAGCUGGAUGGGGUGUGGCUGAAAGUGUUGUGUGCCACCAUACCCCAUAGGAACCGAUGAUGAUGAAGCGACUGUACCCCCAACAGAAAAUUGGAUCGGCUGAGAAACCGAAUUCAAAUAAGCCUUGUUCGGUGGAAUCGGCUGAGUAUAUGCCGGUCCCCUAUAUCCUUGAGGUACCCCACUAGCGAAGGAGUUGACAACGGCAUUGUACACUAUAUUUGCAAGCACCGGGGAUUGAUCAAUGAAGGCGUGAUAAACGGACUGUUGGACCAUAUCGGCCAUCUUGUCCGAGUCCUCAGAGAUUGUGAUCUGGCGGGGAGAUGGAAACGGAGACUUCUUGAUAGUCUCCCCGCUUCUGGAGCGACUGAAAGACUGCAGGCAACCUUUCCGGAACUGUGCCGUAUGCUUAUCCAGUUCUUCCUUCUGGUCGUCCUUUAGAUCUGCUUCCGUCACUUCGAUGACGUUAUCUUCGGAGACUUCAGCAGCUUUCGACAUGGUGGCGGUUGUAUUCGUCCCACCGGGCGUGCCAAAAGUGUGUUGGCGCUAGAAGUCGGUCAACCGAAUCCCCAGCGUCUGACACACGACCCGGGAGAAUCUGCUUAACUCCUGUUCGGGUGAUUGCCCUGGUGCGGUUCGCGCGGCGUGCCAGCCAAUCUGACCUGUUGAUUGGCAAGGAAGAAUACGUGUCAGGUCCAGAAAUCACGAUCGGCUAAAUUUCCGAUCUCGAGAGAGCUUAUCAGCGAAUCGGCCGAUUUGCCGUAAUAAAGACAGGUAAAACCUAUGAUUCUAGUAAAUAUCGAUAACUAGUGAAUAAAUCUAAACGAAACAACAGCGAUGCGCCCGAAGUUAAAGCUUAGAAUUUACUCGGUAAACGGAACUUACAAGAUCGGCCGGAGAUCAAGUUGAUGCAGCCCUGCCAACCCGUACGAAAUCGUGAAAAAGGAGAAAGUACUUGGCGAAGUCGCCUGCUCGAAAGUAAGUACGAGGAAAUAGUAGUUGGUUGUAUUGAUUUGUUGAUGAUUACAGAUUUACAAAGGUAGCUAUUUAUAGCCCCGUACAGAUGACUCCUUAACUGACUAGAACUCUAUCCCUAAUUCAAAUAGAAAACGAAUAUUUACAAACACGAUUCGUACUAGGUUGGUUAUUAUACACCUCAUGGGCUGAUUUCCUCUUCAUCCUUCUGAUCCUUCCCAAGCCCAUACCGGCCCAAUUAUUCCAGCCCCCUAAUCGGCCGAUUCCUUAUCGGCAAAGGGUAACCGAUUCGGGAACCAGGCGUGUCCGAUCCGAACCCCAAGGGUUAAGCGAGGCAGAAAUCAUCGGCCGAUCCCGUACUGUAGCAUUUGGCCGAUCUUGGACUGUAGUGCCAACCAACCGAUCUCCAACUGUACUUUCCCAUUUCCUCUCCUCCUGACGCCGAUUUCACUAGUGACGAAAUCUGGCGUCAACAACUAUACAACUUUCCUUCAAGAUAAAGUUGCAAGUCAACACACAAAAACCCGAAAAGAUUAACCCAACAAUUUUAUUUCCUUAAUUAACCUUACCUAGGGCUUUUUCUUUUAUUUUCAGAAAAUGUUAUAAUUAUUUUCUAGCCUUAAAUUCUAAUUUUCUAUGAGUUAAUAAUAAUUUGUGAUUAUGAAAAUAUUAUUCCAUAUUUUAUGCAAUUAAGAAAGAUUAAGUAUUUAUUUAAAUACCUUAAAAGAAAGGCAUUAAAUAAAUACCCAAAUUUUUAUUAUUUUUCUAGGGUAUAAAAAUUUUAAUGCAUAAAGGAAAAUAAAAUAAGCCUAACAAAAUUGGUUUCACUAAUUUUGGACACCCCUAGAAAUUUCUGUGAUUUAAAUGGUGAGAUUCGGAUUUAAACUAUUUAUUCUAUAAAGGAAAUCUAUUUUUUCCCGAAAAACACCACCGGCUACUUUUCUCACGCGACCCUACUCUACCCCCUCUCUCAUACGCUGGGCCCGCGGCACGGACCCACCCCUUCCUCCUGUUCUCCUUACCUGCCGGCCACUUCUCCUCGGCCGGGCCCUACUGGGCUGAUUUUCUUUUUCUUCUCCUUAACUCGGACCAGCAUCGGCCCAACGGCCCAUCUCUCCUUCUUCUCUUCUCCCGCGAGACCGGCCUGCUUCUCUCCUGGACCUCCAACCUUUUCUUCCAUCGGCCGCUCGUACCGGCUCUUUGGGCCAACUAGACCCCGGCCCAACUAACUCCCCCGCUCAGCCGACCCCCUUCUCUCCCCCUUGCUUCCUCUGACACGCGGGCCCACGGCACCAGAGGCUUCUUCUUCCUCCCGCCAAAAACCAGCGUGACAGGGGGCGGUGCGGCUCGCCGGCCGGUGCCCUACCGGCGACGGGGCUAGGCCGGGGAAGCAUCCCCAUGCCCUAACGCACCCAUGCGCGGCGACAGCUUCCCGGAAGAUGGCCGGAGCCAUUCCCUCCACGGCGGCGGGCGGCGACGCCUACGGCCGGUCGUGGCUAAGCACGACGACGGCGCAACCUACCCCGACAACUACUGCUACAGCUUCCUAGUGCCCCGAGGACUCACCUACGACUACCCAUACGGACAGAGAGCAGCGGCAAGAGGGUGCUCACCGUGAGCAGGAGGUGCGGCGACGGCGGACGGAGACGACGGCGGUUUAUGGCAUGCUCGCGGUGAGGCUGGACAACAUGCUGCUAGAGUUGUCGGUGGGGUGUGUGGGGAGGUGUGCACGGAGGGAAUCGACAGGAGCUGCGGUGUGGUGGGGGAAUUUUUACCCGGCCGCGGCGGCGUGACAGAGAGGGCGACGGCGGUAAAAAGAACGGCGGUAGAAACGGUCGGCGGGAGGGGUAGAUAUACAAAGAUUUCACCGUGCGCAUGGUUGACACCGUGGCCUAGCUAUGGACUCGCGUGGUAAAGAGAUGGCGUAGCUACUGCGCUGGCGGGCGACCGAGAACGCCGGCGGCGACACGUCGGGCACGGCUCUAUCACCCCCCCCCCUCUUGUUUUUUUCUGAUGUCCGAAACUUCAGAGCUCAACCACGGUCAAAAUCACAUCCGACGGUCCACAAGUCACUUAACCAAAGUUGUAGAUAAACUUGAGAUUUUCAUUCAUUUGUUGGCAAUUUCAAUAUGUUUGGCCUCAGGUAACUGAAUUCCAUUAAUUUCCGAUUCAGUUCGUGAGUCACUUGGUCAUGGUCACUUACCCAACUUUGUAAAUGAUUUCAGUGAUCCAAACCCCUUCCUUAUAGUCCAACUACAAACCAAUUACACUCUACAACUAUCAGGGAUUCCAUUUUGCUCAUAAUCACCUAUACCUCUUAGACUACAUUUUUCUGAAUUUAGCUCCAAACAUUGGCAAUUAUCACUGUUUUCAGACAGGCAGAAUUUCAGUUCAGCAGCUAAGUUGACCGUGGUAAAGUGCUGACUUUGAGCCUCCAUUUGAAAUGGUUCCCUCUACUGUUCUUGAUCAACAACACCUGAAGAUACUUGUCCAAUGUCCAUACUUCAAUAUGGUAUAGUUGUCUUGAUCCACUUAUUUGAAGAAUUUGGCAGAAAUUAAUUUCCAAAAUGGACUCUGGUGCUGUUUUUCUGAAAUUGCUAUUGUCGGACGGUGAAUAGUAAACUUUGGUUUUCAAUUUCUUUCUUUGAUUUUCUUGAGGUAUUUAGGACCAGAUCUUGCCCAAAUCUUGAUCCUCAAGUUCUAAUCACUUUGAUACUUCUAUUCCAUAUUUUUGCCAAAUUUUCCUGAAUUUUAAAUUCAAAAUUCAAAUUUCGGUCAAAUUUGACCCGAAUUUGAUUUUUAGCCAAUUUCUUCUCCUUUCCUUCAUGAAUUGCUUCUAUUUCUUCAGAAUUACCUUGAUGGCUAAAAAUGGCAGGCAUUACAGCUGGUCUUCAUCUCUCCUCUCGGCGUGUGCAUGAGGUACAUGAUCCGCCUCCACUUUCCUACAUCUAACAAUGUCGUUGAGUACGAGGCUCUCCUCAACGGGCUUCGCAUCGCCAUCGAGCUGAGCAUCCGGCGGUCGGACAUCUGAGGCGACUCUCAACUAGUCGUCGAACAAGUCAUGAAGGAGUCGAGCUGCCACGACCCCAAGAUGGCAGCCUACUGCGACGAGGUCCGCAAACUCGAAGACAAGUUCGACGGACUGGAACUCAACCACGUCGCAAGACGUUUCAACGAGGCAGUUGACAAACUGGUGAAGGUGGCAUCCGGCCGCAAGCCCGUCCCCGACGGCGUCUUCGUCAGCGACCACUACAAGCCCUCCAUCCGCUACAAGGAGCCGGGAGGGGUCGGUGACACGCCACCUGCCCCGGACUCGGGCGCCGAUCCGGGAGGGGUCGGCGACACGCCACCUGUCCUGGACUUAGAGGCCGACCCCUCUGAUCCCGAAGUCAUGGAGAUCAACACAAACACAGCAGAGGGGCCCGCCUGACUAGAGAGUCCCAUAACUCGACUACCUCAUCCGCGAGAUGCUCCCAACGAAUAAGACGGAGGCACGCAGGAUUGCACGUCGCGCCAAAUCCUUCGUCAUCAUCGACCAAGAGCUCUACAAACGGAGCCACACCGGCAUCCUCCAGCGCUGCAUCCCGAUCGAGUAGGGAAAGGUGUUGAUACAAGACAUCCACGCCGGGGCCUGCGGCCACCACGUCACGCCAAGAACCCUUGUCGGGAACGCCUUCCAACAGGGCUUCUACUAGCCGACGGUAGUAGCCGACGCCACCCAUGUGGUACGCACCUGCGAGGGAUGCCAAUUCUUCGCGUGCCAAACCCAUCUGCCUGCACAGGCACUCCAGACCAUCCCCAUCACGUGGCUAUUCGCAGUCUGGAGACUGGACCUCGUCGGACCUUUCAAGAAGGCGCCCGGGGGCUUCACCCAGUUACUUGUCGCCGUCGACAAGUUCUCAAAGUGGAUCGAGGCACGACCGGUUGCACAAAUCAAGUCCGAGCAAGCGGUACAAUUCUUCACCGACAUCAUCCAUCGUUUCGAAGUCCCCAACUCCAUCAUCACGGACAACGGCACGCAGUUCAUCAGGAAGAAGUUCCUCUAGUUCUGCGACGACCACCAUAUCUGAGUGGACUAGUCGGCCGUGGCGCAUCCCCGCAUGAACGGGCAGGUUGAGCAGGCCAACGGCAUGAUACUCCAAGGUCUCAAGCCACGUAUCUUCGACCGCCUCAAAAAGUUCGGCGGCCGGUGGGUUGCGGAGCUCCCCGCGGUCCUAUGGAGUCUGAGGACGACCCCCAGUAGGGAGACUGGCUUCACCCCGUUCUUCAUGGUGUACGGGUCCGGGGCAAUCCUCCCCACCGACCUAGAGUACGGGUCGCCGAGGGUCAAGGCGUACGAUGAACAGGGGAACCAGGCAUCGCUCGAAGACGCGCAAGACCAGCUCGACGAAGCGCGCGAUGUGGCCCUGCUGCACUCGGCCAAGUACCAGCAGGCCUUACGACAAUACCACAGCCACAAGGUACGAGGCCGAGCCUUCAACGUCGGCGACCUGGUGCUUCGCCUCGUCCAGGACAACAGAGGCCGGCACAAGCUGACCCCUCCAUGGGAAGGCCCCUUCAUCGUCACGCAAGUACUGCGGCCAGGCACGUACAAGCUGGCAACCCCUGACGGCGAGAUCUUCAACAAUGCUUGGAACAUAGAGCAUCUAAGACACUUCUACCUUUAGUUUUUGUUUCCAAGUUUCAUACAUACAUACUCCUGUAACUUUCUAAUUCAUGGAAAAAGGCAAUUUUGAGUCGAUCUCGUUCGAGUCUCGUCCCGAGCUCAGGGAUAUCCAACCCUGGCUCUGCCCCAGGGUAGCAUAUCCCUCGGGGAUAUCAGGGGCUCCAGCCCAAGGCACUUGACGUCUUCUCAAAACACCUUUUCUCCGAACUGACCCUCUUCCUAAAUGUUUGGGCGUGAAAAGGAGAGAGUGUGCAAACGAUGCUCAGGCAAGACUGAUCGGACCGCGCAGAACCUACGCCCCUGUGGCUACGGUGCCUUCGCUCAUCAGCGCUUAUUGACACGCUCGACCCGCACCCUAAACUUUCCAAACCCAAAAAACAAGAAAGAGGAUCGAAAACAUUUUUCGACAAGAUAUAGAAAAGGCCUCUGCGGCCAUCACAAAAAUAAGUUCAAAGUUAACUAACAUAUUUACAUUCUGGGGCGCCUAAGCCCGAUACAGCUAUUUCGUCUUUGGGUCUUCAGGCGGGACGGCUUCAUCCUCCAGAAGCUUCGCCAAGGCCUCCGCUGGGUUGAGCACCGACACGUCGAUCUCGUCCAGCUCGGCCUCGGAGUAGCCGGAGGCGUACCGCCCGCUCAUCCCGGCGAAGUUGAUGCCGGAGUAGUGGGAGCCAAAGAUGCCGAAGGCCCGCCUCACGCCAACAUGGAGCGCCUCCCGAACGAUCUCGUGGGCCCGACAGUACAUCCCAAGGACACGAGCCGCCAACAAACUCAUCCCCUCCCCCUGGACCACGCCGAGGCCAUCGCAGACGACGCGAACCGCGUCUCGCAGGUUGUCGUGCUCGGCGCAUUCUGCAUCGAGGACGUCCCUCAGCCGGGCGAGUUCGUCUGCAAGGCCCAUCCAGAAAAACCCGACAAGUCAGAAACCAUCACAACACCGCAAAAACAAAGGAAAGAGAGGAGCCUUACCUUCAGACUGAGCCUUCAUCUGAGGCUCCCGGUCAAGCCCCUAGGAUACGGGGGUCUGAAGCCCCUGCACUUGCACGUGGAGCUGACUAACCUCUACACCAAGGCUGGCCGCCACCUUCUCAUCCUCAGCCUUCCGGAUCGCCUCGGAGUCCCGCUCCUGCCAAGCCUUGUGCCGCUCACGCUGGAUACGCUCGACGGUUUUUUGGAGGGUCUCAUGGUCCCCCUUCAGCCGUGCGAGCUCCUCGGCAUCAAGGCGGGCCUUCUCGGCAGCAGCCUGGAACUCCUCGAGAUCGAGGCGAGCCUUCUCAAUGACAGCCUGGAACUUACCCCACUCCCUGGCGUCGUCCAACAUGAAAAGGGGCCUCUGCGGGUCCUCACGGGACAUCCAGCACAGGGUAGGUCCACCUCACGCCUUGGGGACGGGAUUAACCGGGACAAGGGUGGAAGCCGCUCCGACCGACCCCGGUGUCGCCAUCCCCAACGCCGCCACCAGGGCAAGCGCCACCGCCCCUAACGUCAUCGGCCUCGUCGACGGCUCCGGCACAUGCGCCGCUGUCCCUGUCAAAGUCGCCGCGGCCGUCGUCGACGCCGACGCGCGUCCCGCUUUAUUCGCCACCACCACCGUCUCAGUUGCGGCCGCUGGGGCAGGCGUCCCCGCCUCCGUCGUGGCUGCCGGGGCGUGCGCCCCGCCUUUACCACCGCCGCUGUCCCCGUCGCGGCCGCGAGGGUGGACUUUCUCUCCUCUGCCACCACCGUCGUCUCUGUCGCGGUCACCGGGGCAACUGCCCCCAUCUCCGCCGCCGCCGUCGGAGCCGCAGGCUCCUCCGCCUCGUCGUCGAGGUCUAUCACCUCGCUGGUUAGAGGGACCCCAGGGGCAACGCCCUGUCCCGCAGGGUCGGCCGGGGGGCUAAAGGCGCAGCGGGGAUCGGACCUUGCCCCGUGCCCGGCUGCAGCACCCUUCCUCCGGUUGCCGCCAUAGAGGCCGCCUCCGCGGUAGGGUCCGCGGUCUCCCUGGCGACACUGCCGCUUGCCACAGGCGGGGUCGCGGCCCGCCCCGCGGAGGCGGAUGACACCCGUAGCGCCUAAUUCGGCGCCAGCGUCGGGAUGAAGUCCCGAGGGGCAGCACUUUGAAGCAACAAACAACAUCAUCAAAAACGGCUCGAUGCUAGGAAAGGAAUAAAGUACGCGAGGAAUUUCCACUUACACUCCCCCAGCGCAAGGACGGUAGGCGCGUUUCGCCUCCGAGCUCGACGCCGACCCUGGGGCAUCUGGCAGCGGCCUCUUGCCGCUACUCCUCUGCUCGUGUAACGCAGGCAGAGGGUCGGGGGUCAGCUCCGCUGACUCCUGAGGAGCGCCCCAUGCCGACCCUUGGGGCGCGGCCCCAGAGCCCUGCGGGGUCGGGUCCUGGGCAGGCGGUCCGCUCGGCUUGUCCCUUGCGGCCGGUGGGGGGUGCUGCUCCCGGAUGACGAGCACGCCCGGCCGGAGGGCCAAAAUAUACUCCUCCUCCUCCUCCUCCUCCUCCUCCUCGUCUUCCUCCUCUUCAUCCUCAUCGUAGUCGUCGUUGUCAUUGUUGUCCGACACGACCUUGCCCCGCCGCCACCAUUGGAGCUCCUUGGCGGCCUUUUUCUUCUUGCUCACCGUCUCUUUGUCCUUACGCCUCUUCUGCUUCUCGGCGAGUAGGCGGUUCUGCUGCCGCCGCUCCGCGUCCUCCGGCACUAGCGGGUGCGAGUCUACGACUCGGGUCAUGUGGCCCUGCAAACAUGAGAACUCUGCGUUAGAGCGAUGAACCUAGAAAUGUAGGAGAGAGAGACGAGAGCACGAAGUCCUCACCAGCUCGACGAAAUUCUCGUCCGGGCGCAUCGGAGGAUGACCGGGCACCGGGUAAUCGGCGUCCUUGUCAUCCAGCACCUCCCGAACUCGCUGUCGGAUCUCGGUGUCGGCAAGAGCACCCGUCGCAAGGACAGAGCCCUCGGUCGGCGCGCCGGGAACCAUCUCGGUGAGCAAGUAAACCCGGAGCAUCAGCAGUGCACCCUCCAAGCAUGGUACGCCCCGAUAACUCCGACCCUGGUCAGCCCCUUUCCCUUCAGGUGCUCAAUUGCCUGAAGCAGACCGGUGAUCCACUUCUUCUCCUUCUCCACCGGACCGUAUGACCACAGCUCCGGUGCCGCUUCGAUGACGCGGCCGGUGACCACCGGCAGGGGGGAAUUAGAGUAGUUCUUCACAUAGAACCACUGCUGAUGCCACCCCUUGUGGGAUGCCGCGGUCUUCAUCGCCAUGUAUUCCUUGGCACGGUUCUGGCGGAGGUGGAUGGCGGCGCACCCUAUCGGCACCGGGGUCGUCCGCUGCUGGCUCCCCUUCUUCUCGGCCCUCUGGUACAGGCUGACCGCGAAGAAGUACUUCCAGAGCGAGAAGUUGGGCUCGAUGCCUAGGAACCCCUCGCAUAGCGUGAUGAACGUCGCGAUGUGUUGGAUCCUGUUGGGAUUAAGGUGCUGCAGCUCGAGCCCGUAGUAGUGCAGCAGCCCGCGGAAGAAGUGGCUCAGCGGAGUCGCGAACACCCUCUCGUGGAAGUGGGCGAAUGAAACGACGUAGCCGGGGGCGGACUCGGCAUCUCUUCCCUCUCGGGGAACCACCAUUCGCCCCUCUCGGUCCUCUCGCAGAGGAGGCCUUUCCUCACGAGGCCAUCGGCGCGUGAGGUACCGAAGCUUGAGCGUGUCCAGGACUCCAUCACGAAGGGGAGAAAGGUUCGACGACGAAGGGCCGGGAAAGCUAUUGUGCAAGGCGGAGGAAGGCGAACAGCGCGCAAGAAGGCAAGGGGCGCGCGAGAAGGCGAAAAGAUUUGGGAGCAGUUGUGGGUGGAACCGGCGAGGCAGACCCCCUGUCUUAUGGGCAGGCGCGUGGGAAGCGAAAGGGACGGUCUUGUCGCAGUUAAUGCAGCGCCAGGUACGCCCCGUUGUGCCUGCUUUUCUUGAAAUCCGUGCGCAUGAUCUGCUGCAGGAAAACAUCUCUGCCUCCCUCGCUUCAUGGGCCGGCACCUUCCACCACUUCGCCUCCCGGAGAACGCGCGCGCACAACCUCCUCCACGACCGGCCCAAGGCCCACCAAUAGGUAAAAAAGGGAUACGGGGCUGAAAACACCCCUACGUCCCAUUACGGUCCAGGGGUUCGAAGGCUGGCCCACUACAGGUUCAACAGCCGCCCCAGGAUAACCCCGAGCGAGGGGUGAGAGGGGACGAGUCCGCUAGCGGCCAUCACCCGGGCGCACGACCGCCUAGGGCGUCCCGACCUCACGUUCGAGUCCGGACUGGCAUCAAAGUUCAUGGUUUUCCCCGAAGAAAGGCAAUGAGCCCCCGGAUCCGAUCGAACGGACUCGGGAACUAUAUCAACUGGCCGGCCAAAAUCUGGGGUACGCCACCAGCUUGGCCCGAGCCGGACCCCCUCCGAACGGGGAUCGGGACCCCACUCGAAUCGACCCGUUUGCAGCUCAACGAGCACCACGGUUCAUCCGGCGAGGAUAGCGUGGCACGGCUCACCCCCUCCGUCUCAGCGAAUGGACGCUUGAGGGGUAGCGAUCAAAAGUCGAUCUAGCCUCCCGACCAGUCUCCUGCCACGCGCGGGGGCUCGGGGGCAAGCAUCGCAACCAAUGACCACGCGUGUGGUCAUGAUUUGAGGUCUCGAGGUGGGGGUGCCCUACGAAAUGAUAAGGAAUCCUCCCGCGUCGACACCCCGCCUGAUCAAACUCUUCGGCCAAGCUUAACAGACAACACUCCCUAUCCCUGAUCAAAUGUAGCUUGCAGGGUGAACAGAAAUCCCCGACGAACGAUGAGAGCAGCCUCUGGAGGAGCGUUCUCGCUCCACCACAGGCUCGGGGGCUACUGUUGGGGGGAAAAUAUUAACAACCUCCAAAUGCCCCUUAAAACAACAAUCAUGAAGGCCUAGGCCCACCUGCGGUAAUGACGAUUGCCGCCGGCCCAGCAUGGGCAGGGAACAUCCCGCUUCGUCUCACCCAACCUAGGGCCCUGGGGUCGGACACUCCCAAUCCGUCGAUGGCAAAACUCCGCCUCGCCUGACCCACGGUCCCAGGGUUGGAUGCGCCCAACCCCUCGCCGCAAGGUUCCGCAUCGCCCGACCCCAGGCGUAAGGGGUCAGACUCAUCCGGGCCCACAAGACAAGGGUGCGCCUUGAGCGUAGACCGGCAAACAAGGGUGCGGAUCUCGUGGGCCCCUCACUGAUCUUGCCAUAAAUAUGCCACGGCUCUGGCGUGCAGAAAGGCGCCUGCGCCCUUCGAUGUGACCACCACAAGUACCCGGGCAGAACAUUGUAGCCACGACCGCACAUGCUACAGUCGUCGUGGCUCCCCCCGUUUCGCCAUAAGGCACUCAUGGCAUGCGCCAUCCGGCACAGGAGGGAGCUCCACCCGUUCUCGCGCCCCGCGUAUUCGGCGACAGGUCCAUGUCCCACGGACCGUAAGCAGGACAACAGGGGUCAGCCGUCUCCCCCAACGUGCACAGUUGCCACGACCAAACACCAUCAUCAUGCUUGGCGGCAGCGGUCGCCAGGAAGAUCGUCGACAGGAUCCGAAGACAGCCGCCCUCCUCCGGUGGAUGCGCUGACAGGAGCCGAAGGCCGAAGCAGGAGGCGGCGGCCCAAGGACUUGGUCCUUCUCCUUGUACUUUACUUUACUCAGCUUAUCUCUUUCACUUCUCCAGACCCCGGUUCACCUGUAACCCUGAGCCCUCCUUGCGCUAUAAAAGGAGAACCAGGGGCCCCGAUACUGGGGGCUCUCAGGCCAACAGAACCCACACACUCACCUCACGAGCAUCGGUGCACACCCAAGAGACUUAGGACCGGCUCCCUCUCUCGCCUGUUUGUAACCCCUACUACAGACCUUGCGUAAGUAACAUGAGCAGCUCCUCAUACUGGACGUAGGGCUUUCCUUGCCCGAACUAGUCUAACCCCGUGUCUUCUCAUGCCACCAUCUGAAGCCUUACAUGCAUAAAAGAAAUUUACUAGCCGUAGUCUUGACCCGCUAAUCUUGACAACGACAAGUUUGUGUCCGCUGGUUAUGAACAGUGCUGUUGACUACCGCUACUUCUGACUAGACUUUGUUUAUACUUCUACCUUCCCUUUUUGAGAUAGGCUGGCGUUUGCUGUUGAGAUUUGAGGGAAGAGAGCUUUCACAUCGCCUAAUGUGUAUGGUUGCUGGAUUCUUGGGUAAAGGAUCUGGUGGUUUGUGACGACUUCCUUGUUGUGAGGUGUUGACCUCGGAGAUGGUAUUGCUAUGAUGCAUCCUUGAUCGAUGUUGCUACAUAAAUCUCUACAGCCAUAUAUAGGUUUAUCCAUGCAUAUAGUAUUAUUCCCUCCGUUUCCUUGGCUUGCAUGGCCUACCGGCUUCUCGGGUGGAUGGUGGCUUUUCAGGAUCGAAGCUCGAUUACGACUUCGAUAACGACGGAUGGAAAAACUAGGGAUAGUCCCUUGCUCAAGUCGCCUCUGGAGAUGAUGUUCGCCAUACUCAUGUUUCCGCUGCGUAGAUGUUUUACCUUUCAUGAUUCAGUCUUGAUGGACUUGUACUGGCAUGUGCCAAAGUGAUGUACUUGAUUUUUGUGAUAUUAUUACUCUAUUGCUACUCUAUAUUUCUAUGUUGGUAUGGAUUUGCACCAUCUGAGACAGGUAUUCGCACGUGAUAGCCUUCUUGAGACUAUCACGGAGGCACGUAAGCUUGAAUUUAAUGGGAAUUCGGGUCGUUUCAGGACGGGGGGUGAUAUCCACCAGCCUUUCCUUUUUUUUAUUUUUAGAAAAACACCAGCCCGUCUUUGCAAGUGUCUUGCGUGAGUGUGGGCAUCUACGCUGGUACGGUGUUUUAAAAGCCUCAUCGACUCAAGUGAAAUGUUACAAACGUACACACCUUAUCUUUUUAUGUUUCUGGCAAUUAUAGGCACACAAAAAGAGUACUUUACAAAAAAGAAAGAAAGAAAGAGAAGAGUAUAUGAUCCAUGCAUGAUGCAUUAUGAAACAAAAAGAUGUAUGUAUGUAAUCAUCUUCUUUUUUUCUUAACCUUCAUAAAAAUCUGCCCAACAGACAUAUUACAAUGCCAAUUGCGAAACAAAUACGAUCAGACGGCGUUAAGCGAGGCAACACCACAUGGCAAUGAUCGUUUACCCAAACGUUAACCUUAGCUUAGUCCCCACAAGCAAAGUAGUAUGUAUUUGCUUUUGUGUAAAAUUGAUGCAAAGUAGUACUAGUUUGAAGGUGCAAAAUCAUUUUAGCAGAAGCUCGGACUUUUCGUAGAAUCCCAUUCUCACAUCUGUGCCACUGAUUCCAUCCGUCCAUUGCAUACGGUCCGAGUUCAGUUCCAACUGCAGACGAUUUCAGAUGAUGUAUAAGUCAGUGCACUUCCAGAAGGAAUUCAGGGCCACAAAAAAAGUUGUAUCAGUGCAUCUUCAUGGUUCCAUGGGAAUACGAAAUACACGUGGAUCAUUCCAGUUCCAUCCCAAAAUAAAAAGAAGUACAGAGACCCGACUAAUUAAAAUCAAAACGGUUCAGAUCAAACUAACGAUUUAAGGAUGAAACUAUCAGCUCUAGAGUACGGAGCAAAGCAUUUAACAGAGCACUUAUACUAGGGACUCAUGCAUGUAAGGACCGAAGCAUUUAACUGAAAUCAUAAUGACAGCUUCACCCCGGUGCUUGCUUACUCCUGAGGAAACAGUUUGUGGGGAAUAAUCAAAAGAACGGGGGGCUUAAGUGUAAGAAUGGAUGGACGUGGUUGUUGACUUGUCAACUAGGUGACGUGGUGGUGUUGACCCGUUGACUUACUGGCGUGGCUUAGGCUCCAGCUGACAUGGACGAGGCUGGAAAGAAGAUCGGCGGCAGCCCGAGACAUGGAGCGGAGUAGAUAGGCUCGGCCCAGGAAAAAAGGGAUAGCGGGCUGAAUUGCUCAAAUGAAAAUUCAGAGCUUACAUGAUUACAUGCAACAUGAAAAUCAACAGACAUAUAAUUCACAGAUAGAAAGUUCUGUGGAAAUGUGGAUAUAUUACAACACUACCAUCUUAUUUUACUUCCAGAAAUUUAAAAAUCUCAACAGAAAUAUAUCACUACAAGAGGCGUCAGCUAGCCUAGUUACUUCCACAUGGCUCACGGAUAUUUCAACUCAAAAUAUCACAAAAAGGAAAUACAAGAACCUGCCAAGUCAAUACUGCCAACAAAGUAUUCAAGAUAGCAUCAUUAAGAUCAAACAGGAUAUUCAAGGUAGAAAGAUUAAGAUCAAGCAAGCAAGCUUGCAAUUAACCUCUCCCCAACUAGAGACACCACGCCCAAUUGAUUCCAAGCUAACUGAAUAAGUCCAUAACAGAUGGUACAUGCUACUUGCUACCUCAAGGUUCAUCAAUGGUUUUACAAACUGAGCACACACAAUCAGCCCAAAGUCAGCAUUACAGAUGCCAGUAGGCCACCAUAGUACGAUCCAACAAGUACUACUGAUACACUUAGCAGCUUAUGUGAUAUUGGAGACCACUAUACUGAGGUCAGAUAAGGUCGAUCUCACAUAUUUAGCAGCUAGCUCAGCAAGAGCUUCACUUCAGUUCUGCGGGAAGAGCCAUGUCGCAAACACCAAGCCACGCUUCCAUGACACCGUCGGCAGAGGGGUGGAGACCUUGCCGUCCCUCAUGGGGCGGAUCGUCGAUGAUCUUUCGCAUUUCAGAAACCCAUGGGUUGCCCGUGCUGCUGUCCACACUGAUGUCGAUGGCAAAUAGUAUACCCCGGAUAGUAAGGGCGUAGAGCUUGCCCUGAUGGAAUGCCAUGUCAACAAAGUAUGGAUAAUUGUUUUCCACGCUUACGGACCACCAGGAGUUGGUCCCUGGUUGGCACACUGCGAUCCGUUUGGCUUUCCUAAGCGAAACUAAUGCUGCAAUGAGGUGGGGUGAGCAAAACAUUAGUUUCCACCCCCUCGGCUCCUCCAAAAUCAACCGAUGAGACUUUCGCAGCCAUGCUAGGUUCGUCUCAUCAAUGGACUCAUUGCCCACGUAGCAGAUUCGGUCACGAGACAAAGCAGGAAGUGGCAGGGGCGGGCCUCAUUAAAUUCAAAGGUAUUCAGUUGAAUACCCAUUAUUUUUGUCAAAAAUUAUGCAUAUGUAGUAUAUACAAUGUAUCUGUAUCAACACAUAUGACAAAAAUAGGGUAUUCCAUCAUCCAGCCCAACUUCCUUCCCCGAAAUGGGCCAAACAUCCCCCCGGCCCGCCCCUCAGCUUAUCCAUCCGUCACCCCCAGACCCUCACACACCGCUCCAGACCCCCAGACCCUCACACACCGUUGUAUUGUACAGCCAUACAAAAUUUCAAGUGCAAAUAAUUCUUUUAGAAAAACAAAUUAAAUGUGAUUUUUUUUGCUAUAGUGGUAUGGCACACGAAUUUUGUGAACUUUUGAUCUUCGUAGAUGGAAUAAGAUUUGAAAUUGAAAUUGUGAUUGGAUUCGGAUCAUAACCUCAUAUACCAUUCAUGAAUUUCCAAUGUUUCUUUGAACUUCUAAGCAGUGUUUCUACUGAAAUUUUACCAUCACUAGAAACGUAGGAGUAGCCCAUUUUCACCUUGGUUGCACUUGAUUGGAUUUUUAGUUAACUUUGUAACUUCUAUAUGUCAAUUCUAUAUGUCAACCUCAUCUUCAAAGAAGAAACCGUAAUAAAUAUUUAAAUUGCAAUACCAUGUUUUUAUUUGGAAAGCCAUUUUCAUACAACUUGGAGUCGAAGGUGUAUUCACAUACUUGAAAUUUAAAAUUGAAAAGAAGUUGACCUCCAAAUUCCACUUUGGUGGAUUUUCAAGUAUACAGUUUCAAGUCCAUGAUCUGAAACAAAAGGUUUUCAAUACCAAUUAAUAGCCUUUUAUUCUCAGUUGCAAGAAUCCCGAACUCAACUGAAUGAUUGACUUGGAAAGAGGAUUGUCAAGUGUCUAGACAUGGUUCGGACAGGUAGAGAGGUCGAAUAAACAGACGAAACAAGCAACCUUGAAUUCGUCUUUCCAAUUUCCCCCCUCCAGAGAUGGUACUAUAGGGUCUGAAACUUGGUAGUGUUCUCUGGGGAAGUUUGCUCUCGUGGCCAUGAAAUUUCCAGGUUUUUUGGGCAUCUGUUCCGGCGACGAAUGGGGAUUCUUCCAUGUUCCGUCCAUGCUGUUUGGUCAGUGAUCUGAUCGCAGCCUGAUGCUUUGGUGGUUCAACAACUGCUGCUCGCACUCUUGUGAACUCAGGAGAAGUCAAAGCCAGCAUGCCGGCCGACUUUUGCUCUGCAUGCAUUUCUGUUCUCCUUGUUCCGGUCAUGGUGCAAAAUGAACUGCAGAGAAGGCAAGGCACAUGUCCAACUGCCAGUGAACUGGCUGCUAUCCUGCAGCUCAACCACAACCACAACCACGACCACGGCCGAUAUUGCCACAUAUCUGAAUGUGUACAUUUCACAUUGCCGUCUUUCAGUUUCAGAGAGCUAGGAACAGAUCUGUGGGUUUAUACUUCUUUGGCACCCUGCAGAAACAAACCAACCAUCACAUGUCCGCAUUUUAGAUGGGCGGGGGGGGGGGGGGGGACGAAAAAUAGUUGGCUAUGACAAAAUUUAGAGAACACAGAUCAUUCUGUGACUUGGACUACAAGCGAGGUCAGUUUUUGUAUUUCCAUCUGCUCUUGAUUUAAUGCCGGCCCUUGAGAGUUUCCGAGUUACACGUUGGAUCUACAUGGUUGUAAUCUUUCACAAAGUUACAGCCUUAAGCAUCUUGGGAAUUUAUUUCACUUGAGGUACCUGGGACUACGUGGCACAAGUAUUGCUCAACUCCCCGAGAAAAUAGGAAACCUCUCAUUUCUACAAACUUUGGACGUAAAGCGUAACCAAAUUUCUAGCUUGCCACCGACUGUUGUUCAGCUAAGAAACUUGAUGUUCCUAUACACCGACUGGUCUACAAGACUGCCAAGCAGGAUUGGAAACAUGGCAUGCCUUGAAUAUCUGCUAUUACGCAUUGAUGACUCCACCAUGGAUUCCAUAGAAGAGAUGGGCCAGCUACUGGAGUACCUAAGCAAGCUGCAAAAGAUUAGGAAUCUAUACAUUGAGGUCAUCGAUGGUCGACGCAGCAUUGGUGGAUUGGAUGCCUGGGUUGCCCCACAACAUCUUUGUAGACUGAGUACAGUACGGAGCUGCUGGUUCUCAGCACUUCCAGCUUGGAUGAAUAGAUCAGUCCUUCCGAACCUCUCCUUUCUAUGGAUCGCCGUACGUGAGGGAGCUGCAGCUAAAGGAUCUCGAGAUCCUCGGGAGGUUGCCAGCUCUUCGCUCUCUAGAACUGGAUGUGGACCAUGUGAACCUUGGAAUACAUGCAAUGGGAGAUUCGAUGUUGGUGCUGGCUUGUUCCCGUGCCUUGUACACUGCAAGUUUUGGGGAUUUGUAUAGCCUGUCGUAUUUCGGCAAGGAGCUAUGCCGAGGCUCAGAGAGCUUUAUCUCGAGCUGUUCUUUAUGUGGGAAGCAAAAGAAACCACCAGCAGCGAUGGCGGUCUCGAUGUGGACAUAAGGAACCUACCAUUGCUGCAGGAUGUGUUCAUCGAGUUGCGAUCUGAAGUGGCCAGCACUGAGGAGGUGGAACAAGUAAAGGCUACACUGAGGCGUGUGCAGCUGAAUUUCAUCCCAAUCAUCCCAGCCUUACUAUACUCUGAUGAAGUCGAUAAGCAGGUGAAGAUGCAGAGUACAUCCAGUGCUCAAUUGCCACAUGCAGCUGAACUACAUCUUGGUGAACCUUGACACUAAAAGGUGAGGCUGCUGUGGCUUCAGUUGUUUUAUCAUCCUUCUUGUUUCCCCCUUUCCCAUGUUUCCCUGAAAUUCUUUGUUUCUGUCUCAGAUUCAGAUUGAUAAUGGAUAUGAGAAAAUAUUUUUCGUUAUCGCCAAUCGCCAACAUUGCAAGAAUUAUGAUGCUCGCCGAUAGACAGUUCAAGCAAAACUGACCCUGGUUGAUGAAUUCUGCACAGACAAACAAAUCUAGGUGUGCAUUUUGUCAGUAUGUUUUUUUUCGCUUUUGCCAAUCCAAAUGCCAUGGGUCAGGAAAUAUGGGUUGAGAAAAAGGUUCAGCAUUGUGAUUGUAGCACUAGGACAACACUCUGGCCCCACCUCCCACUUUAAAAGUACUACUUCUUCUGUCCCAAAUAAUAGGUCGUUUGAUUUAUUAGAUUCAUAGAUCUUGUUAUGCACUUAGAUUGCAUAAUAAUAUCUAUGCAUCUACAAAAGCCAAAACGACAUAUAAUUUGGGAUGGAGGGAGUAUGACUAUAAAGUGCAUAACAGUUAAAUGAUCCCAAUAAUUAACUGUUAUGGUCACUUAGCAAACUUACAGUUAAAUGAUCCAAAUAAUUAAAUCAACACUACCAUCUUAUUUUACUUCCAGAAAUUUAGAAAUCUCAUCGGAAAUAUCUCACUACAAGAGACGUCAGCUAGCCUAGUUACUUCCACAUGGCUCACGAAUAUUUCAACUCAAAACAUCACAAAAAGGAAAUACAAGAACCUGCCAAGUCAAUACUGCCAACAAAGUAUUCAAGAUAGCAUCAUUAAGAUCAAACAAGAUAUUCAAGAUAGCAAGAUUAAGAUCAAACAAGCAAGCUUGCAAUUAACCUCUCCCCAACUAGAGACACCACGCCCAAUUGAUUCCAAGCUAACUGAAUAAGUCCAUAACAGACGGUACAUGCUACUUGCUACCUCAAGGUUCAUCAAUGGUUUCAGACUGCCUCAAACUGGCUUCAAACACCUCAAUCUCAUUCUGUUCACAUGCAGCAGUUUCAGGGAGAGCUCCUCCUGUCACUCCUUCUGCCAACUUUCGCAACACCACCAGCAACACACCACGCGAUUCAACUAGAUAGGUCAUCUUCGUAACCAGUGGAAUUGAGAAAGGCGGAUCGUCGAUGAUCUUUCGCAUUUCAGAAACCCAUGGGUUGGCCGUGCUGCUGUCCACACUAAUGUCGAUGGCACAUAGUAUACCCAGGAUAGUAAGGGCAUAGAGCUUGCCCUGAUGGAAUGCCAUGUCAACAAAGUAUGGAUAAUUGUUUUCCACGCUUACGGACCACCAGGAGUUGGUCCCUGGUUGGCACACUGCGAUCCGUUUGGUUUUCCUAAGCGAAACUAAUGCUGCAAUUAGGUGGGGUGAGCAAAACAUUAGUUUCCACCUCCUCGGCUCCUCCAAAAUCAACCGAUGAGACUUUCGCAGCCAUGCUAGGUUCGCCUCAUCAAUGGACUCAUCGCCCACGUAGCAGAUUCGGUCACGGGACAAAGCAGGAAGUGGCACCGUGGCAUUGGAGAAAGGAUCCCGCAGGAAGCAGCCAUCCUCGCCUGAGAACACUAACCAGUUGCCACAAGCGUCCGUGUUGCCACUCGGGGCACACGGCGGCGAACCGGAGGCGGUCGACGUGAGCAGGCAGCCGGCGGAGGAUCCGGCCGGCGAGAUCCAGCGGGAUGUCCGACCACGAGGGCCCCCUCGUCUUCGCCAUUGAUUGAGCCGAUCUUGCAAAUGCAACUAAGAAAGCAUCAGCUAGGAAACACCGUGCAUCAAGAAACCGGAGGAAAAACGCGAGCACAUGGCCGGCGCGAGUGCGUGCGGACGCACAGGCAAUGCGUCGAACACCUUGCGUGCGCGACCCACGGCGAGGUCAAGAUGAACAAAGGGGGGCAGGAGCGGCGAGUGCAGGGCAAGGAAUGGAGGCGGAUUACCUGAAAUCGGCGAUUCGCGGCGGCGGAUUCGUGUUCUUGCUGCUGCUGUUCGGGCGGAGGUGAGGCGGGGGUGGGGGCGGCGGGCGGCCGCCGGCCGAGCUGGGGUAGGCAGUUUUAGGAAGAGAUUGGAGAGUGGAGUGCUUUCGAGUUGUAUUUCUUUUAGGUGGAGUUGUAUGGAGUGUAUGGAGUGUUACAUUGUACCGCCAUACAAAAUUUCAAGUGCGAAUAAUUCUUUAAAAAACAAAUUAAAUGUGAUUUUUUUUGCUAUAGUGGUAUUGCACACGAAUUUUGUGAUCUUUUGAUCUUCGUAGAUGGAAUCAGAUUUGAAAUUGAAAUUUUGAUUGGAUUCGGAUCAUAACCUCAUAUACCAUUCAUGAAUUUCCAAUGUUUCUUUGAACUUCUAAGCAGUGUUUCUACUGAAAUUUCACCAUCACUAGACAUGGUUCGGACAGGUAGAGAGGUCGAAUAAACAGACGAAACAAGCAGCCUUGAAUUCGUCUUUUCAAUUUCCCCCCUCCAGAGAUGGUACUAUAGGGUCUGAAACUUGGUAGUGUUCUCUGGGGAUGCCUGCUCCCGUGGCCAUGAAAUUUCUAGGUUUUUUGGGCAUCUGUUCCGGCGACGAAUGGGGAUUCUUCCAUGUUCCGUCCAUGCUGUUUGGUCAGUGAUCUGAGCGCAGCCUGAUGCUUUGGUGGUUCAACAACUGCUGCUCGCACUCUUGUGAACUCAGGAGAAGUCAAAGCCAGCAUGCCGGCCGACUUUUGCUCUGCAUGCAUUUCUGUUCUCCUUGUUCCGGUCAUGGUGCAAAAUGAACUGCAGAGAAGGCAAGGCACAUGUCCAACUGCCAGUGAACUGGCUGCUAUCCUGCAGCUCAACCACAACCACAACCACGACCACGGCCGAUAUUGCCACAUAUCUGAAUGUGUACAUUUCACAUUGCCGUCUUUCAGUUUCAGAGAGCUAGGAACAGAUCUGUGGGUUUAUACUUCUUUGGCACCCUGCAGAAACAAACCAACCAUCACAUGUCCGCAUUUUAGAUGGGCGGGGGGGGGGGGGGGGGGGACGAAAAAUAGUUGGCUAUGACAAAAUUUAGAGAACACAGAUCAUUCUGUGACUUGGACUACAAGCGAGGUCAGUUUUUGUAUUUCCAUCUGCUCUUGAUUUAAUGCCGGCCCUUGAGAGUUUCCGAGUUACACGUUGGAUCUACAUGGUUGUAAUCUUUCACAAAGUUACAGCCUUAAGCAUCUUGGGAAUUUAUUUCACUUGAGGUACCUGGGACUACGUGGCACAAGUAUUGCUCAACUCCCCGAGAAAAUAGGAAACCUCUCAUUUCUACAAACUUUGGACGUAAAGCGUAACCAAAUUUCUAGCUUGCCACCGACUGUUGUUCAGCUAAGAAACUUGAUGUUCCUAUACACCGACUGGUCUACAAGACUGCCAAGCAGGAUUGGAAACAUGGCAUGCCUUGAAUAUCUGCUAUUACGCAUUGAUGACUCCACCAUGGAUUCCAUAGAAGAGAUGGGCCAGCUACUGGAGUACCUAAGCAAGCUGCAAAAGAUUAGGAAUCUAUACAUUGAGGUCAUCGAUGGUCGACGCAGCAUUGGUGGAUUGGAUGCCUGGGUUGCCCCACAACAUCUUUGUAGACUGAGUACAGUACGGAGCUGCUGGUUCUCAGCACUUCCAGCUUGGAUGAAUAGAUCAGUCCUUCCGAACCUCUCCUUUCUAUGGAUCGCCGUACGUGAGGGAGCUGCAGCUAAAGGAUCUCGAGAUCCUCGGGAGGUUGCCAGCUCUUCGCUCUCUAGAACUGGAUGUGGACCAUGUGAACCUUGGAAUACAUGCAAUGGGAGAUUCGAUGUUGGUGCUGGCUUGUUCCCGUGCCUUGUACACUGCAAGUUUUGGGGAUUUGUAUAGCCUGUCGUAUUUCGGCAAGGAGCUAUGCCGAGGCUCAGAGAGCUUUAUCUCGAGCUGUUCUUUAUGUGGGAAGCAAAAGAAACCACCAGCAGCGAUGGCGGUCUCGAUGUGGACAUAAGGAACCUACCAUUGCUGCAGGAUGUGUUCAUCGAGUUGCGAUCUGAAGUGGCCAGCACUGAGGAGGUGGAACAAGUAAAGGCUACACUGAGGCGUGUGCAGCUGAAUUUCAUCCCAAUCAUCCCAGCCUUACUAUACUCUGAUGAAGUCGAUAAGCAGGUGAAGAUGCAGAGUACAUCCAGUGCUCAAUUGCCACAUGCAGCUGAACUACAUCUUGGUGAACCUUGACACUAAAAGGUGAGGCUGCUGUGGCUUCAGUUGUUUUAUCAUCCUUCUUGUUUCCCCCUUUCCCAUGUUUCCCUGAAAUUCUUUGUUUCUGUCUCAGAUUCAGAUUGAUAAUGGAUAUGAGAAAAUAUUUUUCGUUAUCGCCAAUCGCCAACAUUGCAAGAAUUAUGAUGCUCGCCGAUAGACAGUUCAAGCAAAACUGACCCUGGUUGAUGAAUUCUGCACAGACAAACAAAUCUAGGUGUGCAUUUUGUCAGUAUGUUUUUUUUCGCUUUUGCCAAUCCAAAUGCCAUGGGUCAGGAAAUAUGGGUUGAGAAAAAGGUUCAGCAUUGUGAUUGUAGCACUAGGACAACACUCUGGCCCCACCUCCCACUUUAAAAGUACUACUUCUUCUGUCCCAAAUAAUAGGUCGUUUGAUUUAUUAGAUUCAUAGAUCUUGUUAUGCACUUAGAUUGCAUAAUAAUAUCUAUGCAUCUACAAAAGCCAAAACGACAUAUAAUUUGGGAUGGAGGGAGUAUGACUAUAAAGUGCAUAACAGUUAAAUGAUCCCAAUAAUUAACUGUUAUGGUCACUUAGCAAACUUACAGUUAAAUGAUCCAAAUAAUUAAAUCAACACUACCAUCUUAUUUUACUUCCAGAAAUUUAGAAAUCUCAUCGGAAAUAUCUCACUACAAGAGACGUCAGCUAGCCUAGUUACUUCCACAUGGCUCACGAAUAUUUCAACUCAAAACAUCACAAAAAGGAAAUACAAGAACCUGCCAAGUCAAUACUGCCAACAAAGUAUUCAAGAUAGCAUCAUUAAGAUCAAACAAGAUAUUCAAGAUAGCAAGAUUAAGAUCAAACAAGCAAGCUUGCAAUUAACCUCUCCCCAACUAGAGACACCACGCCCAAUUGAUUCCAAGCUAACUGAAUAAGUCCAUAACAGACGGUACAUGCUACUUGCUACCUCAAGGUUCAUCAAUGGUUUCAGACUGCCUCAAACUGGCUUCAAACACCUCAAUCUCAUUCUGUUCACAUGCAGCAGUUUCAGGGAGAGCUCCUCCUGUCACUCCUUCUGCCAACUUUCGCAACACCACCAGCAACACACCACGCGAUUCAACUAGAUAGGUCAUCUUCGUAACCAGUGGAAUUGAGAAAGGCGGAUCGUCGAUGAUCUUUCGCAUUUCAGAAACCCAUGGGUUGGCCGUGCUGCUGUCCACACUAAUGUCGAUGGCACAUAGUAUACCCAGGAUAGUAAGGGCAUAGAGCUUGCCCUGAUGGAAUGCCAUGUCAACAAAGUAUGGAUAAUUGUUUUCCACGCUUACGGACCACCAGGAGUUGGUCCCUGGUUGGCACACUGCGAUCCGUUUGGUUUUCCUAAGCGAAACUAAUGCUGCAAUUAGGUGGGGUGAGCAAAACAUUAGUUUCCACCUCCUCGGCUCCUCCAAAAUCAACCGAUGAGACUUUCGCAGCCAUGCUAGGUUCGCCUCAUCAAUGGACUCAUCGCCCACGUAGCAGAUUCGGUCACGGGACAAAGCAGGAAGUGGCACCGUGGCAUUGGAGAAAGGAUCCCGCAGGAAGCAGCCAUCCUCGCCUGAGAACACUAACCAGUUGCCACAAGCGUCCGUGUUGCCACUCGGGGCACACGGCGGCGAACCGGAGGCGGUCGACGUGAGCAGGCAGCCGGCGGAGGAUCCGGCCGGCGAGAUCCAGCGGGAUGUCCGACCACGAGGGCCCCCUCGUCUUCGCCAUUGAUUGAGCCGAUCUUGCAAAUGCAACUAAGAAAGCAUCAGCUAGGAAACACCGUGCAUCAAGAAACCGGAGGAAAAACGCGAGCACAUGGCCGGCGCGAGUGCGUGCGGACGCACAGGCAAUGCGUCGAACACCUUGCGUGCGCGACCCACGGCGAGGUCAAGAUGAACAAAGGGGGGCAGGAGCGGCGAGUGCAGGGCAAGGAAUGGAGGCGGAUUACCUGAAAUCGGCGAUUCGCGGCGGCGGAUUCGUGUUCUUGCUGCUGCUGUUCGGGCGGAGGUGAGGCGGGGGUGGGGGCGGCGGGCGGCCGCCGGCCGAGCUGGGGUAGGCAGUUUUAGGAAGAGAUUGGAGAGUGGAGUGCUUUCGAGUUGUAUUUCUUUUAGGUGGAGUUGUAUGGAGUGUAUGGAGUGUUACAUUGUACCGCCAUACAAAAUUUCAAGUGCGAAUAAUUCUUUAAAAAACAAAUUAAAUGUGAUUUUUUUUGCUAUAGUGGUAUUGCACACGAAUUUUGUGAUCUUUUGAUCUUCGUAGAUGGAAUCAGAUUUGAAAUUGAAAUUUUGAUUGGAUUCGGAUCAUAACCUCAUAUACCAUUCAUGAAUUUCCAAUGUUUCUUUGAACUUCUAAGCAGUGUUUCUACUGAAAUUUCACCAUCACUAGACAUGGUUCGGACAGGUAGAGAGGUCGAAUAAACAGACGAAACAAGCAGCCUUGAAUUCGUCUUUUCAAUUUCCCCCCUCCAGAGAUGGUACUAUAGGGUCUGAAACUUGGUAGUGUUCUCUGGGGAUGCCUGCUCCCGUGGCCAUGAAAUUUCUAGGUUUUUUGGGCAUCUGUUCCGGCGACGAAUGGGGAUUCUUCCAUGUUCCGUCCAUGCUGUUUGGUCAGUGAUCUGAGCGCAGCCUGAUGCUUUGGUGGUUCAACAACUGCUGCUCGCACUCUUGUGAACUCAGGAGAAGUCAAAGCCAGCAUGCCGGCCGACUUUUGCUCUGCAUGCAUUUCUGUUCUCCUUGUUCCGGUCAUGGUGCAAAAUGAACUGCAGAGAAGGCAAGGCACAUGUCCAACUGCCAGUGAACUGGCUGCUAUCCUGCAGCUCAACCACAACCACAACCACGACCACGGCCGAUAUUGCCACAUAUCUGAAUGUGUACAUUUCACAUUGCCGUCUUUCAGUUUCAGAGAGCUAGGAACAGAUCUGUGGGUUUAUACUUCUUUGGCACCCUGCAGAAACAAACCAACCAUCACAUGUCCGCAUUUUAGAUGGGCGGGGGGGGGGGGGGGGGGACGAAAAAUAGUUGGCUAUGACAAAAUUUAGAGAACACAGAUCAUUCUGUGACUUGGACUACAAGCGAGGUCAGUUUUUGUAUUUCCAUCUGCUCUUGAUUUAAUGCCGGCCCUUGAGAGUUUCCGAGUUACACGUUGGAUCUACAUGGUUGUAAUCUUUCACAAAGUUACAGCCUUAAGCAUCUUGGGAAUUUAUUUCACUUGAGGUACCUGGGACUACGUGGCACAAGUAUUGCUCAACUCCCCGAGAAAAUAGGAAACCUCUCAUUUCUACAAACUUUGGACGUAAAGCGUAACCAAAUUUCUAGCUUGCCACCGACUGUUGUUCAGCUAAGAAACUUGAUGUUCCUAUACACCGACUGGUCUACAAGACUGCCAAGCAGGAUUGGAAACAUGGCAUGCCUUGAAUAUCUGCUAUUACGCAUUGAUGACUCCACCAUGGAUUCCAUAGAAGAGAUGGGCCAGCUACUGGAGUACCUAAGCAAGCUGCAAAAGAUUAGGAAUCUAUACAUUGAGGUCAUCGAUGGUCGACGCAGCAUUGGUGGAUUGGAUGCCUGGGUUGCCCCACAACAUCUUUGUAGACUGAGUACAGUACGGAGCUGCUGGUUCUCAGCACUUCCAGCUUGGAUGAAUAGAUCAGUCCUUCCGAACCUCUCCUUUCUAUGGAUCGCCGUACGUGAGGGAGCUGCAGCUAAAGGAUCUCGAGAUCCUCGGGAGGUUGCCAGCUCUUCGCUCUCUAGAACUGGAUGUGGACCAUGUGAACCUUGGAAUACAUGCAAUGGGAGAUUCGAUGUUGGUGCUGGCUUGUUCCCGUGCCUUGUACACUGCAAGUUUUGGGGAUUUGUAUAGCCUGUCGUAUUUCGGCAAGGAGCUAUGCCGAGGCUCAGAGAGCUUUAUCUCGAGCUGUUCUUUAUGUGGGAAGCAAAAGAAACCACCAGCAGCGAUGGCGGUCUCGAUGUGGACAUAAGGAACCUACCAUUGCUGCAGGAUGUGUUCAUCGAGUUGCGAUCUGAAGUGGCCAGCACUGAGGAGGUGGAACAAGUAAAGGCUACACUGAGGCGUGUGCAGCUGAAUUUCAUCCCAAUCAUCCCAGCCUUACUAUACUCUGAUGAAGUCGAUAAGCAGGUGAAGAUGCAGAGUACAUCCAGUGCUCAAUUGCCACAUGCAGCUGAACUACAUCUUGGUGAACCUUGACACUAAAAGGUGAGGCUGCUGUGGCUUCAGUUGUUUUAUCAUCCUUCUUGUUUCCCCCUUUCCCAUGUUUCCCUGAAAUUCUUUGUUUCUGUCUCAGAUUCAGAUUGAUAAUGGAUAUGAGAAAAUAUUUUUCGUUAUCGCCAAUCGCCAACAUUGCAAGAAUUAUGAUGCUCGCCGAUAGACAGUUCAAGCAAAACUGACCCUGGUUGAUGAAUUCUGCACAGACAAACAAAUCUAGGUGUGCAUUUUGUCAGUAUGUUUUUUUUCGCUUUUGCCAAUCCAAAUGCCAUGGGUCAGGAAAUAUGGGUUGAGAAAAAGGUUCAGCAUUGUGAUUGUAGCACUAGGACAACACUCUGGCCCCACCUCCCACUUUAAAAGUACUACUUCUUCUGUCCCAAAUAAUAGGUCGUUUGAUUUAUUAGAUUCAUAGAUCUUGUUAUGCACUUAGAUUGCAUAAUAAUAUCUAUGCAUCUACAAAAGCCAAAACGACAUAUAAUUUGGGAUGGAGGGAGUAUGACUAUAAAGUGCAUAACAGUUAAAUGAUCCCAAUAAUUAACUGUUAUGGUCACUUAGCAAACUUACAGUUAAAUGAUCCAAAUAAUUAAAUCAACACUACCAUCUUAUUUUACUUCCAGAAAUUUAGAAAUCUCAUCGGAAAUAUCUCACUACAAGAGACGUCAGCUAGCCUAGUUACUUCCACAUGGCUCACGAAUAUUUCAACUCAAAACAUCACAAAAAGGAAAUACAAGAACCUGCCAAGUCAAUACUGCCAACAAAGUAUUCAAGAUAGCAUCAUUAAGAUCAAACAAGAUAUUCAAGAUAGCAAGAUUAAGAUCAAACAAGCAAGCUUGCAAUUAACCUCUCCCCAACUAGAGACACCACGCCCAAUUGAUUCCAAGCUAACUGAAUAAGUCCAUAACAGACGGUACAUGCUACUUGCUACCUCAAGGUUCAUCAAUGGUUUCAGACUGCCUCAAACUGGCUUCAAACACCUCAAUCUCAUUCUGUUCACAUGCAGCAGUUUCAGGGAGAGCUCCUCCUGUCACUCCUUCUGCCAACUUUCGCAACACCACCAGCAACACACCACGCGAUUCAACUAGAUAGGUCAUCUUCGUAACCAGUGGAAUUGAGAAAGGCGGAUCGUCGAUGAUCUUUCGCAUUUCAGAAACCCAUGGGUUGGCCGUGCUGCUGUCCACACUAAUGUCGAUGGCACAUAGUAUACCCAGGAUAGUAAGGGCAUAGAGCUUGCCCUGAUGGAAUGCCAUGUCAACAAAGUAUGGAUAAUUGUUUUCCACGCUUACGGACCACCAGGAGUUGGUCCCUGGUUGGCACACUGCGAUCCGUUUGGUUUUCCUAAGCGAAACUAAUGCUGCAAUUAGGUGGGGUGAGCAAAACAUUAGUUUCCACCUCCUCGGCUCCUCCAAAAUCAACCGAUGAGACUUUCGCAGCCAUGCUAGGUUCGCCUCAUCAAUGGACUCAUCGCCCACGUAGCAGAUUCGGUCACGGGACAAAGCAGGAAGUGGCACCGUGGCAUUGGAGAAAGGAUCCCGCAGGAAGCAGCCAUCCUCGCCUGAGAACACUAACCAGUUGCCACAAGCGUCCGUGUUGCCACUCGGGGCACACGGCGGCGAACCGGAGGCGGUCGACGUGAGCAGGCAGCCGGCGGAGGAUCCGGCCGGCGAGAUCCAGCGGGAUGUCCGACCACGAGGGCCCCCUCGUCUUCGCCAUUGAUUGAGCCGAUCUUGCAAAUGCAACUAAGAAAGCAUCAGCUAGGAAACACCGUGCAUCAAGAAACCGGAGGAAAAACGCGAGCACAUGGCCGGCGCGAGUGCGUGCGGACGCACAGGCAAUGCGUCGAACACCUUGCGUGCGCGACCCACGGCGAGGUCAAGAUGAACAAAGGGGGGCAGGAGCGGCGAGUGCAGGGCAAGGAAUGGAGGCGGAUUACCUGAAAUCGGCGAUUCGCGGCGGCGGAUUCGUGUUCUUGCUGCUGCUGUUCGGGCGGAGGUGAGGCGGGGGUGGGGGCGGCGGGCGGCCGCCGGCCGAGCUGGGGUAGGCAGUUUUAGGAAGAGAUUGGAGAGUGGAGUGCUUUCGAGUUGUAUUUCUUUUAGGUGGAGUUGUAUGGAGUGUAUGGAGUGUUACAUUGUACCGCCAUACAAAAUUUCAAGUGCGAAUAAUUCUUUAAAAAACAAAUUAAAUGUGAUUUUUUUUGCUAUAGUGGUAUUGCACACGAAUUUUGUGAUCUUUUGAUCUUCGUAGAUGGAAUCAGAUUUGAAAUUGAAAUUUUGAUUGGAUUCGGAUCAUAACCUCAUAUACCAUUCAUGAAUUUCCAAUGUUUCUUUGAACUUCUAAGCAGUGUUUCUACUGAAAUUUCACCAUCACUAGACAUGGUUCGGACAGGUAGAGAGGUCGAAUAAACAGACGAAACAAGCAGCCUUGAAUUCGUCUUUUCAAUUUCCCCCCUCCAGAGAUGGUACUAUAGGGUCUGAAACUUGGUAGUGUUCUCUGGGGAUGCCUGCUCCCGUGGCCAUGAAAUUUCUAGGUUUUUUGGGCAUCUGUUCCGGCGACGAAUGGGGAUUCUUCCAUGUUCCGUCCAUGCUGUUUGGUCAGUGAUCUGAGCGCAGCCUGAUGCUUUGGUGGUUCAACAACUGCUGCUCGCACUCUUGUGAACUCAGGAGAAGUCAAGCCAGCAUGCCGGCCGACUUUUGCUCUGCAUGCAUUUCUCUUCUCCUUGUUCCGGUCAUGGUGCAAAAUGAACUGCAGAGAAAGCAAGGCACAUGUCCAACUGCCAGUGAACUGGCUGCUAUCCAGCAGCUCAACCACAACCACGGCCGAUAUUGCCACAUAUCUGAAUGUGUGCAUUUCACGUUGCCGUCUUUCAGUUUCAGAGAGAUAGGAACAGAUCUGUGGGUUUAUACUUCUUUGGCACCCUGCAGAAACAAACCAACGGUCACAUGCCGCAAUUUAGAGCUAGGAGAAGACGGGGGGCGAAAGAACGAAAAAUAGUUGCCUAUGAAAAAUUCAGAGAACACAGAAUAAAGGAGUACAGGCGCACUGCGCAUGAUUACAUGCAUCAUGGAAUCAACAGACAUAUAACUCACAGGUAGCAAAUUCAUGUUCAUCAGUUCAUGUCCCAUGAAGCUGUGGAUUACAACACUAAUCAUCUUCUUUGUUCACUUCCAGAAAAUUGAAAAUCUCAACAAGAACAUUCAAUACAAGAGAUGUCAGUUAGCCUUGGCUGACAUGGAUCACCGAUGUUCCACCCCAAAACAUCAUCAUCAGAGGAAAUAUAAGAACUUCUCAAGUAAAUACUGCCAACAAAAUAUUCAAGAUAACAAGGGUUAAGAUCAAACAAGCAAGCUUGCAACAUCACCAGCUAGAGACACCACGAAAUUCAAAGCUAAGUAGCUAACAGCAUAGGUCCAUACCACACCACACACUACGAGAUACAGUAGCUUUGCCGAGUGCCCAAGUCCCAAAAAUACUCGGCAAAGGCUUUGCCGAGUGUAACACUCGGCAAACAUCACACGGUAUUAAUUUUAUCAGCAAAGAGCUCUUUGUCGAGUGUUUUUUGUUGGGCACUCGGCAAAGUUUUUGCCGAGUGCUAAAUCGACUUGGCAAAAAAAAGUUACAGGGAUGGCGAGGAGACGGUGACGGUAGCUUUGCCGAGUGUCAUUGUAAAAACACUCGGCGAAGUUCAAAGCUUUGCCGAGUGUCAUAGAAAAAACACUCGGCAAACAUUUGCGUCCCAGGCCAGAAUUUGGCCUUUCUGCCGAGUAUCACUGGGGCACUCGGCAAAGGGACCAAAUUCUGGCAAGAAUGGACAGAAUUUUGCCACGUGGCACCUUUGCCAAGUGCUUUUACCCUAGCACUCGGCAAAGUCACUCUAUGCCGAGUGUAACACUCGGCAAAGUGCCCAAACUUUUCCUAUUUUUAUGGUUCGGUCACGUAUAACGAACCCCCCUCAAACAAACAUCAAAGACAUCACACAUAUUUCAUAAUAAACAUCACAGGCAGUUCAUUCACAACCACAAAUAGUCACAAGUAAUCCACAAAUGCAACACAACCACAAAUAGUCCUUAGUAAUUCACAAAUGCAAGACAACUAAAAUCUUGCCGAGUGUUCAUGAGGCCACGAGCUCCACGCGACCACGCUAGGUUGUGAGGCUCAUUCGAUCCCACCGAUUGAUUCUGCACAAAGGAGAAGAGAUUGCAUGUGUGAGAAUAGAUUGAACAACACGUACGAUUGCAUUUGUGCUCUAGUAUGAUUGCUUAAGUACUAGUUGGUAACAAGCAUAUAGCAUUAAUCUGUUUAAUUCACAUAUUUCCAUUCUUUGUUUCCAGUUUCUAGUGUUUGGGCUUCUUUGUAAGAUUGAUUCUGUAUAAACUAGAAACGGUGAUUAUAAGGUUGUCAAGUGACUCAUAGGAGUAGCUGUAGGAGGUGGAGGUGGAGGAGGAGGGAAUAGGUUCGGUGGCGGAGGAUGACCCAUCCUCUCAAAUACACCCUGCAUAUACUGGAACAUCUGCUCUGCCCUCUGUUCAGCUGCCGCCACCCUCUGCCGAUCUGCCUCCAUCCUCGCCUCCAUCUCCUGCCGAUCUGCCUCCAUCCUCACCUCUAUCUCCUCCCGUUGCUUUCUUUCUCCUUCCACCUGGGUCUACAAUAUUUCAUCCUAAUGUUACAAUGCAAAGCAAAAGUAUGUAAAAAUCAACGAAUGAUGUUACAAUGGGCCUACAAUAUUUCUUCCACCUCGGAAAAUGCUAAGGUUCGAUUCAUCUUUGCCAGCAUUGUAACGAGGGGGUGGAUUAUGCACGCUAGGAAGGUUGUCAGCAUAGUUUUUUGUUGUGAAGUUUGACACCUCCUCUAGAAUAUAUGCCACUGCAAUGGAUGGUUCAAUUUUGUAUUUAUUUUUACAUUUAGUUCGAAGAACCUUUUGAUAUCUCUCAAUUGAAUAGCAUAAAUGGCCCUGCACAGGCACCCCCAUUCAUGCCUCAUACAGGAGGUUCAAAAUCAAAUAUUGCAUCGGAUUGAAGAAGCCGGGUGGAAAGAUCUUAUCCAACUUACAGAGCAACAUAAGCGCCAUUCUUUCUAUGUCUGCAACCACGGUACGAGAUAACUCCUUAGCACAAAGCUGGCGGAAGAAAUUGCUCAACUCCAGCAACACUAGCCAGACAUGCUCAUGGACAUAGCCUUGAACCUGUUGGGAUACGAGGUAGGCUACACUAGCGCAAUUCAAAAAUUCUACCGCGUAUAACUAGGAAGAACUGCCAUAUAAGGAUCACGGGAUUACCACUCGACGCACUACUGGUGCGGAAGAUGUAGAUAUGCGUCGAUGCAGUGAAGACGAUCACAUAGUCGAUCAACGUAGUCGUACGUAGUCGAUCACGUCCAGCAGCUCCUCAGCAGCUCGUCCACGUGCAGCAAGAUCGUCUCCGGUACCGCGGCUCGUCGUCGGCUCGUCGUGGCUCGUCGGCGGCUCGUCCAAGUGCUGCAGGCGCAACACCUCCAAGGUAUCCACACGUGCAGAAAGGAAGCGUUGCAAGCCGGACUGCUAGAUCCGCGAGUUGCAACAGGCGAGGGCGUGGGAGGCGCGACAGGUGUGUUUCGCCAAAAAGUGUAAACCCUAGGGCGCCCCCACCCCUCUAAUUAUAGAGGUUCCUGAUGAGCCUCUGGAUCCGAGGCCCAUUAGUACUUCUAAACCUAAUCCAACUCGGAUCAGAUCCGAAUUGGGCUUCCAGCCCCUUAAGUGUGUGACCCUAUGGGUUCGAAUACGUAUAGACAUGGCCCGAGUACUCCUGCUCGGCCCAAUAGUCGGUAGCGGCCUCUAGCAAGACGUGCCAACUCCUAUACGCACACGAAGAUCAUAUCAGACGAACCAUCACAACAUAAUAUACAUGCUAUUCCCUUUGCCUCACGAUAUUUGGUCUAGCUUCAAGCCGACCUCUCUUUCUCGAUCCUGUGAUUCGGAAUCCCUUUGUAGGUUAACUCUUAACCGUACGUAGCAUGGCCAUGCAUUUUGGAUCUGAUCACUCGAGGGGCCUAGAGAUAUCCCUCUCAAUCAGAGAGGGGCAAAUCACAUCUUGACUGACCAUGUCUCAUAGCAUGCUUCUUGACAAACCCGAAAGCUACCUUUAUAACUACCCUGUUACGGCGUAGCAUUUGAUAGCCCCUAAGUAGGUCGAUCCACAUCUAGAACACAUGCGACAAUCUCAGGUCUAAGGACAAAGCGUAUAUGUUGUUUAAAGAGAGAACUACUUCUCGUGUUGGGUCAGUCCUAGCACAUGUCUCCACAUGUGUCCACAUUGUUAGUUCAACAUCUCCAUGUCCAUGACUUGUGAAACAUAGUCAUCAACUAAUACAUGUGCUAGUCUAAUAUUCAUGUGUGUCCUCACAUGAACUCCGACUAGGGACAACUUUAGAAUAACCAUACAAGUAAAGAGUUUCACAUACAAUUCACAUAAUUGCAAAUCAAUUCAAGUAGCCUUCAAUGGAUAUUCAAUGAACACAACAUACAAAUCAUGGACAAAUGGAAUAUCAUCAUCUCUAUGAUUGCCUCUAGGGCAUACCUCCAACAGAACCAUCACCGGAAGUAGCCACUCAAGCCAUAUAUGGUAGUCAUGACUCUUGAGCCCGUUGAUUUGCAUAGUAGCUAAGUUCACUCCUCUCUUUAGAUUUGCUGCAUACCCAUCGGGGAACAUUAACAUUUUGAACCGUUCUAGUACUUCCCUCCUUUGGGCCCUUGUCAGGACGAAAUCGGCCUUAGGCUUUCUCCAUGACUUGCCGCCUCUAGGAGGUGCCAUGUCUAGCUUUGGUCUAUUGCAUAACCUUGCUUGAUCCACUCUAGCCUUAACAUUAUUCUUUGUCUUAUCACGAAUGUCCACGAUUGUACCAAAGAUUGCCUCGGCGACAUUCUUUUUAGUGUUCAUUACAUCAAUGUUAUGUGGAAGAAGAAGAUCAUCAAAAUAGGGAGGUUCCACAAGCACGACUUCUGAGUCUAGGCAUGUUGCUCACCCUAUCCCAGAAAACCAUCUCCUUGUGCAUUGACCUCGGGAUCAUCUAACUGAGCACGAACCUCGGCACCAAUCAUCAUUUGUGGUUAGGGUCUCUAACAAUGACAUCUUUUGUAAAGUUCUUGAUGUCUCGUCUGAAUGGAUGGUCAAGAGGGAGGAAUUGUCGAUGUUUGUCGAAUGAAGAAAACUUGCCACCCUUCGUCAACCAUAUGAACUUCAGAGAUACCUUGCAUACUGGGUAUGGGAACUUCCCGUGAACACACCAGCCGCAAAAUAUCCCAUACGUCGGCAAGUCAUAGAGGGAGUACUGGUACCAAACAUGCAUUUUGAAGUUUGUCUUUGUAGUUCAGUCGUAUGUCCAUACCCCUUCCUCCCAAGCACGGACCAAAUCAUCAAUCAGAGGCUCCAUGUACACACUCAUAUUAUUGCCCGGGUGUUCAGGAAUUAUCAACGAUAAGAAUAUGUUCUGUCGUUGAAAGAGGACGCCAGGGGGGGGAGGUUGAGGGGGAUAACGAACAUGGGCCAACAAAUGUAUGGGGCAGCCACCAUUACCUAAGGAUUGAACCCAUCUGUUGCCAGCGCAACACGUACAUUACGAGCCUCUAGAGCUUUCUCAUGAUGAAUCACAUCAAACCUUGUCCAUGCUUCACCAUCGGAUGGAUGUACCAGCUUCUAAGGAUUGUAUCGACGCCCGUAUUUGUGCCAUAUCAUCUGUUUCGCGGAUUCCUCAGUCAUAUAAAGUCGUUGGAUCCUCAGUAUGAAUGGAAGGUACCGUAGGAUCUUCACGGGGAUUGCGAGCUGCCUCUUCUGACCAUCACCAGAGUCUACCUCUAGGAACCUAGAGGAUUUACACUUCACAUAGUACUUUGCUUCCGCGUGUUCUUUCCUAAAUAAGAUGCAUCCCUUCGGACAAGCAUGUAUCUGCUCAUAUGGCAUCUUAAGUGCACGAAGGAGUUUUUGUGCCUCAUACAUGCUCUUUGGCAGAAUGUGACCAUCCGGGAGCAUGCUACCAAAAACUAUCAACAUAACAUCGAAGGCAUCUCGACUCAAGCUAAAUUGGGACUUCACAGCCAUUAGGCGUGCAAUGGCAUCCAGUUGAGAAAGCUUGGUAUGCCCGUGAAGGGGUUGCUGUGCCGCAGACAACAUUUCGUAAUACGCCUUUGCGGUAGCCUCUGGCUCCUCCUUCCUAUGUCCUUCAUCGAAGUGUGCUUCAUGAUAGUCAUUUAACAUGUCUCCUACCUCGGCAUCAGCAUCAUAAUCCUUGAUGUGUUGUCUCACGACCUCGUCUCUCCCACGAUCGGCUUCACCAUGGUAGAUCCACCGGGUAUAGUCUAUCGUAAAUCCAUUCUUGCAAAGAUGUUUACCUAUGACCACCUUUGUUUGUCGACGCGUGUUUGCACAUUUACUACAAGGACACCAAGUCGCACGCGCUCCUUAAGCCCUUGCAAAUGCUAGUUCCAAGAAAGCAUUAGUCUUCUCAAUCCAUUCAUUGGUCAACGAAUCCUGACUAGCUCGGGCCGUGUACAUCCACUCAUGGUCAUCCAUCCUCUAACAUAUCAACAAGUAAUAUAAAAAUCAAUUGCAUCUACACAUUCCUAUAAUGUAUAAUAGGUGAAGAUAGGUCCUAAUCCCACCCGAGAAUGUGUAGAUAGGGUUAGUUUCCAUGCUCUACUCCUAUCCAAGAUAGAAUUUCGGUAGCACCUUCCCACUAUUCUCCAAAUACAGGUCCUGGCAGGGAGAUUGUAUAUCCAGAGAACAACAUGGAGAUGAUGUCGAAACUCUGUCUCCGAUCGGAGUAAACCAUGGAAACUAACCCCAUCUACACAUCCUCGGGCUAUCCAAAAAAUGUGGACAAUUCGAAACAUAUAUGAUUAUAGAUAUGUAAAGAUCUGCAUAUUUCUAACCGUAUUUCUUUUGAAAGGAAGACGCCUAUCUAGGUUACGUGAUAUACAAACAUGAUAUGGAAAGAGGGGUCUUUUAUACCUCACCUUGCUGUCCUGCAAAGUGACGAGUCGAGGAUGGUGCAAUAGCCUCUCCUAAAAAAAAGGAACAUAAUAGUGUCAAUCGUAAAUUUCGGUAGCACCUCCCUGCACGGUGAGGUUUCCAAAACCUGCAACAAAUAAAACGGCACAAUGGCCGACAACCACAUACACACCAAACCAACGGCACGAUAUCCAACAACCAUUGAUGAACAUCUGGUAUGAAGUUGCAUAUAUUUAACAACUCAUGCUAUAUCUCUUGCUCUACCACUAGGCUAUAAAUAAAAUAGAAAAUGGGUAAUGCCAAACUUCAUAGCUAGGAUUGAAAGACACUACAAAAUAGUACAUGGGGUCUCACCUAGUGUAGUGGUACACAAUAACAAUGCCAAAGGAAAUUCAUCUCUAAGCUUCUCGUUGCUGUUAUGGACAUGUUAUGGACGGUGUGAAAUUCAUCUCUAAGCUUCUCUCUGCUGUGUUGUGGUGUGCGUAUGUGUGGGUGUGUGUGGGUGAGGGAGGGUGGGGGCCGGUGGAUAUUAGGCCGAUUUGUCGAAUGCCCGAGAUCUAGCACUCGGCAAAGCCAAUUUUGCGGAGUGUCCGAUCCGGGACACUCGGCAAAUAAUUUUUUUUUCCAAUUUUCCUCCCUUUCCUUCUUUUUCAUAACGUGUUUUACUAAAUUUGUUUUUGAAAAUACCUUGUAAAAUUCACUCAAUAAUGCAUAUUUGAUUUUUCUACUAAUAUUAUUCCACUAUUUCAUGCAGUUAUAGCUCAAAUUCAAUUUAUAUCAAUUAAAAUUCUAUAAUUGCAGUUAAUAAAUUAAAAUUAUCAAAUGGAUCCUUCUCAACACUACGAUUCUUCUUCGGAGAUGCUUCGGUUUGUAAGCAUCGUACGUGAAAAAUUGUGCGAAACCUUCUUAAUUUUUUACCAUAGCCUCCACGUACAAUAUCAUGAGAUCUUGACAAAUCUCUCAUGAUUUUCAGACUUCAUUUGCUUUUUUUAGAAUUUAAAAACCAUUCAGCCACACGUUCGUGGUCGUGUUUCGUGAACAAGAUGUUCAAAAUUUCCUUUCAUUUCUCGGGUAAGACCUCACACUGGACUCAAUAACAUGAAAAUCAUUUUUCUACUCAUUUUAUUCUAUUAUUUGAAUCACUUGGAGUUCAAAUUUGACUUAUACCAAAAAAUUCCUCUAAAUGCAAUAAAUUAAUUAAAUAUAGCAAACAGUAGAGAAAUAUACCUUAUUUUAACAUGAAGUGUGUGUGGAGAGUAAAAAAAGUUUGGAGGGCAGGAGAGGAAAAAAACUUAUUGUUUUGCUGAGUGCUAAUAAUAAACACUCGGCAAACUAAAGUCUUUGCUGAGUGCAAAUAAAAAACACUCGGCAAACUCGGCAAACCUUGUCUUUGCCGAGUGUCACUAAACAGACACUCGGCAAACCUUGUCUUUACCGAGUGUCACUAACGGACACUCGGUAAACUUCUAACGGCCAGCGCUGUGGUUGACGGCCGUCGCACGUGGCGGUCACAUGGCAGUCUUUUGCCGAGUGUUUAUUGUUUGCCGAGUGUGUUGUUUGCCGAGUGUUUUCUUUCCUGCACUUGGCAAACAAGUUUUUUGCCAAGUGCAAUUAUUUUGCCGAGUGUUUCUCUGCACGCGGCAAAGAGGGUGUUUGCUGAGUGCCAGAUAGAAUGCACUCGGCAAACAACCAGGUACUUGGCAAAACUACUGUUUCCGGUAGUGAUACAUGGUAUCUUGAGGUUCAUCAGCGUUUUACAAACUGAGCACCAGGCAGUCAAACCAUAGUCAGCAUUAUAGACACUAGUAAGCCACCAUAGUACAAUCCGACAAGUACCUGUACACUUUGCAGCUUCUGUUAUAUUGAAGACCACUAUAUUAGGGUAAGAUAAGUUCGAUCAACGUAUUAGCUAGAUCAGCAACAGCUUCACUUCAGUUCUGCGGGAAGAGCCAUGUCGCACGCUUCCAUGACACUGCUGGCAGAGGGGUGGAGACCUUGCCGUCCUUCAUGCUGUAGACACUGCAGGAGGCCACAUUAGACCGAAGGUGAUCCUCAUCCUCAUUCUCCACGAAGAAGAUGGAAUCCCCUGGCACCUCGUCAUGAGAGACACAAACAGAUAUGGCCAAGAAAAAACAGCACGUGUCAGCGAAGAAACACGACGCGCCAAGAAAUCCGAAGCAGAAACGCUAACGCGUGGCCGGCGCCGAGACGCACAGGCAAUGCGUCGAACACCUUGCGUGCGCGAGCCGCGGCGAGGGCAAGAGGCGCAGAGGGAGAGAGGAGCAGCUCGUUGAUCCAUAUGUACGGACCACCAGGAGGUGCCCCCUGGCUGGCAAACUGCAAUCCGAGCGCUCUCUGUCACUCGUGAACCUGAAUAUCGCUGCGAUGAGGUGAGGCGAACAAAAUAUAAUUUUGGACGCAUUCCGCUCCUCUUCUUCGUCCAUUUCCAUCCAUGCAUGGCCUGCCUCGUCAACGGACUGAUCACCCACAUCCCACAUUCGAGCGCGGGUCAGAGCUGGAAGUGUCACAGUCUCGUUGGAGAAAGGAUCCCUCAGGAAGCAGUCGUCCUCGCCCGAGAACACCAACCAGUUGCCAGUGCCACAGGCGUUAGUGUACCCCGUGCAGCCAGGGAAGUGGAACGGCGCUUCCUGGGAGGCUGCACACGGUGGCACCUGGGAGCAGGAGCAUCGGCAUCGGCGGGGGCACGCCCUCCUGCUGCGCGGCCGCGCGCCACUGGGGGGCAGACGGCGGCGAACCGGACGCGGUCGACGUGCACAGGCAGGCGGCCGACGACGAGGCCGGAGAGCUUCACCGGGAUGUCCGACCACGACGCCGGCGCCUCCUCCAUGGGUGCAGCCAACCUUGCAAUACAAUCGAGAACACAGCACGCCGUCAGAGAAGAAAUCGCAAGCCGGAGGAAAAACGCCAGCACGCGGCCCGCGCGCGCGGGGGCGGACACACCGGCAAUGCGUCGAGCACCUUGCGUGCGCGACCCGCGGCGAGGGCAGGAGGAAACGAAGGAGAGUGGGGCCGGUGAGUCCAGGGAAGGAGGAAUGGAGGUGGGUUACCGGAAAUUGACGGCCCGCGGCGGAGGAAUCGCGCUCCCGCUGCUGCUGUUCGGGCGGAGGCGGGGGUGGGGGCGGCCGCCGGCAGAGCUGGGAUGGAGAGAGCUGAGCGGGGGUGGAGUAGUCAGUAGUGUGAACGGUUUGAACGGCUGACGUAGUUGACCUCGCCACGUGGCGAGUGAGCUAAUAAAAAAAUCUGUAAACUAAGUAAAUCCAAAAGUAACCCUACAUAGAUGUUCUAAUUUUUAAAACAAAAAUUAUGUGUUGGUGGAGAUGUUACAAAAAUUUUAGGACAAAUAGAUCUGUGCAAAUCUCGAGCGGGCCGUCAAAAAACCCGAUUUCUUUCGAUCCAAAAUCUCCACCCAAGCUUGGCCAUUAACUCUAUCGGGCCUAAUUUGGGCCAAGCUCGGGCCGAGCCGCCCAUCAUUUUCUAGUGUAAAUUUAAUUUAUUUUAUUAUUUAGGUUGGGUCAAGCCCACCUUUUUUUGCCGCGAAAAUCAGCGCCACGCUCGAUUCGAGCCUAUUUUGCUCAGAUCUAAGUACAAAUAUUUUGGAAAGACUAAUUAAAUGUGAUUUUUAUGCUAUAGUGGUUAGUGGCACAUGAUUUUCUAUGUUUUUUAUAAUUUUAUAAAUGUAAUUAAAACUUGAAAUAAAAUUUUGAAUGUAUUUAGAACAUCACCUCUUCGUGAAUUCCCGAUGUUUCUCUGCACUUCAAAACACGAGCAAAGCCAGUGUUUGGUUUGGGGUCAGUAGUUCCUCAGUCACAAAGCAUACGACAUCUAAGAUUUGUACUAGACAAACUUCUUUGUCUAUGACUAAAUUUGUAGAAAAAUACAUAAAUAUUUACGGCAUCAACUAAUUUCCCUAGAUAAGUCAUGAAAUAUAUUUUCGUAGCGUAUUUAUUUGAUGUUGUAGAUUGAUAUAGUACAUGUUAAUAUUCUUUUUUUUUACGUACUCGGUUAAUGUUACAAAAGUUUAGCUUAAGACAAAACUAAAACAAUUUAUGAACGGAUGGAGUAUAUUGAAAAAUCAUUGGCCUUAAUGAAUAUGUUGUCACCUCCUCUAUUCAGUAUUUCAGUCCAAAGAAGAGAGUUAAAAACAAGCGCACAUAUACAAGGAUGCAACAGAGAUUGGUGAGAAGAAAAGUGCACAAUAAAUCAACUAAAUUCAGUCUGGUUUCCUCUGGUGCUGAUGGGCACCAUUCUGGAUUUUUCCAUAAACCUGCGGAACAAAAAGAAAAAUGUAAGCACAACAAUGGAUACUCUGAUGGGUUAUCAUCACAAUGGGUAAGUACCUCUCGAUCAGUUGAGAGCAUCUUAUGCUUAUUCUCCAUCUCAAUUCUAAGGGUGGGACAGUUGGGAUGGAGGUCAGCUGCGUGUGCCAAUGCUGCCUUCCCUUCCUCCACCCCGCAGCAGGAGCGUCCUCACACUGCUGGAUCGUAGCAGUAACCCUCUGGAGCGAAGUACCAGCAACAUUUUCAAAGCCAGGCUGAAUAAUGUCCAUAUCUUUUAUGAACCGCACAUAAACAGAAAACACAAGGGAUUCAAGGCUUGGCAUCAUGAUGGAAGGUGCUGUGGUUGCAUCGUUGUCUCUUUCGCAGCUGUGCGAAUCAAACUGGACAAACGAAAGGGAGUGUGAAGAAUCUCAACUUCCAGAAGUAGUGGUGCAGAUGAUCACUAGUGGUCUUCCUUAUGCUUAAUAGUCUGGUGUGAUCUGAACUCAGUUUGAGAUAACAGAGCUCUGGUAGCCUCCCAAGGGUUUCCAUGUCCUGUUCUUGCACCAAUUCACUGUCAGAUGGGUUAUCAUCACAAUGGGUAAGUACCUCUCGAUCAGUUGAGAGCAUCUUAUGCUUAUUCUCCAUCUCAAUUCUAAGGGUGGGACAGUUGGGAUGGAGGUCAGCUGCGUGUGCCAAUGCUGCCUUCCCUUCCUCCACCUCCGCAGCAGGAGCGUCCUCACACUGCUGGAUCGUAGCAGUAACCCUCUGGAGCGAAGACAGCAACAUUUUCAAAGCCAGGCUGAAUAAUGUCCAUAUCUUUUAUGAACCGCACAUAAACAGAAAACACAAGGGAUUCAAGGCUUGGCAUCAUGAUGGAAGGUGCUGUGGUUGCAUCGUUGUCUCUUUCGCAGCUGUGCGAAUCAAACUGGACAAACGAAAAGGGAGUGUGAAAGAAUCUCAACUUCCAGAAGUAGUGGUGCAGAUGAUCACUAGUGGUCUUCCUUAUGCUUAAUAGUCUGGUGUGAUCUGAACUCAGUUUGAGAUAACAGAGCUCUGGUAGCCUCCCAAGGGUUUCCAUGUCCUGUUCUUGCACCAAAUUCACUGUCACAUCCAGAUGGGUGAGGUUCAAAAGAAGUGUCGAGUCCAUCCAUACCGGUAGUCCAGAGAACUUGAAGCAUUCCAAACACAUCUGUCCAAGGCGAAGAGGAAGAGCCUCAAAACAUGCUUCUUCACCUGUGAUGCCUCUCGCCAAUGCUGAGCCAAAAACACAUAAGGUGUGGAUCUUGUGGAGAUUUGCAAGCGAUUCCAGCAAAUCUCUCUCCAUGCUCUCAUCGUUUACAUGAAUGGUCAGGUCCUUGACGAGCUGCCUUGUUGACGCAUCAUCAGCUGGCCAUUACCUUGAGCUCUUGCAACGAAGUAAGGUUCCUGAUCAAACAAGAUGACACUAUUAUACUGUCAUUGACAUGUAGGCACAACAGUUGUUUCAACAGGCGCACACCCUCCGGCAGCUGUUGCAUUCAGUGUCUGUAGAAACUUGAGAUCUCCAGCUUCCUUGGGGAGCUCAUCAAUUUGUGUAUUCAAAAUUCCAAGAUACCUCGAUCAGGUGGCAUAAACUCCCUAAAUGCCGUAAUCUUCUAUAGUUAAAACACAUAGAACUUGAAAACAUGAUGCUACCACAUUAAUAUCGCCAAACCCAUGUUAACCAGCUGAGUGCGGUUGUGCUCUUCAACACUCCUACCGUGCACGGCAAAUCUGCGAGUAUUGCUACCGCCUAUGAGUUUUUGUUGGUCAUUGCUGUCCAAUAUAGUGGCCAAAUUUUCUUCACUCGAUAGUGAACGAACCAGAUCAAGCACCAUAUCAUGAACACCACAAACAUAUACAUACCCGUUAUCCUCUAACUCCAUCGGUUGGAUCAUGCUUCUAUUUAUUAGCUCGUUGAAGUACCCUUCCCCGAGCUCAAAUAGUUCUAUCUCUGUUGUUGCUUGUUCAUUCUGAAUAAACCCUUUAGCUAUCCACUUCCAUAUCAAAAGAUUUUACUUGAUCCCAUAUUCUUCCUGAAAUAAACUUACAUGCAGCUAGCAAGCCUUUAGAUGUGAAGGGUGUAAGAAAAGGAGGAAACAUGGUUGCCUAUCUUAGCUUGCCACGGUUACGCGUUUAUAAAGGGUGAAUUCACCAAGAGAUUUACAUCGAUACGGUUGUGACCGUCUAGAACUAGUUUGCUUCAUAUAUUUGAAUUACAACAGGACACAACCUAUCUCUAAGCAAACUUAAUUAUGCAAACCGGCCUAGAUCACAACCACACAAUAGGACUCUAUUGAGUCCAAACCAGAUUACAAUCAUGUCUUUUAACAUCCUCCCUCAAUCUAAACUUCUCUUCCUCUUGAGAUUUACAUUGCUCUUGAAUUCUUCUAGCUUACCAGCCGAUAGUGCUUUAGUGAAUCCAUCUACAACUUGAUCAUGAGUAGACACAAACCAUACUUGCAAUUGCUUCUUAGUUACCCUCUCUCGAAUAAAAUGUAAAUCAAUCUCAAUAUGCUUAGCCCAUGCAUGAAAGACUGGAUUAGCUAAAAAAUAAGUAGCGCCUAAAUUGUCAAACCACAAAAUUGGAGGUUGCACCAGCCGAACACCAAGCUCCAAAAGCAAUGAUUCUGACCAAAUCAACUCAGCUGUAGCAUUAGCCAUAGAUUUAUACUGUGCUUCUGUACUAGAUCUAGGUACAGUAGCCUGCUUUCUAGCACUCCAAGAAACAAAUUUUAGGACCAAGAAAGAUUGCAAAUCCUCCAGUAGACUUUCUAUCAUCAACACUUCCAGCUCAAUCAGCAUCAGAGAAAGCACUCAAAACCAUAGAACUUGAUUUCUUAAUGUGUAACCCAAUAUUCAAUGUAAAUUGCACACAAUGAAGAAUUCUUUUAACAACAGUCCAAUGAACUGAAGUUGGUGCAUGCAAAAACUGACAUACUUUGUUAGCAGAAAAGGCGAGAUUUGGUCGAGUGAGAGUCAAAUAUUGCAAGGCUCCAACAUUGCUUCUAUAAUGAGUGCUAUCUUCUGGACCAAGCGGAUCACCCUCAAAACUUGAAAGUUUUUCCGAACUAGACAAUGGAGUUGUAGAACCCUUGCAAUUAUUCAUGCCAACAUGCAUUAAAAUUUCUUGCGCAUAAUUUUCUUGAGAGAAUAACAAACCAUCAUUACUUCUUUGAACUUUAAUACCCAAAAAAUAAUGCAAGUCACCAAGAUCUUUUAGAACAAGGUCCUUGCGUAGAUCCAAUAAUAAAGUUGAAAUUGCUUCACUAGAAGAGCUAGUAACAAUAAUAUCAUCAACAUAUAUGAGCAUGUAAAUAGUUACUCCUGAUUUUUGAUAAAUGAACAACAACGUAUCUGAUUUUGAAGCAACAAAACCAAGCACAAUUAACUUAGUGCUCAAUCUUGCAUACCAGGUACAUGGAGCUUGGUUAAGACCAUAAAUCGCUUUAUCAAGCUUGCACACUAGAUGUGGGGCACCAUCUUUCUCAAAUCCUGGAGGCUGUUUCGUAUAAACCUCCUCUUCUAAAACACCAUGUAGGAACACGUUUUGAACAUCCAGCUGUCGUAAGUACCAGCCUCUAGAGACCGCCAAAGACAAAACAAGCCUCACAGUAGCAAUCUUGACCAUUGGACUGAAUGUGUCCUCAUAAUCAAUUCCAUAUCUCUGUCGAAAUCCUUUAGCUACCAAUCGUGCCUUGCAUCGAUCAAUUGUCCCAUCAACUUUCUUUUUGACUUUAAAGAGCCAUUUGCAAUCAAUUAAAUUGCAGCCAUCUUUAGGUUCAACUAUGCCACGUGUUGUUUCUAAGCAGUGCUGAAUACUCCUCUUGCAUGGCUUCCUUCCAUCGAGAAUUACCAAGGGCUUUUUGCAAUUUUUUUGGUUCACUAGGAGCAAAAAAUUCCCAUAUCUGAUAGUCCCAUCUGUGAACCUCUUAGGUUUGACAAUGCCAUACUGAAGACACGUACGUCGUUGAACCGGUGAUGGAGCUUGGUGAUGGAGCUUGAUAUGCCGGCAUAGCUGAUCCAGAACCUGGUGCAAUAGAUCCAAAAAUAGGCACAGCUGCCACGGGUGCGCCAGGCGCUGUUGCGGGUGAAGACGAGUUGCCGCCACCUGCCGCGGGUGCACUAGGCACUGUCGCGGGUGUGAACGAGCCGCGCAAGCCACCACCUGCCGCGGGUGCGCCAGGGGCAGAGUCUGUGGCGGAUUCCUGCGGCGCAUGGUCAGAAUCCGGAGGUGCAUGUCCUGCCCCCCAACGCAUCAAAGCCGGAGCGUGCGAGACGGAAUCCUAGGACGCGCCGAGUGCGGGCGGAACCAGCUGCGACACAGAUACGCCUGUGGCUGCCGGAUUUGUUUGGGAGACGCUGCCAGGGUCUUCUGUGGCCAAAACUCUAGCAGAAAUAGGUUUAGAUGCAGGAUGUUGCUCGGUGCUUGCGGCAAAAUUCUGCCUGUCUGGUUCCUGCAAAAUGUCAGCACCCUCACCAGGAGCAUGUUGUGCACCUAACAUUAGGUGCACAACUUACAUCCCCAUAGCGAAACAAAUGCGGAGGAAGGAGAUUUAUUUCUUGGUGAAUUUGGGCGCUGGCAUUGGGGUGGAGAUGAGCAAAGGGAAAAACUUCUUCAUCAACGACGACAUCUCGAGAAAUAUAGAUGCGACCGGUGGGAAUAUCAAGACAUUUGAAGCCUUUAUGCAUGGCACUAUAACCAAGAAGGCGCAACGAAUAGAUCGAGAAGCAAGCUUGCGAGAAUUAUAUGGUCACAAAUUUGGCCAACAAGCACAACCAAAGACUCGAAGAGAUGAAUAAUCUGGAGUUUCUUGCAACAAGCGCAUAACUAGAACAUCAUAAUCAAUGACCUUACUAGGAAGAAGAUUAAUGAGAUAGGUGGCUGUAAGAAAGGCAUGAUUCCAAUCUUUCAGUGGCAUGGAUGCAUUAGCGAGGAGAGCGAGACCUCCUCAACUAUAUGGUGAUGCUUCCUUUUGACUACAUCAUUUUGUUGAUGUGCAUGGGUGCAAGAAACUCGGUGGGUAAUCCCUACUCUUGAAAGGAGUUUAAUUUCUCAUAUUCUCCUUCCCAAUCUAAUUGUAUAGAUUUAAUUUUGUAGCCAAAAUUUCUUUCUACAAGCUGCUGAAAAUUUUGAAAGACUUGAAAAACAUCAGAUUUUUUCUUAAGCAAGUAGAUCCAAGUGCACUUGCUAAAAUCAUCAAUAAAGCUAACAUAGUAUCUAUGGCGCCCAAUGGAAGGAGGUGCUGGCCCCACACAUCCGGAAAAACAAGAUCAAGAGGAGCUUUAGAUGCACUAUUUGAUAUAUGAUACGGGAGCUGAUGGCUCCUGACCAUCUGACAUGAAUUACAAAUAGACUCUGAAUUAUUGUCACUAACACAAGGAAGCUUAUUUGAGCUAAGGAUUCUCUCUACUAUAGGAAAAGCUGGAUGACCAAGUCUACUAUGCCAUCGAGUGAUAGAACGUUUAUUGACUGCAAAAGCUUAUUUUCUGGACACUUCUUGGGAUAGAUGCGACCCUAGAGGAUAGAGACCAUUGCGGGAUCUACCUUGAUGGAUGACUUUUUUCGUUUCCUGAUCCUUUAUACAGAAGAAAUUUGGAUGAAAUUCUAUGAAGGUAUCAUUGUCUCGAGCUAAUUUAUGAACUGAAACUAGAUUCUUGCUAGCACUAGGAACAUGAAGUAUAUUUUUUAAGAUAAUAUUUUUGCUAGGGGUAUGUAAAGUUGUAUGACCAUGUUACUAAUUUUCAUACUUGUACCAUUAGCCGCAUGCACUUGAUCACGUCCAUUGUACUUGUCAUGAAUUAUCAUCUUCUCAAGUUCACUUGUGACAUGAUCUGAAGCACCACUAUCAACAUACCAAUUUGAAUCAUACCCAUAGCCGGCCAUGGCUGCCCCUGCUGUUUUCUGACUUGGUUGACUGUCAUCUUCAUCAUAUCUACACCAGCAGCGAUUUGCUUCAUGCCCAACCUUGGUGAAGUAAGCGGAGGAGGACAUGUUACCCUUCUUGGUCGUGGAAAGUAGAACGCGCAAAUUUGCAAUCUGCACUUUGGAGUGCGCCGAGAACAUCCUCUCAAGCACGUCCCAUGCUUCUGCAGUUGUAGUUAACGUCACCACCGGUGCUAAUGCAUCCUUGGUGAGGGAAUUCAGCAGGUAGCUUAGUACUUGCUGAUCUUUCGCGAUCCAGGAGUCGUACUCAGCGUUGUGGACGAUCUCCUUCUUGCCAUCCGCCGUGACCACCUCCAGAGUCUUGAGCGGCGCAGGGGUUGAUCCAUCUAGGAUCCCUAUGAGUUGAGCUCCUCGUAUAGUAGGAAGAAACUGGACCUUCCAUAGAAAGUAUGAGUCACUUUCUCCAAGACAACUCCUAACGCCGGCAUAGCUGUUGACGUCGAUGUCAUGGGAUGCUGUUGAGAUGCUUCUAGCGCAGGUUGCUGAUACAGAAAAAAAUUCUGGCGCAGGAAGCAGGUACUGGCGCAGGAGAUUGGAGCAGGUGCUAGCGCAGGAGAUUGACGCAGGCACUGGCGCAGAAAUCAGAUGCUGGCGCAGGAAUCAGGAGCUGGCGCAGGAGAUUCUGGCACCGGACAUCCAUUUUCCUGGUGCAAGAAUUUUUUUUUUGGCAAGGAUUUUGUGGAUGAUUAGGAAGAGGAUGCUCUGAGUACCAUGUAAGAAAAGGAGAAAAUGUGGUUGUCUAUCUUAGCUCGCCACGAUUACACAUUUAUAAAGGGUGAAUUCACCAAGAGAUUUACAUCGAUAUGGUUGUGACCGUCUAGGACUAGUUUGCUUCAUAUAUUUGAAUUACAACAGGACACAACCUAUGUCGAAGCAAACUUAUCCAAACCGGCUUAGAUCACAACCGCACAGUGUAGUAGGACUCUAUUGAGUCCGAACCAGAUUACAAUCAUGUCUUUUAACAAAGGGAGGUCAUAGUAGCUAAAUGACAAUAUUCUUCUAGUAUUCUCCACAAUGUCAUUGCCUCCGUCACCAAAACCAAUAGAAUUGUACACCUUAACCCAGUCCUCCCCUGAUUUACUUGCCAAUAAGAUAGCUAUUGUAAUGAUAGCUAAUGGCACACCAUCACAUUUCUUCAAAAUUUUAUCACAUGCCUCAGUUGAAAGACUGUCUAGAAAUCUGUCUUCACCACAGGUUAUUCUAGAAUAUAGUAAUAUUUCAUAGUCAUCACGAGAAAGUGGUUGCAUCUUCUAAAUAUCACCAAUAUGUGUGGCGAUUUCAAAAGUCCGAGUAGUCACCACUACUCUACUUCGACAAUUACUAUGUCGGAACCUGGGCCGGAACGAUUUCAAUCCUUCCUUCCUUGGUCCGGAAUCAAUCCGCACCUCAUCCCUCCUGGAUCGGUUUUUGGCCACACGCGACGCGAGGAGAUGGAUGCUCCGCUGGCGGGGCGCGAGGCGACGAGGUGGCGGCGUGGCGGCGUGAGGUGACGGUGUGGCGGCAUGGCACAUCUUCGACGGCCACCACCGCGACGGCGUCCGCCGCCUUCUCGCUGGUAAGCCGCCGCCUUUUCCUCCACUCUCCUUCUCGCCCUAGGUUUCUUGCUUCCUGUGUCCUCCGCUCGAUCUGGCACUUGAUCUAGGUAGGGGACUGCGGUAAUGUGCUGGAUCUGCUAGCGAUUUGGUUUGCUGGAUAUGCUCGCGAUUAGUUUUCUUGGUUUGUGGUGAGGGGAAAGCGAUAGGGUUCCAAAGCAGCCCAUUCCUGGUUCCAUGGUUCGUGAGUGUUCCAUGGUAUAGUUGGCUGGUCGGACGGACAAGACUGCCAUGCGACUUCGCGCGCUGCGCGGCACAGCCUCCCGCGGCCCCCGCUAGCUAUCUCCUUGCUACCACCUACCAUUUCGUGGUGAAAGAAUUAGUGUCCAGCACACCAGUGUGUGUCAGUUCCUUAUUUUUUAUCUAUGCUGCUGACCCAAGAACGUCAUAUACAACAUACUAGAUGGAGUAAUCCGAGACAUAUUACUGUAUUAUUACUAGCAUGAUAAUACAAGGAAGCGCAGAGAAUUCGCAGACCAAUUUCAAUUUCAGUUUUCAGUUUAGAAGAAGAAUGCGCUUUCUUCCUUGUAGCAGAGUAGCAGAGAGCAUAGCAUUUGAACCAGGAUUGUGUUGAUUGAUUACAAGCACUCAUCUUCUCCCACAGUACGUGAUUUUAGCAUAUGUUUGUAAUUUGUAAGCAAACAGAGUAUGGUACUAUGGUCUGCUCCAUUUGGCAUCCAUGGCCAGUUCUCAAAUGUACAUUCGCUAAUGUGCCAGCCAAAUGAAAUGAGUUUGGGAAGACAUCAUGAAAAUAUGGUAUACAGGGAGGAGAGGAGAGAUUGCUUCAUCUGCGAUCAUCUUCUUCUUUCUUUUGCUUUUUCCUGUUUUUCCAUAUUGCGGUCGAUUGCUGUGUAGAUUCUCAGUUUAUUCAGGAGAGUUUGGGAAGACAUCAUGAAAUAAGUGAUAUAUAUUUGAUCAGGAGGUUCUGUGAACCUGGUUUAGUUUACUUGCGUCUUAAUUAAAUAUUGGCAUACUGAAAAGCUAUAUGCCUAUGUAUGAAGGGGAAUCUAAAUAAUGAAAAGCUAGAUGCCAUUUAGAUCAACUGAAACAGGUUCAAUUAUCACUUUAUAUUGGCAGGAUCUUUCAUGAGCAUGGCGCUCUUAUUGAUGGAAGAAUUCUUUCUUUUCUAGAUAAUGGUAACCAUCUAUAUCUGUAUCCAGAAAUAUCAGUACCAGUCACUAUUGUAUGUGUCGCACUUUGCACCUUUAAAGUUUGGAACUCAUGUGUAACUGGUAAUCUACUAUGUUUCAUGAGACACAACAGCGACAUGUUUUUGGUGUGCCUACAUGGUUUGUGAUAUGAGUCAAAUCAUUGUUCCUUUUUUUCUUUUGCACAAGCAUAUGCUAUUAGGAAACAUUUUCAUAUUCUGCUGUAUCUGGAUGAACAAGUUCACAGUGGUUGUUAUGUUGACCUUCAAUAAUCAAGCUAGUUUGUUCUCUCUAACCAGCUAUUACUGGUAUUUGCAAGGAUGGAAAGUGUUGCAGAAAGGAAAUGUCUCAUGUUUGGUGAGCUCGAGUGCAUGGGUACAGAAGCUCAGACAGGGCAGGGAAUAAUCUGAAUUCAGAAGCUCUCGGUGAUCAAAUGGAAUCUCUGAAAUCUGGCUUCAGCUGGAGUGCUCUGUACUCUGUAGCAUGAGUUCUUUAGUAGCAAUUAUAGUCUGCAGUAGUAUGGGAAAUUUUCUCUCUUUCCUUUUCAACAUACUAUCUGAUGAUCCUUGAUCAUUGCUCAUGUUCAAUAUUUAUUUAAAUUUUUGAACUGAAAUCAUUGCAUUGGUGAAUCUAUGAUUAGGUUGAGUAUUGAACUGAAACUUUUGAGUACCGUAAUCAGGGUACUGUUUAAAUAUCGAAUAUGUAAUUGGAAUGGUUCCUAUCUAGCCGAACACAAUUUUUUAUGGUCUGGAAUGGUUCCUGGGCAGGAUUUGAAAUAGGUCAGGAUCGAGUGAAGGAAGGGGAUCCACUUGAUCCUAGCUAGGAACGGUUCCUGGACCGGAACCAAUCCAAAGAAAACGAACCAGACCUUAAAAUAACACGUUUUUUAAGUAGCGAGAUGCCCGGAUCGGACUCAGGCUCCAGCACAUGCUAGAGGCAUUGUUAAUUUGACUGCUCUUGGAACGCCCAGAGGUCGUCAACGAAUAAGUACCUGAUGGAUGAGUGGAAUCUCGGCAACCAUUAAUCGUCACGUCCAUCCAAUGCAAGUCAGUGCCUGCCUCACACUUGUGAAACGAACGAGACCUUAAAAUAACACGUUUUUUAGUAGCGAGAUGCCCGGAUCGGACUCAGGCUCCAGCACAUGCUAGAGGCAUUGUUAAUUUGACUGCUCUUGGAGUGCCCAGAGGUCGUCAACGAAUAAGUACCUGAUGGACGAGUGGAAUCUCGGCAACCAUUAAUCGUCACGUCCAUCCAAUGCAAGUCAGUGCCUGCCUCACACUUGUUUGUGUCCAUCCAGCCAGGCAUAAGCUGUUAAGCCCUAGGUUGGUGGUUGCGUCUAAUUAAUUUCAUACUCGCCUUUGUUUUAAAUUGUAGAUAGUUGAAGGAGUUUUGCUCGAAAACUCUCUGGACGAUUCCAAAGUAAAUAUGCUUUGUCCGAAGCCUCCAACUCCUGAUUGUCGGACCAUCCGGUGCCCUAGGGUUGUCUUCGUCUUCUCUGUGAAUUACUCCGACGCAUGUAAAAUACAAGUCGUCGGAUCAUCUGGUGCACUUGAAGUUUUUCCCCGUUUUCCUGUUGUACCAAUUGCUCCGGUGGUUAGUCCGAUGGUUGCUCUGGUGGACCAUCGGAACAUCCGGUGCUACUAAUUUUUCUGAGUUGAAUACCGCCAUUUGAGCACCAAAGAUAUCAUCACUUGGAUUUUCUCUAUCAUUUGGAUGCUUGAAUAUCAUAGAAUAAUUCUAAAUAUCAUGGCUUGGUCACUUGGAUACCACCAUUUGGAUUUAGAAAAUACCAUUAUUUGGAUGAUUUGAUUACCAUGAUUUGUACCUUGUCAUGAUUUGGUUUGCAUUCUUGGGAUCUAGAAAACCUACAAGGCACAUGCUUGAUAACCUAUCUUACUAUUACUAAUUGGAGGCUCCUUUUGAAGCCUCCAGAUAAAGCCACCUAGGAUUCCUAGGUGGACACUCUAGAAAAAGAGAGAAAUCCUAGAAAUUCUCACAAAAAAGCAAAACAUCCGACCAUCAAUCGACAGAUUCAAAUCAUCAUAACCAUUGGAUCUAUUAUGUUUUCUAAAAAAUUACCCACCUAUACCAUUAUGAAAAUAGCCUAAAGUAACCCCCUAAAUCUAUAUAUAAAUUACCCACCUCUGCCAUUAUAUAAAAUAAACUAAAGUAACCCCCUAAUCUUCAUCAAAAUUACCCACUUAUGUCAUUAUAAACAAUAUUUAAAAUAACUCUCUAAUUUGCAACUGAAUUGCCUACCACUAUUACUUUAAAAAACUUAAAGUAACCUCUUAAAUUUCCAUCUAUAUUACCCACACAUGCUAUUAUUAAAAAUAACAUGAGGUAACCCUACGUUUGAAUCAAAUAACCUUAAUUAAAAAUAUACAACAAUAUAUGAUUCUAAAUCGUCUAUAUGUUACACUAUUGAUAUACGAUAUAAUAAUUAAGGUCUAUACGCAUGAUGUGUGAUGUGUGUCACCAUUUAUAAGGAUAUAAAAUUAUGGGAAUAUACAUUUGUAUGCUAAAAUUAUAUUUAGCAUUAUGGAUAGUUCUAUUAAAUUUAUGAGCACUCAAACUUAGGGUUCAUUAAACAAAUUCAAGCCCAUACAUGCGGUCCAAAGUGGAAAGUUAAAGAUUAUAAAUGUGGAUGAAAAUAUUAUAGAGUAAUUACUAACUGAAAUCUAUCACAAUUGGAUGAAGAUAUUAAGUAUAAUAUCUACAUAAGUAUUGUGUUUGAAUAUUUAACAAACGAGAGGUAGCUUAUGGUAAUAGUUUUGUAGCAAUGUAAUCUCAUUUUUUUUCAUUGAAGACUCCGCAUUAGUUCCCAUGAGACAAGCAAAAAAAAAGAGAUUCUCAUAAAAAUUAAAAACAUCAAACACCAAUCCUGUAAACUCUAAUAAUCAUAGCCAUUGAUUUAUUAUAUUUUCUAAAAAGUUAUCCACCACUGUCAUUAUGGAAAUAUUCAAAAAUGAGCUCUAAACCUAUAUCUAAAUUACCGAGCUCAGCCAUUAUAAAACAUAAUCUAAAGUAACCCCGUAAUCUUCAUCCAAUUUACUAAUGCACAUCAUUAUAAAGCAUAACUUAAAAUGUCAUUCUAAAAUUUUAUCUAUGUUCGUUAUUAAAAGUAACCUAAAGUAAAUACUUAAAUCUUAAUCUAAUUAUCUUCAUGUGCAUCAUAUAGAAAUGUCAAAAAGUAAACUAAUAUAUGAUUCUAAAUUACCUAUUUAUGUCAUUGUUAAUAUAAAAAUACUACAUUAAAGUAUAUACACAUGAUGAGUGCCACCAUUAGACCAUGUAUACAUUUAUGUGCGGAAUCGAUGAAAAAUAUUGAUUUGUAUGCUAAACAUAAUGUACAAAGGAUUGGAGGUGCGAUACAAAAUGGAAAAAGUAUGAAUAUGAAUGAAAAAGUGCAUAGAAUAAUUAUUAAUUAAAAAUCAAUCACAACUGGACAAAAUAGAUACAUAUCUAUAUAAGUAUUAUGUUGAAGUAUUGGAAAAAUAAUAGUAGUAGGUAAACAAUUUUGAUUAUUAGCUAAGAGUUUAAUUUCUAAAUAAUUUUCAAAUCCAAUAACUUAUAAAAACAUUAGCCUGUGCAGGAGCACGGGUUGAUGGACUAGUUAGUUCCAAUGACUAUGCUAUCACUUAAUCACCAAAAUCACAAACAAUAGCCUAAUGAGACCAUGUUCCUUACACCUUAACAUUCUCCAUGCAUCCUUUCUCGCCAGUCACCACCGUGCCUCAUGCUCAUGCAUGAGGCUCGGUGACUUCCCGCGGUCUCACCUUGAUCUUGCUAUUUCUUAUAACCCAUGACAGAGAAACAAUCAUAGAGUAUAUAGGACUACUAUAUACUACAUACUACUAGUAGCUGCAGCGAGAUUCCCUGAUCAGACGCGUUAUUACAAGUGAUCGCGACUUCAUUCCAUGAGAGAGGAGUCUUCUUCUUCUUUCUUUGUUUUUUUUUUUUGCACGAGACUUCAAUGACAGAAUGGUCAUCAUAUAUCAUAUAAUAAUAUAGUAGCUUGCAUGAUGAUAAGGUUACUUCUAUAGUUAUGCAUGCCCGAAAUCUAAUUAGCUGUGACAGCUGCCACCAAAUAGAAGAAUUAGCUGUGUCAGCCCCAACAUGUAGUGUCGCUCAGUUUACAUUUAAAAUAACACGUUUUUUAGUAGCGAGAUGCCCGGAUCGGACUCAGGCUCCAAAGCAUGCUAGAGGCAUUGUUAAUUUGACUGCUCUUUGAGCGCCCAGAGGUCGUCAACGAAUAAUUACCUGAUGGACGAGUGGAAUCUCGGCAACCAUGCAUUAAUCGUUAAGUUGGCACGUCCAUCCACUUAAUGCAAGUCAGUGCUCACGGUUGUUUGUAUCCAUCCAGCCAGGCAUUAAGCACUAGGUUGGUUGACAUACUCCCUUUGUUUUAAACUUUGUUUUAAAUUAUAGGUCGUUUUGUAUUUUCAAGAUGCAUAGGAAAAAACUAUACGAGAGUAGCAAAUCCAAACUCAAUUACCGAUACGAGCAUGCAUUGUUGCUUGUUCGAUUGAAUCCCCUGCUCUAAUUAGCCAAUCACCGCAGGAUUAUUGAGCUCGUGGCCACCUGAAUCGGGGUUGCUGCUACCGGAUUCCUUUCUUACCAAUGGCCAUACCCGUCGCGGCCGCCGACGCAGCGCUGCUCGCCGCCCGCGCAUAUGCCAUCCACCGUCCCUAGCCACGUCCUUGCGUUGCGCGCGCACCACCACCUGCUGCCAUGGACACCACCGCUCGCCGCGCUAGGCCCGAAGCAGUCGUCCAAGCGUUAAUUAAUGCCGUUCGUCUUGCUCGCCUGCACGAAAACCGAAGCCCGCUUCGCCGUUGACGCCUGCGCAUAGCCCCGGCCUACCAGCUCGCCGUCCACGGCCAGCACUCCCGGCUCGUCGCUGCGGGCCUGCGGCCCCGCCGUCACCGUGCGGGUUGGGUUGGAAAGAGGAAACGACGGGAGAGAAAACUGAGUACAUGUUCAUAAAAUAUUUUAGACAGGGCUUAUAGAAGCCAUGGGUUGGGUGAUGUUGGUUUGUAAAUUGAGUGCCUAGCUUAUACGGCAGCAUAGACAUCAUCCAUGAAAACGGUGGGUUGAAAUCAGGACAAUAAUUGUGCCAGCUAACUAACAAUCCAAGAUAUUAUACUAGAAAUCAUGAUAACAAUUGUGAAAGAGCUGAGGCAGUACGACCAAGCUUAAUUAAACUUUAAAUAAGGAUAAUGAUUAUGCCAUCUAACUGAAAUAUUUGACUCACAAUCCGAACUAGUAUAUACUAGAAAUAAGGAUGAUAAUCGUGCUAGCCAGCUGUGCUUCCUUUAUCUGGUUUAUUUUUUGAUGAUGAGGCCAAUGACGUUUCAUAAGCUGGGUAAGUAUUUAUAUUUACAGUAGAAGAAAUAAACAAUGCUAUCAUGGCAGAUGAAGUAAAAUUUCGGAAACCAUUUUAAUUUGUAUGCAAGUCUAUGCCGACUCACAUCAUCCAAUGUAUAAUGCUCAGUUGCCAUUAUUAAUUUAUUCCAGAGAAUUGCAUUGGGCUCCAUGUUGGGUAGGCUUUACAUGCAUCACCUUGUUUACGCUGCCACAACGUGGAGCUCACGGGGCUAAACUUUAGCUCCUGUCACGUCGGAUGUUUAGAUACUAAUUAGGAGUAUUAAACAUAGUCUAAUUAUAAAAUUAAUUACACAGUGAGAUGAAUCUAUUAAGCUUAAUUAGUCAAUGAUUAGACAAUGUGGUGCUACAGUAACCAUUUGCUAAUGAUGGAUUAAUUAGGCUUAAUAGAUUCGUCUCGCGAAUUAGCCUAGGAGUUCUGCAAUUAGUUUUAUAAUUAGCUCAUGUUUAGUUCUUCCAAUUAGCAUCCGAACAGCCGAUGUGAUAGAGUUAAAGUUUAGCCCCUGGUAUCUAAACAGCAAAAUCGAUGACCAAUCAUGCUGCCGAGGCUGCUCACAGCCUAAGGGGAAUUCUCUUCCUAGCCUAGACUAUACUCAAGCAACCUAGCUAGUUUUACAGCUCCAGCCUGAAUCCAGAGUUGGAUUUCCUGCUUGAUAACGUCCAGGAGUUGUAGUGCCGUCGAUGCGCGUACGUUGAUCAACAUAACGCUCUCUCCUUCUCUCCUUGGCCUGCAGCUUCCUCGCAUGCGCCCACCAAUUCUGGCGCGAAAUUAACCCGCGCAUUGCGAACGAGCCUCUGGCUCACUGGUAGCACUCGCGGUGGCGAGGCUGCCCGCCAAGGUUGAUCGAACUUUGGGGUCGCACCAGCGGGAUUUUCCCCAAUAAUGCACAGUCUCAGCUCGGAUUGUUUCGAGCGUCUGCCUCUCACGCGUGGAACUAUUCAACCGGGACUAAAGGUUUUUUAAGUGAGGUUUUUAUGUCCCACCUACUUUGCAAUUACAAUUUAUAUAUGUUUUCCAACUUUGUUAAAGAAAAAGAAAAAUUUUACAUAUUUUAAACCAAAAAUAUAUUAAAUUAGUAAGUAUAUUUAAAAUAAGUUUGAAUCAGUCAUUAAUUCUAUAUUAGUUGUUUAAGUUUCUAAAAUAAUUAUUUUAAUGCAUCACUAUCAUCAACAAACUAUUCAAGUAAAUAAUUUCAACGUGCAAAAAAUACAACUGAUGUAUGUGGUUAAGUUAACAUUGUUUAUAUUGAUCGAAUAAAUCCACCAUGGAGCAUUACAAUAUAAUUCAAAGGUUCUGAUGGCCAUAAAGCAUUAUAUUAAGGUAAACCAUAUUUAGUGCAUUAUAAUGUAACAUUAAAAAACUUCUUCUUGGCUAAAAGUUCCUUGGUCAUGAUCGCGGCGUAAGUACGGAGUCUCUUUUCUGGCUAGCAUGAUGCUUGGGUCAACUUCGACAGCGAAUGAAGGCAUGCCAUGAAACUAAUCAUAAUCAUCUGAUUGAUCUGUUUUGUCGUCGACACCCACGAUUUUUCUUUAACCUGAAAGAACUAUAUGGUGCUUUGGCUGCCAUUAUUUUUCUUUAUCUUCUGAAUUUUUCUUGGGUCUGCUAGACAUGUUCUUCACAUAGAAAACCUAGUGCACAUCAUUGGUAAGGACGAAUGAUUCAUUAUUGUAUCCAGUCUUGGUCAGAUCCACUAUUAUCAUUCCAUACUUAUCUUUCAUUACGUCACCUCCAGUUAGCUUCACCCUCGCAAUGAAAUAGAGGGAUGUUCAUCGGUCCAUGUUUAAGUUUCCUAGAUCUCCUCUAUGAAACCAUAAUACGAGUCCUUGCACCUGUUGUUGUCUAUGGCAUUUAUGCAGACACCACUAUUCUGGUCGGUGCUUUUCUAGUCUUGGGCUCUCGUGUAAAAUGUUUAACCAUUUAUCUUGUAACCUUGGAAUUUCAUGAAGGUCCCCUGGCUAACCAAGCAAGUUGUUCGUGAAUCACGAAGUUACCAAUAAUAUGUUGACACAACCAAGAGAGAAAAGUAUCCAUGUGAUGACGUAUAAUCAAGGCAUCAAAUUUCAUCAAGUAUUAGGCAAAUAGAAUCUGCUGGUGUUCCUCGAUAUACGAAGCCACAAAGGAUGAUUGUUGCAGAACAGUGAAGUGCGCUUUAUGAAAAAAAUCAAUAUCAUUGCUCAAACUUAAUUUCCUUCCAAGGGUGACCGUUCCCCGCAGCCUCCCGUUGUGGCGUGAUGUUGGAACCCCAAUCAAAUUAAUUGAGUCAAUAAAAUCAACAUAAAACUUAAGGAACUCCUCUGUUCCAUAUCCCUUGGCGAUGCUUCCUUCUGCACAUGCAUGAUUAAGAACAUAGUUUUUUAGAACUGACAUGAACCUCUCGAAAGGCCACAUAUUGUGCAGGAAUACAGGACUGAGAAUAGUAAUCUCUUUGACUAGGUGAACCAGGAAUUGCAUCAUAAUAUUGAAGAAGGAUGGUGGAAAUACCAGCUCAAAGCUGACAAGACAUUGUACCAUAUUGUUCUGUAGCUUUACUAGCUUGGUUGGAUUGAUUGUCUUUUGUGAAAUCGCAUUGAGAAACGCGCAUAGCUUUAUGAGUGCCAAUCAUUCAUUCUCUAGUAGAAUACCCCUCAGCACAAUCGGAAGCAACUGGGUCAUCAACAUAUGGAAGUCAUGUGCCUUGAGAUUUGUGAAUUUUUUUCUUUCAUAUUUAUUAUUCCUUUUAUAUUCGAGGAGUACCCAUACAAACCUUGAUACUAUUCAUGCAUUCAAACAUGCUAUCCUUCUCUUCCUUGUUCAUGUAUUCAAACAUGCUAUCCUUCUCUUCCUUGCUGAGAGUGUAACUGGUAGGACGUAAGUAGUGUUAUCCAUUAUCUAUCUUUUCCGGAUGUAAGUCAUCUCGUUGCUUCAUACGUUUUAGGUUCUGUCAUGUUUUCAAUGUAUCUUUUGAGUUCCCAUAACAACCUAUGAAGCCUAGCAUGUUCAUGCAAAGAUUCUUCGUCAGGUGCAUCACGUCUAUUACGUUGCGGACCUCUAGAAUUUCCCAAUAAGGUAGGUCCCAAAAUAUAGACUUCUUCUUCUACAUGGGUGCCCGUCCGUUAUCGUCGUUCAGAAUACAUUCGCUACCAAGACCCUUUCCAAAGAUUACCCUUACAUUCUUUAUCAUCUCAAAUACACGCUUUCCAUUAUGAUGUGUAGAUUUUUUACGAUGGUUUAGCGCCCAUUUGAAAUGCAUCACAUUCUUUCUUAAUGAGUGGUUAGCAGGAAGAAAUCGUCGAUGGCCCAUAUACACGACCUGCCUAUAGUGUUUCAAAUACAUACUAUCUGUGUCAUCUAAACAAUGGUUGCAGGCCUGAUAUCCCUUGUUUGUCUAUCCUGAAAGGUUACUCGGUGCAGGCUAAUCAUUAAUGGCUAUGAACAACAAUGCUCGUUUCAAAGCUCUCUUAUUUAUCCUUAUCCCACACACGUACACCUUCUUCCUUCCAGAGUAGCAAAAGUUCAUCAACUAACGGUCAUAGGUACACGUCAAUGUCGUUGCCGAGUUGUUUUGGACCUUGGAUAAGCACCGACAUCAUAAUGAACUUCCUCUUCAUGCACAGCCAAGGAGGAAGGUUGAACAUACAUAGGGUCACAUGCCAAGUACUAUGACCACUACUCAACUCACCGAUUGGAUUGAAUCCAUCACUACUUAAACCAAACUUUAUAUUUCUUGUAUUACUUUCAAAGUUUGGAAAUGCUCUAUCAAUUGAUCUCCAUUAGGCCCCAUCCGCAGGGUGUCUCAGCAUCUCAUCUUGCUUACGUUCUUCUUUGUGCCAUCACAUCAACUUAUCAUUCACCUUGUUUCUGAAAAAACCCUUCAAACAUGGUAUUAUAGGAAAAUACCACAUCACCUUCUUGGAAACUCUCUUCUUGGGAGGCUGCCCCUCAACAUCACUAGGAUCAUCUCACCUGAUCUUAUAUCGCAGCGCUCCACACACAGGACAAGCGUCCAAUUUCUCGUAUUCAUCACCAUGAUAGAUGAUACAGUUAUUAUGACAUGCGUGUAUCUUUUGAACCUCCAAUCCCAGAGGGCAACCAAUUUAUUUUGCUUCAUAUAUUGUGGAUAGCAAUUCAUUAUUCUCGACAAGAAUGUUCUUUAAAAUUUUCAAUCCCCUAAAAUGCCUUAUCGAACACACUAUUUUUUACCGUCCAUUGCAACAGUUCUAGUGUGGUACCCGGUUUUUUAUGCUCCUGCUUGCAAUUUGAGUAUAACAAUUUUUGUGAUCAUUAAUCAUGCACUGCAACUUUUCUGAUUCCUUUUCUGUUCUCACAAUCUCUGUGUGCAUUCCGUAGACCAAGAUCAUCAGUAGGGCCGUCUUCUGCAAACUCAUCUUCAUCAGUCUCACCCAUUGUAGUAUCUACAAGAGCUUGGCCUGCAGCCCAGUCCGGAAUGUUAUUAUUAUCCUCCUCUUCUUUGCCGUCUUCCAUUACAUGCCCUCUUUCACCAUGCUCGGUCCAAACCAAAUAAUUAGGCAUGGAACCAUAUCUAAACAAGUGGCUGUGAAUAGUCCCCCAGGAAGAGUAGUCCUUAUUGUUACUUUAUUGGAAGCAUGGACAACAUAUGAAUCCGUUCUCUGGUUUAUUAGCUUUGGCCACUUCGAGAAAAUAGUGCAAGCCAUCAACAAACUUCUUGGUCCGUCUGUCCAUGUUAUACAUCCAUUGCCGGUCCAUCUGCAUCGUAUUACGUGAGAAAUGGACAUAAGUCUUCGUAUUAGAUAAAGAACUUGAUCAAUAUUAGGUAGGGGGCAAUAGAGUUAAUGUGAUUAUAAUAUUUAGUCCUUGCAAAAAAUAUUAGAUAAAUAAAUUAUUGCAUGAGAAAUAGACAUAGGUAUUUGUAUUAGAUAAAGAACUUGACAAUAUUCAUAAUUUACACCAAUCAACCUUCAUAAAGAUAAAAAUAAUUCACAUGAAAAUUACACCAUUUAGCAUUCACUAAAGAUACAUAUAAAGAUUACACUCAUAACAAGACAAUAAAGAUAGAUAUCCACUAAAGAUUACAGACGCUCCAUAGUGGAGUUCACGUAGUCAAUUAUCCUAAAAUAAUGGUACAACAUAGCAAAAUGUUUGCCCUCCAAGCUAUCUCUGCACAUAACUCAAUCUUCUACGAAGUCUAUCGAGAGUCACCUUCACAUAUACAGUACCAUAACAUAAUGGUACAACAGAAGAUCUUCGAGUCCACAUACUUGACCUGAAUAUCAUAAAAGAAUCUUGAAAUAAUUGUCCAAACGUCUUUUGGAGCAAGUGCCAUAUUCUCAUAAUAUAAGUAUGGUGGCACACACACAAUAGCCCAUCCAAGCAAGAGAUCUGUUCACUGAGCAUGACCCAUGGUGGCAAGCCAAAACCAACCAAAAGCCGCUAGGUCAAGGUCAGGGAACAGAUCUUUGCCUGAACAGGAUAUUGGGCCAGCAUACUUCUAUUAUGAAAAUUAGGCUCCAAAAGGUAUUUGGAAUACUAUUUCAAGAUUCUUUUAUGAUAUUCUGCCCGAGUUUGUGGACUCUAAGCUCUUCUGUUCUACCAUUAUUUUCUAGUACUGGAGAAGCGGAGGUGACUCUCCAUAGACUUCGUAGAACAUUGAGUUAUGUGUAGAGAAUAGUGUAAGCACAUUUAUACCAUGUGCAGACACUGUUCUCUGGGACUGGAGGAACGGAGGUGGUACAUCCAUUGCCAGUCCAUCUGCAUCGUAUUACAUGGAAAAUGAACAUAAUUGCCAGUCCAUCUGCAUCGUAUUACAUGGAAAAUGAACAUAGAGAUUCAUAUUACAUUAAGAACUUGAUCAAUAUUAGGUAGGGGAAAAAUAGAGUAAGUAUGUUUAUAAUAUUUAGUUCUUGCAAUAAACAUGAGAUAAAUAAAUUAUUUGUCAAAAAAAUACAAUUAUUGUUAAAUUACUGCGACAUUAAAAAUUGUAGCAAUGACCAAAUUCUAUUUCUUACACCUACAAUUUAUUUACCUUAAUUUUGUUGCAAUGACUAAAUAUUAAAAAUACAUUUACUCUAUUUUCCCCGUACCUAAUGUUGAUCAAGUUCUUUUAACUAAUACGAAUCAUAUAUAACAAGCAAGCUAUGCAUCAAAUUCUAGCUCAAAAAUAUGUAUAUCCUCUCCAUUCUCCCUCAUCUAAAAAAUUCAUUUUUUUUCUCUCUCUCUCUAAAGCAUAAAAUAAAGCAUAAUAACAAUAAAUGAAGGGAGAAUGAAGUAGCUAACCUUCACAACACUUUGGAUGAGUGAAAUCCUCACGGAAAUGAGGAAAAUAAUUUGGGCAGCACCUCCCCUAAGGUUGCUUGCUCGCCAUGGAGAGGAGGAUGAAGCUCUCAGUCAAGUGGAGUGGCUCUGGCUGGGGGAGGAAGAAGAGUUUUUGAUUUUGUAGGGGAGGAAAUUUUGUCCCGGUUGGAAAUUCCAACCGGGACAAAAGAUCCCCUUUUGUCUCGAUUUGAAUUACCAACCGGGAUUUUUGUCAUGGUUGGAAUUACCAAUCGGGAUGAGGGGUCUUUUGUCCCGGUUGGAAUUUCCAACCGGGACAAAAGGGGGAGUGUCGGUGGAAUUUUUUAUAGCCAUUACAAUCGGGACUAGGGGGUUUUAGUCCCGGUUGAUCUUUACAACUGGGACUAAAGACCCCAACCCCCCCUCCUCCUGUGGUGGCUUUCGGUGGAACAUUUUUGACCCGGGAAUAAAAGCGGGUCCCAUGUUAACGGGGACUGUUCUCUGCUAGUGCAAUCUUGCGUCGUUGAUUGAUGAUGGGUACGUCACUCGGGCAGGACCUAACAUGAUGAUUUUUUGCAGAGUGGGUCUUAGAGUUGAUCAAGUAUAUAUCACUUCUUUAUUUUCUGUAUUGGUUGAGAAACAAAGUCAGUGAAGCAUCGAGCAAUGCGCCGCGUCAAGGUACAAUAAUUUGUGGCUGCAUUGGUUGGCCGCCAGUCAAGAGUCAACUUUGUGGCCAUGCAACUUGAUCACUUAUUCACAUGCACUUUUGGACUUUCGCUGCACACACUGACCUUCCACACGGUCACGCGUGCCUGGGCACUAGCUUUCUUCAGGACUUUGGCAUAGUGAGAGUAAGUUUUGGUCUUCGGCUCUCUUUCUUCGAAACUUGUCUGGUGCGCAAGAAAUUUCAAUAAGGAAGCAGAAUUGCAAAUAACCGUAGCUUGGCUUGUACACGAGCUUUUUGUUUGGUUGCCGUCGUGCAUACAGCUAGGCCAGCAGGAGAAUCUCACGAGUAGAGGUCCAACAUUUUUUUUUCCCGAUUGUCUUUGGACCCCCGGUCCGGAGCUCGGUCCCCUUUAUAAUACCAUCUCCAUAAACUCAUGGGGGCGCACAACGCUCAGCAUUAGCAGUACCACUUGCUAGCUUCUGCUACACAAGCAAACCCAUAGGAUACACACCUGAGAGUAAUGGCGGACCUUGCAAUCGGGAUUUCCAGGACGGCGGUUCAGUUGCUGUGGGACAAAGUCAAGACCGCCAUCAAGGAGGAGGCAGAGCAGUGGCAGAUUGUGCAGCGUGAUCUCGUGUUCAUCACGGGGGAGGUCGAGAUGAUGCAGUCCUUCCUCAACGUUGCCGACCCGGAGCGCGUCAGGAACGAUGUUGUGAGGACCUGGGUGAGGCAGGUCCGCGACCUCUCCUAUGAUGCGGAGGAAUGCAUUGAGUUCGUCCUCCAACUGGACACAAAUAAGAGGUCCUGGUGGCUCCGGCUGUUGCCGUCUUGUGGCAAGACGGAAGCAGCGCUGCCAGUGGACGAAGCCGUCGCCGAGACAACACUGCUGAGGGCUCGAGUGGUGGACGUGAGCCAGAGGAACAUACGCUACAACCUUAUUGUAGACUCUGCCUCCAGACCCAUCAAUCAGCAGGUUGAUCAAAUGGCUGCUGCCUCCAGCACAAGUUCAUUUGACAGCAAGUUCAAUGCUGUUAAGAAGACUGGCUUCUUGGAUCUUCCCGGAUUGAUCAGUAGGGAAGACGAGGACCUUCAAUUGAUCUCGGUCUGCGGACCAGAAGGUGAUCUUGGGAAAGUAGCCAUCAUCAGGAAGUUGUACGGUGAUUCAAGAAUCUACAAGGAAUUUGAAUGCCGCGCCUGGGUGAAGCUUAUGGAGCCUUUUAAUGCUCAUGAGUUUAUACGGACCUUGAUGAUUCAGUUCUUCGCACACUCUUGCUGCAGCCAAGAACAAGAAGGAAGCAUAAAGGAGUCUGCUCAUAAAAUCAACACACAUAGGUACCUCAUCGUCCUUGAAGACCUAUAUACCAUGGCACAGUUGGAUACCAUCAGAUCCUACCUGCCGGACAUGAAGAAAGGAAGCCGGAUUGUCGUGUUAACCCACCAGCCGGUGAUCGCAAGAAUAUGCGCGGGGGAGCUGUGUCGAGGUUUUCAUCAGCUUGUCCAGUUUUCACUAGAUCAUUCUGUCUGCGUCUAUUUCAAAGAGGUAAAUCAAUAGUGUACUUUCAGAAAUUAAAAAACAUUUCAUACAUGUUGCUGGCGCACCACUUUUUUCGAUUUUCUAUAUAUUUUAUUUACCAUAUAUAGUGGGAGUUUGUAAUACAUGACAUGAACAGCAGAGAUGUAACCCAGAAAUAUGAGCCACUUUCUAAGCUCUAGGUUUUGGUUGCCCGCAUGCUCUAGCCUGGCUGGUAUACAAAAUAAACCCACCUUAGCCUGGCGAAGAAGAGAAAGCUGUUUAGUUGCCUGCGAAACAUUAGUUGUAUGAGAUAAAUGUGGACAAAUAAGGGUUAUUAUGAUAUUUAUUUUGUGCAUUUUUAAAUAUUUGUGGAGCAUUUAUUUUAUAAGCAUCAAUAUUCCUUAAGCACAAUAAUAUCACUUGAUAUACCCUAACAAUGCAGUAAUAGCAUCAUUACCUAGGCAGUUGUUGACUGUAUCAAGCAAGCCAAGCUCUGCAAAAAUUUCAUGUUUCUACAAAGCCAGGCUGUCAUACCAUAGUAACAUGCAGGCAACAAAGCACUUCUGUAUUCAUCUUUUAGACCAGGCUAAGCAAAAUGCAGGUAACCAAAUUAACAUUUUCAUGAUUACACAAACCUCCUAGUGGACUCUCUCUUCUCUAUUGUUCAUGCUCUUAUUUUUACAUGACUUUGUUGUACAAAUCCUGGUGGCACCCAACAAAUACAUAUAAAAAGCAUAUACCAAUUCAAGAUCUGAAUUAUUGAAACCUAUGUGCAGAUUUCUAUUGUCCCCCAAUUAAACUUCCUUUUCUUUGUGCGUGAUUGUGUGCAUCGUUCGAAAACAGUGCUAGACAUAUAAACAGUGCGUGAUUGUUUGCUUUAGUUUUGUGCGCCCAUCUGCCAGAAACAUUGUUCAAUAAUUAAUGAAUAUAACUUUUCCACUGAAUCAGGGAAUUUUUCAUGAAUCAGGGAAUUUUUCAUACAUGUCAAUUUUCCUAGCUACUAGUUUAGGUUGGCAAUCUAAUUUGACAGCCCAAAGCGGCCAAAUGUUAGUUGAGAAAUCAUAUUUUCACUUUUUUUUUGGUCGGUGCUUAUUUUUUUUCUCGCACUUAUUGGCAUAUAGGUGCUUAUUUUUUAAUUGAAAAUAAGUAAUCCCCCCUCUCUAUUCUUCUUUCAACUUGUUUGUACAUCUAUUUCUGUAUCUGCAGGGUUUCCAGCGUGAUAGAGUCCCUUUCUUUAUAAGGGAAGAACCCGACCAUUCAUGGUGCGAGUAUGGCCUUAUUGGACGUGACACUGAAAUGGAUGCACUUUUUGAGCAAAUCCAGGAAAGUCGUAUUAUUUCUUUGUGGGGAAUGCCUGGUGUUGGUAAAUCAAGUCUCGUUUGGGACAUCUACAACAAACCGCAGACUCUUAAAACAUGGCAGCGUCGCGCUUGGGUCUUUGCUUCCCAUCCAUUCAAUCCCAUAGCCUUCUCCCGAAACAUAGUUCAACUUUGGAAUUCACUUCCGGAAUCCUAUCAGGCAAAUCCCAUCCAAGAAUGUCGACAUCUUCUACAUGAACAUGUGUGCCUACUCGUAAUUGAUGGUUUGCAGUUCGAGGAAGACUGGGAUUGGAUAAAUAACUUGAUAGGAAGCGGAGGUUCAAGAAGCUGUAUCAUCACCAUUACUUCGGAAGAAAGUGUUGGCAAACAUUGUGCAGCAGUAUCAUCAAACAAUGCAGUAGUGCACAAUAUCAAAGGUCUUGAAGCUGAUGCAGCCCUUGAACUGUUCAAAAAGGUGUGUUUUCUCACAAGCAUUGUUCCAUUUAGUUUCCACUUAUAUCUACUAGCAUAAUUCCUUACUGUAUCAUACUAUUACUAACUAUAAACUCUUUUUAGAGCCUCCAUAAUGAAACCUCAAUAGGCACCAUAGAAAAAUAGAUAAAUCCUAAAAAUUCUAACAAUGGAAACAUCUAAACGUCAAUUCAGGAGACUCUAAACAUCAUGGACAAUAACAACCAAUAGAUCUAAUAUGUUUUUAUAAAUUUAAAAAAUCUGUGCUAUUAUAAAAAAAAUAGUCUAAAGUAACCCCAAAUCUAUAUCUAAAUUACUUGCCUUAGCCAAUUAUAAAAAAAUCAUCUAAAAAGUCUAUAGUACCCUAAGUUAACACAAAAAAUUAAUGACCUAUUCCAUUGUGAAAAAUAAUAUAAAGUAACUCCCAAAACUUUCAUAUAAAUUACCUACAUAUUCCAUCAUGAAUAAUAUUAUAACUUGACCCUCUAAACUUGUAUAAAAAUAACCCGCACUCGCCACUAUUAAGAAUGACUUAAAGUAGGAGGAUCUCUUUUCUCUUCACAUGAACUUAAAAUGUAAAGCAUUUAAUUUUGCGUGAUACCUUAUUCAUUAGUAAAUAUAACCAUAGUGAAUAGGGUAGGCAAAACAAAAACCAAAGGAGUGAACCAAAAUGACCGAGACCUAACCAGAAAUAAACCGAAAUCAAGAUUUUCAGUCACUAAGGGGGUGUUUGGCAGCACUACACCUCACAAAAACCAGCUCCACACUUUCAUAGCUCCACUCACCUGUCUCUUCUCUUUCCUCCCCUUGUCUUCCUCUGCUCGCGCUCAAAGUAAUCAGAACCCAAAUCGACAGACGAGCUGGGGCGGGGCUAGAGAGGGGCGCGACCAGCUGGGGCGGCUGGGGCUGGGGCAGCGUGUGGCGCGCCGGGGUCAGGCAGGGGGCUGGCGUGAGCGGGGCUCUGGCGGGCGAGCGCGGCCUCAGCCAAGGGAGGGCCGCACAGUGCUCGGGGAAGAUUGGGCGAGCAUGCGGUGGCCGGUCGCGGUGAAGAAGACUCGCGAUAGGAGAAAGAGAAGAAAAAAUAGAACGACGGCCGACACAAGGGAACAACUCGUGACAGGGGAAGACCGGGCGGGGGCAGCGUCGGGCAGUGGUUCGCCGCUGGCUGCCCGCCCGCCAGCGAGGCCACGGUCGCCCGCCGGAGCCCCACCCGUGCCAGCCCCCUGCCUGACUCCGGCGAGCCACGCGCUGACCCCUCGAAAAAUUAGAAACAAACUGGUACUUGUGUAACGAGUGGCAAAGGUGGGUAAAUAACCCCCAACUCAACGAGGAAGUCUGAAACUGAUGUUUUUGGAGCACCCCCUGAGGUACUCUAGAAAAAACUUGGAUCUGACCCCUAGCUCCACAUUUUUUUGAAGCUGGAGUUUGUGGAGCUCGACAUGUUUGGCAGGCAAUUUUGUGGAGUUGGUGAAGUGGAGCUAUUUUUUCUAGAGUGGAGUGCUGUCGGCAUAUUCAGCAUUUGCUAUCGGUUAACCAAGAAACUGAAUGAAUCAAAAUCACAAGAGGCACAAUACUGCUUCUAGCGAUGCUCAUUUACAAACCGUAACUAUAUAAUGUCCAACCAAAAUCACUCUCCCUCAUUUCAUUCCCAACCGCACCCAACCCGACCACCUACCCCACUCCAAACCCUAGGCCCCCACCAAACCAUAGAGGAGGCAGGCCUUACGGCGCUCCUCCCUACAGCGAUGGCAGACUGUGGUGAUGACCUAGCACCAGUGGCCAGUGGCGCCUACUACCCUCCAUUCGUUCCUCCACGAUAGCGAGGAGUCGAGGAUGUCACUGCAAAUGCAUCUUGGGGAGCGGCGAGGAUGGCACCUCAUCUUGCCUACGUGCUACGGAUGGAUUUGUCUCGAUUUGUGCCUUAUCCUUCUGGAUUUGUCCUUAUUUGUGCUCAUCCUUCUCCAUGUUUAGUUUGUAAUUUGGUUGGUUUGGUCGUGAGUCACGACUGAGACCGAACCAAAGUAUUCGAGACCGAAUUGGCUUGGUGUCGAUAAUUUUUAGUAACUGAAUAGUCUUUAUUUUUGGUUAACCAAAUUUUAGCAAAAUCCGAAGAAGCGAAACGAUCGGUCUCGGUAAACCGAAUGCCCACCCUUGGUAGGGAAGGCCAAUGUUGUGAAAGAGAAAGUGUUUGUAGCAAGUCAUUCCAUACGGGAAUGUGUGCUCAAUUCCUGUUUCCUUUAUUUCAAAUUUAUAUUACUAUCAUCUUUCAGUUCAAAUGUUCAAACGAAAAUAUUAAAGUUUGUAUUUCACACUUGUUUGACCAAUAGAUUCUCGAGGAGAAAGGAUGCUAUCUGGAAGAGCAGAUGAAAGAAGAAGCAUAUCUUAUCUUGUCCAAGUGUGGCGGGCUUCCAAAAGUGAUUGUAACUUUGGCAGGAUACUUGGCCAGCAGACCAAGCAAACUCAAGCAGGAGAUGAGGCGUCUGAGUAACAACUUUAUGCACGAGCUAGAGACCAACCCAGAGUUUGAUUCCUUACGUGGCAUACUUGCCUUGAUGCAUUCUUACUUGCAUGAUUGCCCUCGGCAUCUCAAGAAAUGCGUGCUUUAUCUAUCGGUCUUUCCUCAAGACAUAAUCAUCCGGAGGAGGCGUUUGGUGAGGCGGUGGAUCGCGGAGGGCUACUCAACGAGCACCGACAGCAUUAGCAUGGAGAAGUACGCGGAGAAGCUUUUUGACGAGGUUGCUGCACUGAGCAUCAUGCAGCCAGUAUUGAAGGCAAGUAAGGUUAUUGGGUACCGAGUCAAUGGUUUCUUCCGCGAUUAUAUCAUCUCGCGGCCGGUGGAAGAGAGAGUUUGCUUUGCAGUGGAAGUCUCUGCACUGGAGCAGGGGCAUGCAUAUGGCCAGCUGACCACAGAAGGCAUAGGACAGCACCUAGCUGUUGGGAGAUCCCUGGAGGAUGACCAGGUUGUGUUCGAGGGUUUGGACUUCUC
rnacentral:lncRNA from 1 species